UGUGUACCUCUUGCUCUUGAUCCAAAUGAUUGUAGAGCCAUUCUGGGAAGUAUGCUUGACUAGUAUUUUCUACUGUAGCAUCAAUAUUCUUCCUUCCCCCUACCAUUUCGAUCAACAACAUACCAAAACUAUAAACAUCUGACUUAUAAGAUACAUUCCCAAAAUUUCUUGAUAACAUUUCUGGUGCAAUAUAACCCAUGGUUCCCCUUGCUGCUGUCAUAGAUACUGCACUUUGCUCCUUAGAGCAUAAUUUGGCUAAACCAAAAUCAGAAAUCUUCGGAUUAGAGUUAUGAUCAAGCAAAAUAUUAUGAGGUUUGAUAUCCAAAUGAAGGAUUCUUUGAUCACAACCUUGGUGAAGAUACUCAAUACCUUUAGCUAUGCCAAUAGCAAUUUCUUGAAGCUUAUGCCAACCCAGAGAAUAAUUAUUACCAAAUGCUGAAAAUAUAAACUUGUCUAGUGACUCAUUUGGUAAAAAUUCAUAAAUCAAAGCUCGCUUAUAUCCAUCUGCACAAAACCCGAGCAACCGAACCACGUUAACAUGAUGUAUGGUACUCAUUGUUCCUACUUCAUUAAUGAACUCUUCUCCAUUUCCUUUGAAACCAUCAAGGAUCUUUACAGCAACAAAAACUUCAUUUGAGAGCUUUCCUUUAUAAACGGUCCCAUAGCCUCCUUGACCUAGUUUGUCCUUGAAAUUAUUUGUGAUCUUUUUAAUAUCAGCAUAGGAGUACCUUGAGGGCUUCAGAGCUCUAUAAUCUUCCAAAAACUUUUGAAUAUUUAUUCUAUGCUCUCUUUUCAACUUAUUAGAGCGAUAGACAAUAAAUAUUAUAAAGAUUCCAAAAGUGAAAUGAAGGAAACCAAGGAUUGCUUCUGCACAUAGGGGAAAAAAAGUUUCUAUAAGUAAAUGAAACAAGAAAAAAAAAAAAAAAAGACAAACUAAGAAUCAUCAUCAUGAUGUCACCCUCAUUAUUGAAAAGAAUAUGAAUAGGAAAUCACCUGUAAGCACCAUUUUAUCCAUUGGAGCACCUGUAAAAGAUAGUAAACUUAUUAGCUUUUUGUAUUCUUUUAAUUAGUAAAAUCAUAAUAGAUUACAUGACGUUGUAACAUGAGUAUAGUUAUUUUUGGUGUAUUUGGAUUUCAACCUUGGCCUUUGCAGUCCUUUCUACAGGUUCGAUUGUUUUAGCUAAGCCUAAUUGUUGUAGCUAGCUUGUAAUGAAUAAAUAAUAUUGCAUGUUCAGAUCCAUUACUAUAGUAGUUAAUUUGGUUCACAUCCAUAAGGGUUCAAUCCAAUUUUAUGGUACAAACAGAGAAUACUAUAGAAAAUUUCAUGUGCAUAUUAACAUCAUAGUAGGAGAUAAGAAAGGGCUUGCAAGGUGAAAAUGAUGAAGAAGCGGGAUUUAGUACCUUUUGCUGGUUUAUCAAUGCAUUCGAUUUCAGGUUCCCUGCUAUUAUUCUUCUUCCGUUGGCACUUGUUUCCUUUUGCUUCACAGUUUCCGCACAUAGGUUUUGACCAAUUCAUAUAAAAUUCCCUUUCAUGAUAAACCAUAUAAUUAUAUGUAUAAUAUUCUGGGAGUGUAGCAUUGAAAAUCUUCCGGCAAGAGGAUAAGUUCACUUCAGCGAGAGAGUAAGAGGAAGGAGCGACAUAAACUGGGUUACUUGAGAGAAUACUGCAAGGGAUGGACCAAAGUUGAUUAUCAGCAUAUGAUAGCUGAUUUGUUAUAUCUUCAGAACAAUUGAAGAAGGAGAAGUUGCUGUAUGUGUACUCAUCUUUGAACUGGAAGGGAAAGGCAGAUAAAUUAAAGUUUAGAAUCUGCCAUUGAAGGUAAUCACGCGGGUACCAGAGAACAAUCUCCUGAGAAGUGUAAUUUAUUUCCUUCACCCAGAGCUUUCCUGAAGAGGGCAGCUCUAGUAUGGUCCGCUUCUCUUCUGAGCAUGAUAGCUCAAACUCCGGAUAUCCACAGUGUUCUGGCUGGUGUUUUAGCCGGAACGGAAACCGGAUGACUGGACCAUGGUGACUGCACCUUGACGCCUUGCACUCAUCAUCUCGGCUUCCUCCAUUAAUCUCUGCAAACAAUCUCAUAAACAAGAAGAAGAAGAAUAAAGAGAUGCCCAUUUUUAAGCAACUGCUUAUCUCUAUAGUUUUAAUUUGCACUGCUUCUCCCCUACUUUAUAUAUAUAAUUAGAUUUGAAAAUUUUGUACAAAGGGAGAAGAACUUUGUUUGUUUAGGAAGCAGGUGCUUUUAGGGAAUACAAAAAAGAUGGAGGACUGCUACAAUAAAAAUUUAGUUUUAUCUCAGAAUAUAAAAUUUACUUGAAAAAAUUGUAGAAAAUUGGUCUAUCAGUAUUUACUAACAUGCCGUAUGAGUAAAGAAAGAUGAUAAAGAUGAUCCUUCUUUAUCCUUUUCCCAUUGUUGAGACCUAAAAAUUAGGUAAUAUUUAAAACAUAAACAAUUCCAAUAUAAACCAUAAUAACUUCAAGCAUCAUUUUUAACAUAGUGAUUCUAAAUAAUGGGAAGCUCACAGUUGGCUGGAUGUGAUGGGAUGAAAGUGUGGUCCCAGUUGAAAAAUCAAACAGUUUGGGGAAGAAUAACAUGUUGAAGAAAGCUGCAAUUAAAACAGAGUAUCUCUCUCUCUGUGGAACUCACAACCCAAAAACAGAGCAUCUCUCUCUCUCUCUCUCUCUCUCUAAAAUUUGAUAAUGUUAAGGGAGGCACAACUCGUGGGAGUAGGCCUCAUGACAGUAGUCAUCCAUGCCUGCUUCCUUUCAGUUUGUGUUGCUAAGCAUCACAAGUACCAGAUAUGCAGCCCCUCUUCCUGCGGAGAUAUGAGGAACAUUUCCUACCCUUUUCGAUUACAAGACGAUCCCCGCAGCUGCGGUUACCCUGAGUAUGAAUUGAUUUGUGAAAACAAUCGUACUAUGAUAAACCUUCAUGGUGGGACAUACUUAGUUACCCAGAUCAACUACCAGAAUUAUACAAUUCGGGUAGUGGAUCCUCGGCGAAAGAAGGACAACUGUUGGAUCUCCAGUCCUCUUAAUUCCAUUGGUGCAUAUUACAAAGAAAAUCCAUAUGAUUCGUCUUCUGCAUGGAGUGCUGGUUAUACUCUGCCUUAUAAAUGGAAUCCUGCUUCUCCUUAUCCUUCUGAACCAAUAUUCUAUACAAUAGUUUUGAUGAACUGUGAGCAGUCAAUCAGGGACGACAACUACCUUCAUAUAAUUCCAUGCAACACUAGAGGCUCUUCCUCUUCCUCACCAACAUACGCUUAUGCAGUUGUCGGAGACUAUGUGUCGGUGGGAGAUAUUCCGUAUUCAUGCACCAUCGGCACAUCUAUUAUUAUUCAACCGUUGAAGUCACUUCCAGAGCCCAGCAAUCUUUCGAUGUCAGAUUUGCAAAAUUAUAUGCUUCUGGGGCUUCAGCUUUCAUUUUUGCCUCUCUUCUGCCACCGCCAAUGCGAAAUGAUAGGGCAAGAUUGCUACGAUAUAAAUUUCACUGGGAACGUCGGCUUUGAAUGCAAGUCAUGGGCCGACCUUACUGGCAACACUCCAGAGAAAAAUGGUGAGUAUAAGAUGCCCUCAUACUUGAUCUUUGGAGUUGGGGUUACAGUGCCUGCAAUCAAGGAAACGCGAUUUUAUAGGAAAUUAAUUCCCUGAAAAUCUGAUUAUGCCUAACCAUCUUAUCUUCCUUGCAUUAGUCUUCAAUAUUUCCAUCCCUAAUUUCACUUGUUUGGUUUAAUCUUGCAGGGCUUUGGACAGGGCUUUGGAAGUUUAUAAGAAUUUAUUUAUUGCUACCCUUCUUUAGUAAGGCUUCAACUAAAAUUUUCUUUGAAAUCAAAUCUUUAUUUUAUUCAUUUUUCCUAUUUUUUUUACAAAAUUUCCUAAUUCAUUGUUAACAGGGGGGUUACUUUCUCCCUACACCUUAAAAUUUGGAGGUAAGGAUGCUUCUUGCAAUUAUUAUUUUCUCAUGAGAAUAAGACAAAAGAUUUAUUUAGAGUUCUUUCAUCUUAAUUAAUCUCUCCAUUUCUUGCUUCUCAAUAAAUUUAAAAUUUAGGCAAUCAAGGGCAUUCUUCCUUGUGACUAACAUGGCACGAAUGGUUUAAUAUAGGACUUCAAGAAGAACUUAGUAAAUGCGAAUUUUACUAUCCCUGCAACACCUCGAUGAUUGGUAAGACUUUCUUCACUUACAUGUCUCCUCUUCUAAUGUUAUUUAUGUCUCUCACUUAUAUUGGUCCAUAUUUUUAAUUUGUUACAUCUCUUCCUUACUAGGCGGCUGGAUACUGCGUAUUAUUGGUAAGCCUCCUAAAUUCCAACUACUAAGUUUUUGUAAAAACAAUAUUGUAAAGAGUUGAUAUGAAAAUUCUUGGAAUUCUUGCAUUUUGAAGGUUGUGCAGUGAACUUCAAAUUGAUUUUGCUUUGUUUGACUGUACAAAGCAAAAUCAAUUUAGAUGUAAUUCAAAAUUUUCUCCCAAAUUUAAAUGUAAUUCAACUCCACUAACAUAUAAAGAAGUCAAAACAAUGAAAUUGAAAUUGGGGUCUUCUUAUCCAAGGCCCCAGUACUUCCAUCAAAUUGCUCCCCAAGCAACAGUACUCUGUAAAGUGAUUGUUAAAGUAGCUAUUUUAUAUGGCUCUCUAACAACACAACAACUUAGUGUUUUACUUUAUAUGAAGGUAGAAUAGUUUUUUCUACCAUAUGUAUUUGUUGGAUUUAACUUUGUUUUUGAUAUCUUGUUCCUUUUUCUUAAAAUAAUCAUUUUUUUUUACAUUUGAUUUGUGUUUAGUCAUAGGAAGGACUAUGCUCGGGAUGUUGUGUCUAUUCGCCUAUUUGAUUUACAAGUUCCACCGGAGACAUCUAUCAUUAGAUGAUAGCAUUGAAGAAUUCUUACGGAGUCAAAAAAAUCUCCAACCCAUCAAGUACUCGUAUUCAGACAUAAAGAAGAUGACUCAUAACUUUGCGAAUAAAUUAGGUCAAGGAGGUUUUGGCUCUGUAUAUAAAGGAAAACUUCGAAGUGGUCGCAUUGUAGCUGUGAAAGUGCUGGUCAUGUCAAAAGCUAAUGGACAAGAUUUCAUCAAUGAGGUUGCAACAAUAGGAAGAAUUCACCAUGUUAAUGUGGUGAGACUUGUAGGAUUUUGUGUACAAGGAUCAAAAUGGGCACUUAUAUAUGACUUCAUGCCUAAUGGUUCUCUUGAUAAGUUUAUUUUUCUUAAAGAAGAAAAUAACACUUUUUUAAGCUGGGAAAGGUUGUAUAAGGUUGCACUUGGAGUGGGGCGUGGGAUUGAAUACUUNNNNNNNNNNNNNNNNNNNNNNNNNNNNNNNNNNNNNNNNNNNNNNNNNNNNNNNNNNNNNNNNNNNNNNNNNNNNNNNNNNNNNNNNNNNNNNNNNNNNGGGCGUGGGAUUGAAUACUUACAUCAAGGCUGUGACAUGCAAAUUCUACAUUUUGAUAUCAAGCCACACAAUAUUCUUCUUGAUGAAGACUUUACACCAAAAGUUUCAGAUUUUGGCCUUGCAAAAUUGUAUUCAACAGAUGAAAGUAUGGUGUCUCUCACUGCUGCACGAGGAACAUUGGGAUAUAUUGCUCCAGAAUUGUUCUAUAAAAAUAUUGGAGGUGUCUCAUACAAAGCUGAUGUUUAUAGUUUUGGAAUGUUGUUAAUGGAGAUGGUGGGGAGAAGAAAGAAUGUGAAUGCAAAUGCAGCGCACUCGAGUCAAAUAUAUUUUCCAUCAUGGAUUUAUGAUAGAUAUGAUCAAGGAGAUAACAUAGACUUGGGAGAUGCCACUGAAGAUGAAAAGAAGCUUGUUAGGAAAAUGGUGAUAGUUGCACUAUGGUGUAUACAGAUGAAGCCCAUAGAUCGUCCUUCAAUGAGCAAAGCUUUAGAGAUGUUGGAAGGAGAGGUUGAGCUAUUAGAAAUGCCUCCGAAGCCUACUCUAUACUCUGAGGAAAUGUUAGUUGAGGAUCAUAUGAGCAAUCCAAUAGAAGCACCAAUUUCCUUGUGCAAUUCCAUGGGUACAAUUACAUUAGAUGGAAGGUAGCAUAGCAUUUUUCCACUUGCAUGCUAUCUCCUAUGAUAUCAUAUGUUUGUAAUUUGGAUUAAAUGUAUGGGUUAUAACUCCUCUUGCAAGGUCCAUAUAAUGUAAUAUUGUCUUGAGGCAUUGGCAUGGUACCCUAGCAAGGUACCCUAGCAACAAGCAUAUAAACAUGUAAUAAUUAUUACCUAUGUUCUAAAUGAUUCAAAUAGCACCAAACGGGAAUAUCAAUUAAUGUUUUAAGGCCUAGUUCCAUAGUACUCAAAUGAUUAUUGUUGUAUUGCAUAGCCUCACAUGACUUAAAUAACACCAAAUAUAUAUAAUAGAAAACAAAGUAAACUAACUCUAAAUAGAAAGAAAAGCAAUAAGAUUAAUAAAGAUAAAAGAAAGGACAUAAUAUUUAUGAUGUACCAUAAGAGUGUCUUAUCUAUGUCCUUGGGAAAUAGCAAUCAAUUCAUUAACUUUUAAAUUAGAAAAUUACAAAAUUGGAAGAAUAUCGAACUAGGAGGCUCUUACUUGGCAAAGAGCUUUCUUUAUACUAAUAUUGGCUAAAGCCACUAAGAUAGCUAAAAGGACAUGGGCUUAUAUAUAAGCCUCCAAGCAUUGACCAAACCAAUUCAUAAUCCAUGUGGGACAAGGAAUCCCUAAACUAACGAAUACUAAUUACACCAAAAACCAACAAAUCUCAACCUUGGAAAAUUAAUACUCCACUACCAACUCCCAAAAUUCAAAUAUUCUCUAACAAAUGAACUUCAAAUGCAUCUCUAGAAACCAUAUACCCAAAAUUUUCAAACUAGUAUGAUAUUAACCAAGCCCAAAUAGUAAGAGGGAGCACUACAGGAAUAAUGCCUUAUAGCAGCGGCUAGUGACCCUCACUAGAGGUCAGAAAUAAUGUGCCUGCAAAUUAUGGUUGCACACCAAGUUGACCGCUACAUGGUGUAGCCAUAGGUGGUGCAACAAUUUCUUAUAGCUGCAGUUGUGAAAGUGACCAUAAACACAAGUUAAAGUAAUAGUAGCAACCAUAGUAAAGUGCAGCAAAUGGUUCUUACAACUGCAUCUUGUUUUUGGCCCCCGCUAAAUGGCAUAUAGUUGCAUUUUGGAGUUGGCCACAGCUAUAAGUUAUCAUUAUUCAUUUUUUGUGACGCUCGUUUGUGAGGCUCCCCAUUAAAUCCUUCAAAACACUAUAAAAAUGGUGUGGAUCAGAAACAUUUUUCUUCUAAGAAUUUGAGUAAGCAUAAUCUUUCUUUUGAUAUUACAUGCAAUUUCAUGUUGCAAUAGUAGCUUGACCUUAUCCCAACCACCUCAUAACUGAAUGACAAUUUUUUCUGGAUCUCUUUCAACACCAAUAGCAAGUUUAGAUUGGGUAAACAGAAAAAAAAAGGGCUAACCCCUUCAAGAUUGACACAAAAGCUUCGCGGUAAUAUUCCAAAAUUUGGAGAAAUACAAAACUCAUAGGUCAACAAAAAUCCUUCUCCUAAACAUGAUAUCUAUUAUAAACCUUUUUUCCAGUAAAAAAAUAAUAGAAUCAUAUAAUGGAUAUAUACAGAUGGUGAAUCCCAAUUAGCAUCUACAAAACAAACUUGUAGGAACACAACAGAGAUUUUUUAGAUCAAUAUAUUGAGAAAAUGACUUGACACUAAAAAAAAAAGGCUAAGAAGCUCUGAGAUUUGAUGUUUUGUUAACAGAGAUCCAUGAGGACAUAGAACAACAUAUUUAAAUAGUUAUUUUUUCUAUGAAUAAGAAAAAAAAUUACAUGAGUAACACCACACCAAUGCUUAUUUGAAUAAAGUGUCAUUCAUGGACAAAAACUAAAGAAACCAAUUGGGACUAGGGGGCAAGGCCAUGAUAUUAUCAAUUACGUUACACUAGGCAGGUUAUAAUUACCAUUGAGUGUAGAAUGAUAUAUUCACUUCUCAGCAACUCCAAUAUCUGAUAGUAUCAUAUUACCCUACAGGCAGAAUACAAACAACGAAUGAAAUGUGAGUUGCAACAAUCAGGCAAUCAAAAUCACAUUUUGAACAAUAUAGGAACCCAACAUCCAAACAAAAUAGUAUCAACAAGAAACUGCUAUUUCUUUCAUGAUACAAGGAAUUUUUGCCUCCAUAAAUUAAUUACUUCAUACGGAGUAAAAUUUAAGGGUACAACAGACACCACCGCCUCAUAAUUCAAGAACCAAACCAUCAAGAAGGCUAUGUUGAAAUCUAAUCACCACAUCCAAAUAGGUAUUUCUCUGGUCUCAACAAGUGACACAAGGAAAUUUUUGUAUCUAGUGAAUACCUUUGCCUACAUCUAGUACAAGGUUAUGUUUUUAUCUUGUAAACAUAUAUAUACAUCCAAACAUGUAUACACACACACGUGUAUGCACUCUGAAGUUCCCUAGAAAUUAUAAGUAGGUUUUGUAGGUACAUGGCUAUGACCAAUUCUUGUCCUAGCUUGUAGAUCUAGGUUAGCCCAAGGGUGUACCUUUUCCAAAUUUUCUCUUUAUGAUGUUGCUUUAUCCCUCUAGGUAUAUAUUGUUAAUGGCCACAACCUCAGCAAUCUUUUUCAUGUUUCCAUGCAUGGAUCAGUUUAAAAAGGAAAAACACAUGAUUUCCAGAGUUUGAACUUCCAUUAUUUUACUAUAGGUACAAGGUUAACAUUUUUUGUAUUCAUGCCCCAGUUUAGUCAUUUUCAUAUUGACAUGUGUUAAUGGUGUUUUCUUACAUUCUUAUUGAUGAAAUCCUCCCUUUCCAAGACCACAAUUCAUUCUAAGUUUAUCAAAAGACAUCAAGGCAUCAUAGAAAAUCAACAAUUCUAAUAUUGUAACAUCUCCAACAUUUGUAGAAAACACAAGAUUCCAUAUUUAAUCUCUAGAUUGUAAAUUAAGGUUCAAAACUCAAAAGCACAUUCAUAUAUACACAAACCUCACUAGCCAUAAGCUUUCGAACAUUAUUAGCAUAUAAUUUUCCCAUACAUUACAAAUGAGCUUAAUUUGAGAGUUAUACCUUGGCAAUGAGAGAACCUGCUUUGGGCAACAAUUCAAAUCAUGACAGAAUUUUUUGGUCUCCAUCUCAUCCUUGUAGCAACAUGUACCUUACUCAUGUCAUUCCUCUUGUGUGGAGCUACCAUUAUCUUACCAAUAACAUGCAAAGUAGACAACAAGACUGAACAAGAAAUUAAAAUUCCUGAAGUUUAGAAUCCUAUACUGUAAGGAGAAUGGAACUAUGAGUGUCCAAGUGUGGUUGCUUGUCAAGAGUUGAAAAUUUGGAUGAUUAUUUGGAGGUUCUAUUCAAAUUGUUGGGCAGAAUGAUUAGAGAAUGAAAAAUGAUUAAGAAAUUUGGACAACAAUAGAGCAAGUAAGAAAAAUUCAGAUCUGAAAUGAAGCAUGAAAUAGACUAAGAAUGAUAAUUAGUUCAUUUGUAGCCCUUGUAAGAAGAUAACUAAGUCUCCAAGUGUAUUAUUACUUUCCUUGUUCAAAAUGGUACACGAGAACUUGUUUCCCCAAAUCCAAAGCACAAUCUUCUUAGGUGUAAGUGGAUUUUUCACAUUAAGCAUUUACCUGAUGGUUCUGUUGACAAGUACAAAGCUCAUCUUGUCACUAAAAGAUUUCAGCAAUGACCGGGCAUUGAUUGUCAUGAUGUUUUCAGUCCUGUUGUCAAACCCACCAUUAUACAUCUUGUUCUUAGUAUUACAAUCAGCCAUGCUUGGUUUCUAUACUAACUUGAUGUUAAUAAUGCUUUUCUUCAAGGCCACUUGUUUGAAGAUGUUUUCAUGGCUUAACCAUUGGGAUUCAUUGAUUGUGAUCAUCCUAAUUAUGUGUGCAAACUUUAAAAAGCUAUCUAUGGUCUCAAGCAAGCACUACAUGCUUAGUAUCAUGAGCUCCACUAGUUUCUUCUCACCUCUAGCUUCACUAACUCUCAUACUUACACUUGACUAUUUGUCCUCAACACUAGUGGUGUCAUGGUUUAUCUCCUUGUUUAUGUUGAUAAUGUUAUCAUAACAAGUGACAGUGAUGGUGUUGUGUAAAAGUUCAUCCUAAUCUUGCCCAACAAUUCUCCCUUAAGGAUCUCGAGUCUCUUUCUUAUUUUCUUAGCAUUAAAGUCACACACCAUCGUCAUGGAUUAUUUCUUUCUCAACAUCAAUAUAUUGGCGAUCUCUUAGCUCACACUCACAUGUCAAAUGCUAAACCAAGCGCCACACCACUUACUACAUCUCCAACUCUUGAACUCUAUACCGGUACCGCCCUCUCUAAUCCAACAGAGUAUCAUACUAUUAUUGGCAAUAUUCAGUAUAUUUCUCACUCGACCUUAAAUCGCUUUUACAAUGAGUAAACCCUCACAAUUUAUGCAUCACCCUACUAGUGCUUAUUAAACUAUUGUCAGACACCUUUUUUGGUACCUUUGUGGCACAUAUGAUCAUGGUUUGGUUCUUUAUCGCAACUCUCCUUUUCUUUUCAUGCUAAAGAUAAUUUUACUUCUAUAAGUGCUUACAUCGUUUACAUUGGUCAUAAUCCUAUCUCAUGGAGUUCUAAGAAGUAAAGAAUUGUUGCACACUCUUCUAUUAAAGUGGAAUAUCGUUUUGUUGCAUAUACAUCUACAGAAUUACAUUGGGUAUGUUCACUUCUUAUUGAACUUAGUGCUUAUGUUCUACAAGUGUCUAUGAUCUAUUGCAAUAAUGUUGAUACUAUUCAUCUCAACUCCAAUACGAUCUUUCAUUCCUGCAUGAAACAUAUUGAAUUGGAUUAUCACUUUAUUCAUGAACAAGUUCAAAGUGAUGCUCUCUGUGUGGCUCAUGUUACUCNAAGAUCAGUUAGUUGAUGCUCUCACNAGCCUCUUCNNNNNNNNNNNNNNNNNNNNNNNNNNNNNNNNNNNNNNNNNNNNNNNNNNNNNNNNNNNNNNNNNNNNNNNNNNNNNNNNNNNNNNNNNNNNNNNNNNNNACACCACUUACUACAUCUCCAACUCUUGAACUCUAUACCGGUACCGCCCUCUCUAAUCCAACAGAGUAUCAUACUAUUAUUGGCAAUAUUCAGUAUAUUUCUCACUCGACCUUAAAUCGCUUUUACAAUGAGUAAACCCUCACAAUUUAUGCAUCACCCUACUAGUGCUUAUUAAACUAUUGUCAGACACCUUUUUUGGUACCUUUGUGGCACAUAUGAUCAUGGUUUGGUUCUUUAUCGCAACUCUCCUUUUCUUUUCAUGCUAAAGAUAAUUUUACUUCUAUAAGUGCUUACAUCGUUUACAUUGGUCAUAAUCCUAUCUCAUGGAGUUCUAAGAAGUAAAGAAUUGUUGCACACUCUUCUAUUAAAGUGGAAUAUCGUUUUGUUGCAUAUACAUCUACAGAAUUACAUUGGGUAUGUUCACUUCUUAUUGAACUUAGUGCUUAUGUUCUACAAGUGUCUAUGAUCUAUUGCAAUAAUGUUGAUACUAUUCAUCUCAACUCCAAUAUGAUCUUUCAUUCCUGCAUGAAACAUAUUGAAUUGGAUUAUCACUUUAUUCAUGAACAAGUUCAAAGUGAUGCUCUCUGUGUGGCUCAUGUUUACUCCAAAGAUCAAUUAGUUGAUGCGCUCACCAAGCCUCUUCCACAUGCAUGAUUUCUCACUCUUCAAGCCAAGAUUCAACGCUCCUCCUAGAGCCCCAUCUUGUGGAGGCAUAAUAGAGAAACUAAAUAAUUUAAAUAUUAGUUUAUCCUUAAUUUAACUAUUAAUAUUUAUCUAUUAAUUAUUAGUUUGAAUUAGAGUAAAAUAUAAAGUUUGAAUUAGAGUAGAAGUGUACUAUUAGUUUGAAUUAGAGUAGAAGAUAGAAUUUGAAUUAUAGUAAAAUUGAAAUGUAUUUAUAUAUAAAUAUUCCACAUUAUCAAUGAGAAUGUAAGUGUGGAUCCCGCAUUUCGACUCAUGUGUUUCCCACUCGAUGGCAAACUCGAUUUAUUAUUUGAAAAAUGAUUUUUAUUGUUUUAGAAAAAUGACUUGGAGUCACCACUUAUUUUUGUUUUAUUUUAAAGGGUAAACAAAAUAAGAAAGAAAAACUCUAAGUCCGACUCCUUAUUUUGGAAAAGAUGGUCUGUGAAAAACCGGAUUGGGUUUGGGGGUCAAGUUAUUAUUCGGAAAGGUACGGUAAAGACCGUAGCACCCCUCUAAGCCCCUAAAGUCGGGUCUCUACUAAUGAGAUGAAACAAUAAUGAUAAUGGAUGAGUAAAUCAACGAAUACCCGGAAUAAAUCAUGCACACGUGGGUAUCAGAACAUGCAUAGACACUGAUCAAAGUGAAAGUGGGUACAUACUUGGGUAACGAGCCACCAUGCGCUAUCAAGAGAGAGAGUUAGUGCACAAUUAAGGAAUGAUAGCAUGCAUGUCAGGGAGCAGGAUAAAUCAAUCAUGUAUGAUAAUCAAAUCAAUCAAUCAGUCAAUCAAUUAUAAAAUUAUUUAUGUGGGCCCCCACCAAUGCUCGAUUUAUUUUAGCAUGAAUUAAUUUCAUAAAUUCCAUUAAUUGGAAUUACAAAAUUAAAAUCUUGCUUAUUUUAAAACAAGGGGGAUGUAGAAAUUGUUUGCCAGAAGGAAAGAUGACAACAAAGUUUUACUAAAAAUGGGACUCUUGGGUGAUCCUAAAAAUUCUAAGGAUGAAAUAUGGAGAAAUUGGAAUUAUUUGAAAACCUGAAAUCGAGAAAGUAUUUACCAAAACGAGGUAUAGGGAAACUGCUUUCAAAAUCAAGGGAUGAUGAACUAGGUUGAUAGCUCAUGGCAUAAGAAAAGGAAAAAAAUUGCAUGCCAAAGGUGGCCAUGCAACUGGAAGCAUGCAGUGGUGAGCUUAGGGAGGAAUGAUGCUGGCAGAGAUGUGGGCUCCAUCUCUUGAAUCUGAUCUAUCAUCUUCUCUCCUUUGUCCAUGUCACUACCACUGUCACCAAACCAUAGGCCUUCUAAUCACGUGAUGACUCCACUGUAGACUGUUUGAUGCAUUCUUAUAUAAACUCUUAAAACACCUUUUGAGCUACAAUCAAUGGAGCCUCGUCUCGGCACAUACAUUUGAGUAUUAUUUCGGGAAUCUGAGUGAUAAACCCCUAAAUUUCAGCAUCCCCUGAGUCCUUGGUUAGCAAAGCUUCCAACUCCUGUGCAGCAAUUUGGUACUUAUCCAAUGCAUCUCCAAUAUUCAACAAGGGUUUAGAGAUGCACUCCACGGAUGUUCUGUGGUAAAAGCAGCAGGCAAUGAUAGUGCAGCAACUCCCAAUCCUUUUCCAACAUUAGAGGCCUCCAUUGGAUGAACUUCAAGGGUAGGAGCCAUUGACGAAAAUGAAACAGAGUUAAGUUUAGAGCCAUGAGGAGAAACACCAUCCAUCACUCCAAUGCGUGCAGAAGGGCCACUAAGGAAUUGGGCAGAACUGGGAUCCAUAUCCUCAAGAAUUAGAUCCAAGAGCUGAGUAGCACUCGAUCCAGUGGCCCCAGUCCCAGUAGAGUAGAAGCCUAGGCUAAGCUGUCUUGAUGAUGAAGCAUAAGCACGAGACAAACCAGAACUGCCAGGAGCCACCAGAUGCAGCAUGUGAUCCAGCAGGAACUGCAUUUGAGCUCUGUCCAGAUUGAUUUUGCCAGAGAAACCAAACGAAAUCCUCAUAAACCCGCUGUUGGGAAUGGGACAAAUGACCAGGUCUGGGGUGGAGGGCGUGGGUAUGAAGGUUAGUUGGGUUACCUGUGGUGGAUACGUGUGGAAAUGAGCAAGGGAUGAUGGUAUAACUAUGGGCUCGAUGAGUAUAUGGAAUAAGAAAUGGGUAUGGUUACUUAAUUGGGUGGGUAUGAGAGAUAUAGAUGGAUGAAGGUGAUGAGCAUGACGGCGGGAUAGGAUGAAGAAGAGUGUGAGAGGAGCGACAGAUGACCAUGCACGGGAGGAUUGACGUUAAAUAGAGAACGAGUGGCGAGAGAGAGGGAGAGACACGGGUUAGUGCUCUUACUCAAGGGUGGCAUGGGUGAUGGGAGCAGGGUGUUUGGGAUGGGUAAGGUAAGUUGUAGAUGAGCCCAAGACUGAGGGAAGUGGGUCGCUGCAGCAUUUGGAGAUGGUAGUAGCCAUCCCGUGCAUGAGUUUCUAGACUCGGAUAGGUAGCGCUCAUUGCUUGCAUCCUCUUUGGGAGAUGAUAGCGAUUUCAAGGCUGACGGGAUAUCAUUGGAAGCAUCAAGAGUCUCUUUCCAUGCUCCCAACAUCUGAUUCAUUGUAUCUUUGCAUUAUGAUUUCCACAGAAACCCCAACAUGUAACAGAGACAAGACGCAGAGGUAGAGAUCCUCAUAAAUGUAUGAGUCAAACAUAGCAGGCGUUCCAGCAGCUUUCUUGUCCUGUGGGCCAUGGCAUGGCAACCUCUUCCUCAUCCACAUGCUUAUCUUGAUUAUUUAUUAUAAGUGCCAUUGAUGGCUCAGCAGAUAAGUGCAAGGUGCACCAUUUCUUGGCCAAAGGAACGCCUAUACAGAAUAUGACUACGCUCGUCCAGAAGCCGGCGUGACUUUGGGUCAUAUGGGAUUUCCUUGUUGGUCUUGGAUCGGUUUCAUUGGAGGGUGCAACCAAGGGAAUCUUUGACGGCCUGGUUAGAUUAGGACCGCUGGAUAUGGAAGUUGAGAGAUGCGUAGAGACGGACGACGAAGGGAGGAUGAGAGGGUUUAGAAAGAAUGAGAAGGGCAAAUGUGGUGGUGAAGCAAGUUACGGGCAGUGGGUAUGGAGGAUGGGAAGGUGAUAGUGAGAGAAAAGGCAUGUGGGGGGUAUGAUCAAUGGGUUUAGAAAAUGGUUGUGAAGAAAUGAUGCAGUGGAUAUGACGAAGAAAUGAAAGUGUUAGAUUCGGCAUUUCAGGUGGGCAUCUGGAUAUGGAAAUGGGGUACUGGCUCACGAUGCUAGAGGUUGGUUGUAUACCAGAGCAAGGAUUCCAAAUUGCCUCAAUGCUGCCACUGUGCACGAAACCUAGCCGGAUAGCAAACACUGUAUACGUAUAUUUUCAAUGAUGGCUCACUGCAGCAAUAAUAUCCCAAUGCCAAUUAACUCUCAUACAACGAUUUUGGCAUAUAUUAAACAGAUCCUAACGCCCGUUCUACAAUCCUUGGAACGACGUGUUACAGCAUGCAAGAGAAAUGGGAGAUCCUGGGGGAAUAAACUGGCUAGCGAAGUCCAUGGGUCAUAUUGGACUUGCACUCAAUGUGAUUCAUUAACGGGGACUGUAAGACCAUGAAUCUUAUACACCCAAUACUUAUGGUAUCAAGUCGAGCCUGUCAUCCAUGGCGUUUCGACCCUGGCAGCUUAUUCAUAAAGUUCCACACUAUCUCAAACUUCCAGCGUUGCGUCCUUGUCAUUAUGCUUCCAAAAAACGGGAUAAAGUGCACGACUGCGCUAGAUCUCAUAUACGGAAUCGUCCUCAAGCAUGACCCAUCAUCGAAACGCCUUUCAAUUAUCUGAGAAAACUUGAUUAAUAUAUUCUGCGUUACCUUCAGCAACAUUAGCAAUCACAUUCAUUGUCUAGGAGGAUAACUAGUUGCUCUUCGUGGUGAGUUCGGUGUCGUUUGAGCUUCUCCAUCACAUCAAAGGAUAGCUAGCCAAAAGGGAAAUGAUACCAUAGAUGAUGAAGGAGUGGCACAGACAGAUGAAGCAGUCAAGAGGUAUCCUUAGAAGCCCUCUGCGGAUGACAUUUUAAGGGCUUUGUGAUACUCUGAAGCAUAGAUACUCAGUUAUGACCUCCAAUCCUGAUAUAGAACACUCAAAACAGGCUCAAUCUACUCAACAUGCUCUUCGGGCACUCCAUAGAAACUAAGCACCUGUAAUCGCAGCUCCCACUCCUUGGAUUUGCGUUCUCAGAUUGGAGAUGCACCAGUCAAAACACGUCGCGAACAGACACCAAAACAGAGAAAAAAUAGAGAGGAAAAUUGAUAGAACCAAACAAAGAUGGGUGAGAUGGGAGUUGGUUAAGCAAGACCUGGUCUCAUAAUUCAUCCACAGGCUUACCAACUAGUGGGGGAAGAAAUGGAUUUAAAGAGAAAUGAUAAGAAGAAGACCUUGAGAUACCACGCGGAUAAAACUGGUCCAGAUUCACAUCAUUUCUCUCAAAAUGAACCCAGAAAAAAAUAUAUGAACAUGUAGUCAUAGCGAAUCCAAUGAAAACAUAAAAAUCAACAAGAGCAACCACAUGAUAUCCACAUGCAAAUUGCUAAAUAACACCCAGCUAGGAAUAAAGGAGAGCAAAUAACAAAAGAAUAAUGGAGAUAAAUGAGUAGCAUACCUGGAAAAUGCUCUUUCGAGGUUCUAUCCUCUAAACUAUCAGAAGAAAACCUUAUCUACUCCUCCGUAGGUAUAGUAUCCGCUUCCCCCUCAACGAAACUUGCUCCUCAAGCUCUCUCCCUCUCUCUCUCAAGUCGCUCUCUGUUUUUUUCCUCACUCCCUGAAAAGAUACAAUGCUUCAGAAAACUCUCUCAAAAGCUCUUGGAGUCCUCCCCUUCUCAUUGUUCUUCCAAAAACCAACCAAAAGCCCUCUUGAAAAGAUCUUACUCUCCUCUCAAUAACUCUCAAGAAUGGCUGCCCAAAAGCACCUCCUCUAGCUCCCUCUCCUAGCUCCCGAAAACUCCCCCCUCCUAAUCACAGCCCAGCCUCCUCAAAAAGCCAUCUGCUCUCUGCCAACCUCGUCUUUUCUUUCUCUACCAGAUUUGCCCCUCUAACAAUAUCUCCAGAAACAACUACCUCCAAGCACCACUACUCUCCAGCCUCCCAUUUCUCUCUCAUACGCGUCUCAUAACGGCUGCAGAAUCCCCUUCCAGCAUAACGGCUUGUCGCUUCCUUUUCAGAAUCUUCUUUAUAGAUGUCGUAUCCUCAUUGGUCCUCCAAGCUACUAGCCUGGUUCCCUAGCAGCCAUCCACGAGUGGACAAGCGGUUCAUUGAGGGGCCUCCAUUUGGUAAGAAAGUGACCUACAGAAACGCUAAAAAGUGAGGCCCCAAAAUGGGGGUCUACAGUAAGGCAAUAAUUUCCAAAAUUCUCUUUAAUUAAUUAAAAAAAAAAUCAUUAGAAUUGAUGAUUUUUUAUCUUGACUUUACUAUACGACAAGAGUUUAAACAUUUCUAAUUCAAAUUUGAUGAUUUAAACAUUGUUAUUUCCAUUUUCAAUGAAGGAUUGAAUUAAUAUAAUUUAUGGAAUUUUAGUUUGUUAAGAAUCGGAUAGAUCAUGAGGGAAAAAUAAUGAGGUAUUGUAGACCCCCCUUUAGAGUGAUUUUAUUUUAUGAUUUUUCUUCUUCUGACCACCUGGGGAUUGAGGCUGAUGGGGGCGGUGAGAUUAGACGGAAUGCAGCGGAUAGCAGUGGAGCCGAGGAUGGCUUGCUGAGGAAGACACAAACAGAGGAAAAGAAAAAGAGAUAUCUGGGGGCUUUUCGGGAGAUGGUAAAGGGAGACAUACCGAGGAAACGAGCAGGAAAGUGGAAUAACUCAGGUAUGGAUUCUGAAAACCGGAUUCAUUAAUUAAUUAAUUUAUUUGUUUGUUUUUGAUGCCAUGUUAUGAUAGUUUCUAUGCAUGAGGAUUUUCAUUUUUGAUGUCUGAACAUGCAUAUUGUGGAUCCUUGUAAUUUAUUUAUUUUUUCUGGAAUCUGAGCUUACUUUCACCCACUCUGUGCUUGAUUCUUAAUUUCUCUUCUGAGCUCAUUGAUUGAUAUAUGGAGCGAGGCUGGUACGGGUCCAUUUUUCUCCUAUUAUUUGUGCUCUGUUUCGCUGUUUUCCCCUGUUCUUGAAAUGGGUAUUGGGGCCUGGAAACGCGGAAAUCUUAGAUAUUGUUCAUGUCAGCAAAGAGGGUGCAUUUCCCAUGCUCUCGACUUAUCAGAGAAGGAGUUUGUCCGAAGCAUUAUAUUGCCAUGGCGAGGGUGUUUACGCUGUUUCUCUUGGCUCUUCUUGCCAUUUCCAUGCUUCACACCAUUGUAUUAGCUUCGCAUGGCCAUGGCAGUCACCACUACGACCAAAAGAACUAUGGUCCGGGGAGUCUGAAGAGCUUCCAAUGCCCGUCACAGUGCUCGAAGAGGUGCAGCAAGACACAGCACUACAAACCUUGCACGUUCUUCUGUUAGAAGUGCUACCAAAAAAAGUGCCUGUGCAUUCCCCAGGGUAUUAUAGUAAUAAAGUCGUUUUCCCAGGCUACAACAAUUGAAGGCCAAGGAAGGAGGACCAAAAUGCCCCUGGUUGUUACCUUAUUUACCCUUCUCACCCAUUUUAAGUUGGCCCAUUUGCUUGCUUUAAUUUUUAAGUAAUUUUCAUGUUUCCAGCUUAAGUAAUUUAAUUUUUAAAGCCCUAAUUUCUUGGUAAAUCUUCUAAAUCCCAAUUUCUAAAUCCUAUUUUCAAAACUUACAUCUUCAAGCAAUCCUUCAAAAAUCCCAUGUCUUAAUUUAAUUUUUCAAUCCUAAAAACUAUAGAAUUCGUUUAAAUCUUAUUUUCAUCAAUUAGAAUUAUAAUCCCGUAUCUAUUUAGUUAUUUAAAGUUUAAUCCUUCAAAAAUUCCAUGUUUUAAUUUAAUCUUUUAAAUCCUAAAAACUCUACAAUUCAACUAAAUCUUAUUUUCAUUAAUUGGAAUUAUAUAAUUAUUUAAAGUCUAAUAUUUCAAAAAUUCCAUGUUUUAAUUUAAAUUUUCAAUCCUAGAAAUUCUACAAUUCGUUUAAAUUUCAUUUUCAUCAAUUAGAAUCAUCAUCCCAUAUUUAUUUAAAGUCCAAUCUUUCAAAAAUCUCAAUUUAACUUUCAACCUUAGAAAUUCUAUCAUUCGCCUAAAUGUUAUUUUCGUUAACUAGUAUUCUUAUCUCCUAUCUUUUUAUUCAUUUAAGGUCCAACUCUUCAAAAAUUCAACGUCCUAAUUUAAUUUUCAAUCUUAAAAUUCCACUACUCCUUUUCUAUUCGUUUAAAAUAUUGUUUCCGUUAAGUAGCAUUAUUAUUCCAUAUUAUCUAUUUAUUCUAAUCGUUAAAAUUUAAUUCAUCAGAAUCCGACUUCCAAAUCUAAUUCUCAAUCUCAAAAACUCCACCGUCCAUAUAUCACUGUUUAAUGAUUAUUUUCGUUAUUAUUAUUAUCCUAUUCAUUUAUUUAUUUACUUAUUCAUAUAUUUAAAAUCUCAUCUCCAAAUAAUUUCUCAAAAUUUCAAUCUCUAAAUUCAAAUCUCCAAUCUCUAAAAUUCUAUUUUUCGCAAUUAUUUACCUAAUCUUUAUAAUUUCACCAUUAUUAUUAUUCCAUUCAUUUAUUUAUUCACUCAUUCAUUUAUUAAAAUUUUGUCUUUAAAUAAUUCUUCAAAAUCCCGAUUCCCAAAUUUAGUUCUCCGAAAUUCCAAUUCCUUUCAAAUUUAAUUUCUAAAAUUCUCAUUCUUGUAUUUAAUUUCAAAAUUCCAAUUUUCAAAUAAACUUUAAAACUCCAAUUUUCUAGUGAUCUUCGAGAUUCUAAUUUUUCAAUUAAAUUUCAAAAAUCUAAUUUUCUCUCAAAUAGCUUUAAUUCCGCUCUGGUUUUCAAAUGAUCUUCUGCUCCUCUUGGUUUUACAUAAGCAAGAAUAAUGAAUUUUCAUAAUUCCAAAAUAAUGGAAUUUGUGAGAUCAAUUCAUGCAAGAUCAAUCGGGCUUUGGUGGGGGCCCAACAUACGUGAUUUCCUUAUGAUUGAUUGAUUGUUUGUUUGAUUUAAUUGCCAUACAUGAUCGAUUUUAUUCUGCUCUAUGACAUGCUCGAAAUUAUUCCUUAAUUGUGCGCUAACCUCACUUCUUGAUAGCGCUUUAUGGAUCACUGCCCAAGUAUGCAUCCACACUCGCUCGGGUCAUUUUCUGUAUGCAUGUUUAGAUUCUCACAUGUGCAUGAUCACUUUGAGUAUUCAUUGAUUCCCUCAUCAAUUGUCAUGAUUGCUUCAUUUUAUUAGUAGAGACCCGACUUUAGAGACUUAAAGGGGUGCUACGGUCUUUACCGUACCUUCCCGAUAAGUAACCUGACCCCCGAACCCGAUCCGGUUUUUCACAGACCGCCUUUUCCAAAAUAAGGAGUCACACUUAGGGUUUUUCUUUCUUAUUUUGUUUACCCUUUCAAAAAUAAAACAAAAAUAAGUGGCGACUCCAAGUCAGUUUUUUUUUAAUCAAAUAAAAAAAUCAAUUUUUCAAAUAAAAAUCGAGCUCGCCAUCGAGUGGGAAACGCAUGAGCUCGAAAUGCGGGGUCCACAGGUAUGCAAUAGAAGAAUUAUGGUUUCAAUUUUGAAAUUUUUUGGAUUGAUUUUAGAUUAAUUUCUUAUUCAAAUUAAAUUAUUUGUAUAUUGUCUUGUUUUAUUUUUAAGUAAUAAUCCAUCAAAAAUAAAUAAAUAUCUAAAUUUUCUUAAGAAAUUGAAAAAAAAAAUGAAAAGAGAACCUAUUUGAAUCAUAUGAUUCAUAUUAUUUUUUCUUAAUAACAUAUUUACUAAUUUACAUAAAGUUGUCCAUAAUUUUCAAAAAUAGAUUUAAUCUUGUUAUAAGUAAUCAACAACUAUCUUUUUGUCAAAAACAAUUACCAAAUAUGGUUCUAAGUUUGAAAAUUUGUUUUCAAAAACAAUCCUCAAGCAAAUUCUUAGGUCCAUUUGGCUAUGUUUUUUAAAACUUGUUUUUAAAAUAGCAAACAAAAACAGUUUUUUUUUUUUAAUUUUUAAAAAGCAAGAGCAUUUGGCAAAUGCAUUUCAUAAAAAACUUGUUUGAAUGAAAGAAUUUGUAUUGUUUUUAAAGACAAUGUCUUACUUUUAUUGUAUAAGAAUUUUAUAAAUUUAGUUUAUAUUAAUGUAAAAUCAAAUUCAAGUUACGUUUCAUUUAAAAAAAAUAAAAAAUAAAUUUACAACUAUAUAUAAGUUAAAGAUAAAUAAUUUUUUUUAAUUAUGAAAUAAUUUUUUUAUUCUAGUGAAACAAAAAUUACUAUUUUAGUAUUUAUUUUUAAUACAAAUCAAAUAUGUCCUUUAAUUUUAUUUUUUUUCCAUUUGGCCAUGAUUUUUUAAAAAUUGUUUUUUAAGUUAAAGAACAUAAAACAAUUUUUUAAUGUUUUAUAAAAUAAGGUAUUUGUCAAGUUGUUUAUAAAAAAAAUGCUUUAAAAAUAAAAAUAAAACCAAUUUGUUUGGAUAAGUUGUUUUUAAAAAUAAAUUUUCUAUUUUGAUUUUAUAAAAAUAUUAUAAAUUCAAUUUAUAUAACAUUAAUUAAAUUUAAUUGAAGUCUUAUUGAAAAUAAAAAUAAUUUUGUAUUACAAAGAAAUUCAAAAGAAAUAUUUUUUAGUAAAACAUGAAUAGUAUAUAUUAUAAUAAAAUCAUCAAUUAUAUUUUUAAUAAAAAAUAUACUAUUUUAUUAUAUGUUAGAAACAUAAGAAUAUUAACAUAUUUUUGUAAAAAAAAAUGUGCCGUAAAAAUAAAUAAUAAUAAUUUAAAAAUAAUAAUUGUCAAUAGUAUUUUAUUUAAAAUGAAUAAUGAAUAAAGUUUAACUUUUUAACAUGUGAGUCAAGUUUUAUUACAUGCAUACAUUUAGUACUCAAUUUCUACAAUUAAUUGGAUCAAUUUUUUUAUUGCAAAUUAUUCUUAAAAGUUAAAGGAUUUGUUAAAAAAAUUAAAUUAUUAAUUAUGUUUUACUUAAUUUAUAAUUUAUUUACCUAGGAAAAAAAAAUUUUAAAUAGUUGUAUGUAUAGAAGAAAUAUUAAAGUCAUGACUCAUUAUACAUCAAUUUUAUUCUUCCUUUUUUUUUUUUUUUGCUUUGAUGACUAAAUGAUCUAUUUUUGAGUUCCAAACUAAGCACCUGUAAUCGCAGCUCCCGCUCCUUGGAUUUGCGUUCUCAGAUUGGAGAUGCACCAGUCAAAACACACCGCGAACAGACACCAAAACAGAGAAAAAAUAGAGAGGAAAAUUGAUAGAACCAAACAAAGAUGGGUGAGAUGGGAGUUGGUUAAGCAAGACCUGGUCUCAUAAUUCAUCCACAGGCUUACCAACUAGUGGGGGAAGAAAUGGAUUUAAAGAGAAAUGAUAAGAAGAAGACCUUGAGAUACCACGCGGACAAAACUGGUCCAGAUUCACAUCAUUUCUCUCAAAAUGAACCCAGAAAAAAAUAUAUGAACAUGUAGUCAUAGCGAAUCCAAUGAAAACAUAGAAAUCAACAAGAGCAACCACAUGAUAUCCACACGCAAACUGCUAAAUAACACCCAGCUAGGAACAGAGGGGAGCGAAUAACAGAAGAAUAAUGGAGAUAAAUGAGUAGCAUACCUGGAAAAUGCUCUUUCGAGGUUCUAUCCUCUAAACUAGCAGAAGAAAACCUUAUCUACUCCUCCGUAGGUACAGCACCCCCUCAACGAAACUUGCCUCUCAAGCUCUCUCCCUCUCUCUCUCAAGUCGCUCUCUGUUGUUUUCCUCACUCCCUGAAAAGAUACAAUGCUUCAGAAAACUCUCUCAAAAGCUCUUGGAGUCCUCCCCCCCCCUCCCCCUUCUCACUGUUCUUCCAAAAACCAACCAAAAGCCCUCUUGAAAAGAUCUUACUCUCCUCUCAAUAACUCUCCAGAAUGGCCGCCCAAAAGCACCUCCUCUAGCUCCCUCUCCUAGCUCCCGAAAACUCCCCCCUCCUAAUCACAGCCCAGCCUCCCCAAAAAGCCAUCUGCUCUCUGCCAACCUCGUCUUUUCUUUCUCUACCAGAUUUGCCCCUCUAACAAUAUCUCCAGAAACAGCUACCUCCAAGCACCACUACUCUGCAGCCUCCCCUUUCUCUCUCAUACGCGUCUCAUAACGGCCUGCAGAAUCCCCUUCCAGCAUAACGGCUUGUAGCUUCCUUUUCAGAAUCUUCUUUACAGAUGUCGUAUCCUCAUUGGUCCUCCAAGCUACUAGCCUGAUUCCCUAGCAGCCAUCCACGAGUCGACAAGUGGCUCAUUAAGGGGCCUCCAUCUGGUAAGAAAGUGACCUACAGAAACGCUAAAAAGUGAGGGCCCAAAAUGGGGGUCCACAGUAAGGCAAUAAUUUCCAAAAUUCUCUUUAAUUAAUUAAAAAAAAAAUCAUUAGAAUUGAUGAUUUUUUAUCUUCACUUUACUAUACGACAAGAGUUUAAACAUUUCUAAUUCAAAUUUGAUGAUUUAAACAUUGUUAUUUCCAUUUUCAAUGAAGGAUUGAAUUAAUAUAAUUUAUGGAAUUUUAGUUUGUUAAGAACCGGAUAGAUUAUGAGGGAAAAAUAAUGAGGUAUGCAAUAGAAGAAUUAUGGUUUCAUUUUUGAAAUUUUUUGGAUUGAUUUUAGAUUAAUUUCUUAUUCAAAUUAAAUUAUUUGUAUAUUGUCUUGUUUUAUUCUUAAGUAAUAAUCCAUCAAAAAUAAAUAAAUAUCUAAAUUUUCUUAAGAAAUUGAAAAAAAAAAAAAACAUGAAAAGAGAACCUAUUUGAAUCAUAUGAUUCAUAUUAUUUUUUCUUAAUAACAUAUUUACUAAUUUACAUAAAGUUGUCCAUAAUUUUCAAAAAUAGAUUUAAUUUUGUUAUAAGUUAUCAACAACUAUCUUUUUGUCAAAAACAAUUACCAAAUAUGGUUCUAAGUUUGAAAAUUUGUUUUCAAAAACAACCCUCAAGCAAAUUCUUAGGUCCAUUUGGCUAUGUUUUUUAAAACUUGUUUGAAUGAAAGAAUUUGUAUUAUUUUUAAAGACAAUGUCUUACUUUUAUUGUAUAAGAAUUUUAUAAAUUUAGUUUAUAUUAAUGUAAAAUCAAAUUCAAGUUAAGUUUCAUUUAAAAAAAAUAAAAAUUAAAUUUACAACUAUAUAUAAGUUAAAGAUAAAUAAUUUUUUUUAAUUAUGAAAUAAUUUUUUUAUUCUAGUGAAACAAAAAUUACUAUUUUAGUAUUUAUUUUUAAUACAAAUCAAAUAUGUCCUUUAAUUUUAUUUUUUUUCCAUUUGGCCAUGAUUUUUUAAAAAUUGUUUUUUAAGUUAAAGAACAUAAAACAAUUUUUUAAUGUUUUAUAAAAUAAGGUAUUUGUCAAGUUGUUUAUAAAAAAAAUACUUUAAAAAUAAAAAUAAAACCAAUUUGUUUGGAUAAGUUGUUUUUAAAAAUAAAUUUUCUAUUUUGAUUUUAUAAAAAUAUUAUAAAUUCAAUUUAUAUAACAUUAAUUAAAUUUAAUUGAAGUCUUAUCGAAAAUAAAAUUAAUUUUGUAUUACAAAGAAAUUCAAAAGAAAUAUUUUUUAGUAAAACAUGAAUAGCAUAUAUUAUAAUAAAAUCAUCAAUUAUAUUUUUAAUAAAAAAUAUACUAUUUUAUUAUAUGUUAGAAACAUAAGAAUAUUAACAUAUUUUUGUAAAAAAAAAAAAAUUUUUGCUGUAAAAAUAAAUAAUAAUAAUUUAAAAAUAAUAAUUGUCAAUAGUAUUUUAUUUAAAAUGAAUAAUGAAUAAAGUUUAACUUUUUAACAUGUAAAUGAGUCAAGUUUUAUUACAUGCAUACAUUUAGUACUCAAUUUCUACAAUUAAUUGGAUCAAAUUUUUUUAUUGCAAAUUAUUCUUAAAAGUUAAAGGAUUUGUUAAAAAAAUUAAAUUAUUAAUUAUGUUUUACUUAAUUUAUAAUUUAUUUACCUAGUAAAAAUUUUUUUUAAAUAGUUGUACGUAUAGAAGAAAUAUUAAAGUCAUGACUCAUUAUACAUCAAUUUUAUUCUUUUUUUUUUUUUUUGCUUUGAUGACUAAAUGAUCUAUUUUUGAGUUCCAAAUUAUUUUUAAAAAAAAUUAAAUUCAAUAAAAACUAUCACUUGAUUUGAAGUUUAUUUUUCUAGUGGAAAAAUUUAUAAAAAUAUAGUUAUGUGUAGAAAAGAAAUAAUAGAGUCAUUAUAAACUAAUUUUUAUCCAUGAAAUUAUGGUAUUAAUAAAGUAUUGUUAAUAAAUCCAACCUAUUAAAUUUUAUUUAAUUUUAAGUUCAUUUACUUAGUGAAAAAAAAAAAAUCAUAACAUAAUGAUUCUAUAUAGAAGAGAAAUAUUAAAGUUGUCUUAAAUUAAUUUUUAUUCAUAAUAGAAGAGAAAUAUUAGAGUUCUUAUAAAUUAAUUUUUAUUCAUAACAUUCUAAUAUUAAUUGGGUCACUAUUUAAGUUUUAAAUUAUUUUUAAAAUUUUCUAAAUUCAUUAAUGAAUUUAACACAUUAAGUGUUGUUUAAUUUGGAAUUCAUUUAUCUAAUGAAAAAAAUCAAAAAUAAUAAUUCUAUAUAAAAGAAAAAUAAUAGUUAUUUUAAACUCAUUUUAUUGGUAAAUUUUUUAUAUUAAUUGAAUCAGUAUUUAAGUUUUAAGUUGUUAUAUAUAGUUACUAUCUAUUUCACUUUAUUUUUAAAAAAUUAAAAAUAGAAAAACAAUAUCAAUGUUAUGAAUUUUUAAAAAUUAUUUUCUAUUUUUAAAUCACUCGUCAGAUGGGCUCUUAUUUUCUUAUAAAUUACCAUAUUGAAUUUUUGGGGCUUGACAUGGUAACUAGAAGAAGCCAACCAAAAUUAAAUUUGCAACCCCUCCUAAAAUAUUAAUCCAACAAUACUCAAAAAUCAUUUUUGGUCAGCUCUCCCUCUUUUAUGAGCUUGAAGCCUUCCACAACAUCAUUUCUCUCAAACUAGCCAUUGGGGAAGACCGUGAUAACUCUCUCUCUUCCCUCUCCCGCCCAACCCCUCCCCUCCUUCCACCUUCUUUCAAAACCCUAAGCCCUCCCCGCCAAAACAUUAUCCCCAACCCGCAUUCUCACAAAAACCCCAACUUCGAGCCCCUCAAGAACCGUCAGAUCCGCCAACUCGACGUGGGCCACCUCAACCAUGCACUCUCCUCCCUUGAUCUCAUGACCCUGCAAAACGCCCCACCAGACCUCACCACCUACUCCAUCCUCCUCAAGUCCUGCAUCCGAUUCCGCAACUUCCAACUCCGGAAACUCGUCCACCGGAAGCUAAUUCAGUCUGGACUUGAGCUCGACUCGGUUGUGUUGAACACUCUGAUCAGCUUGUACUCCAAAUGUGGCGACACCGCAACCGCUAGGUUGAUUUUUGAGGGAAUGGAAAAUAAGAGACUUGGUUUCAUGGAGUGCGAUGGUCUCAUGUUUUGCGAUUAACAGCAUGGAGUUGCAAGCAAUUUGGACAUUUUUUUUAUUUUCUCGAAUUGGGUUUUUACCCAAAUGAGUAUUGCUUUGUGGUCAUGAUUCGGGCUUGUUCAAUGAGUUGGGGAGAUAAUUUAUGGGUUUGUGGUGAAAACCGGGUAUUUUGAGGCUGAUGUGUGUGUUGGGUGUGAAUUGAUUGAUGUGUUCGUGAAGGGUAGUGGUGACUUGGGCUCAGGUUAUAAGGUGUUCGAGAAAAUGCCAGAGAGAAAUUUGGGUACUUGGACUUUGAUGAUAACUAGAUUUGCGCAAUUUGGUUGUGCCAGAGAUGCGAUUGAAUUGUUUUUGGAUAUGGAAUUGAGUGGUCAUGCACUGGAUCGGUUUACAUAUGGUAGUGUCCUUUCUGCUAGUACAGUGUCAGGAUUGUUAGCACUAGGGAAGCAAUUGCAUUCCCAAGUUAUACGUUUGGGAUUGGCUUCAGAUGUUUGUGUUGGUUGUAGCUUGGUGGACAUGUAUGCAAAGUGUACAGCAGAUGGGUCCGUGGAUGAUUUGAGGAAGGUAUUUGAUCGGAUGCCUGAGCAUAAUGUUAUGUCUUGGACCGCAAUUAUCACAGCAUAUGUGCAAAUUGGAGAGUGUGAUAAGGAAGCUAUUGAACUUUUCUGCAAGAUGAUAUCUGGCCGUGUACAGCCUAAUCAUUUCUCAUUUUCAAGUGUUCUCAAGGCAUGUGGAAACCUUUCUGAUCCUUAUAAACAUGCUUUAAGGGAAAUGGAGAAAUUUAUUAGAUAAUUCAAGGUGAAUACAGAAGACUACCCUCGGUCCAAGGGUGCCAAGGAACUGCCUCUGGCUAAAACAUUACCUUGGUACAUAUAUGGAUCUUACAGAAGCACUAACCCUUGCAUCUAAACCAAUCAACCACAAAGUAUUACAGGACAGAGAAUGAGAGUAGCUAUUGCGAGGCACUACCUUCCCUCCAAGCUGAUCGUCAUUGUCGCAUUUCGUGAAGAAAUUGGUACCCCAACUGGAUUGUUCAUAUGAUCCUCAACUGACAUCUCCCUGGAGUAUAGAGUAGGCCUGGGGGGCAUUUGCAGGAGUUCAACUUCACCUUCUAGCAUCUCCAAUGCCUUGCUCAUUGAAGGACGAUCCGUGGGAUUCAUCUGUACACACCAUAAUGCAACUAUGACUAUCUUCCGUAUAUACUUGUGUUCGUCCUCAGUGGCAUCUCCAAUUUCCAUGUCUUCUCCUUGAUCUAUUCGAUCAUAAAUCCAUGACGGGAAGUAUGUUUGGCUUUGCUCUAGACAUGUAUUUGCAUGCUUCCUUUUUUCCCACCAUUUCCAUUAAUAACAUUCCAAAACUAUACACAUCAGCUUUAUAUGAAACACCUCCAAUGUUCUUGUAGAAUAAUUCUGGAGCAAUAUAUCCUAAUGUUCCUCGAGCAGUAGUUAGAGACACAAUGCUUUCUUCUAUUGAAUGUAAUUUUGCAAGGCCAAAAUCAGAAACUUUGGGGAUAAAGUUUGCAUCAAGAAGAAUGUUGUGCGGCUUGAUAUCAAAAUGCAGAAUUUGCAUGUCACAACCUUGAUGUAAGUAUUCAAUCCCACAACCCACACCUAGUGCAAUCUUAUAUAAUCUUUCCCAACUCAGAAGAAUGUUGUUUUCAAGUUUAGAAAAAAGAAACUUAUCAAGGGACCCAUUAGGCAUAUAUUCAUAUACCAGAGCCCAUUUUAAUCCCUCUGCACAAAAUCCACAGUCGCACUAACAUUAACAUGGUGAAUCCUUCCAAUUGUGGCUACUNNNNNNNNNNNNNNNNNNNNNNNNNNNNNNNNNNNNNNNNNNNNNNNNNNNNNNNNNNNNNNNNNNNNNNNNNNNNNNNNNNNNNNNNNNNNNNNNNNNNAAGGGAAAUGGAGAAAUUUAUUAGAUAAUUCAAGGUGAAUACAGAAGACUACCCUCGGUCCAAGGGUGCCAAGGAACUGCCUCUGGCUAAAACAUUACCUUGGUACAUAUAUGGAUCUUACAGAAGCACUAACCCUUGCAUCUAAACCAAUCAACCACAAAGUAUUACAGGACAGAGAAUGAGAGUAGCUAUUGCGAGGCACUACCUUCCCUCCAAGCUGAUCAUCAUUGUCGCAUUUCGUGAAGAAAUUGGUACCCCAACUGGAUUGUUCAUAUGAUCCUCAACUGACAUCUCCCUGGAGUAUAGAGUAGGCCUGGGGGGCAUUUGCAGGAGUUCAACUUCACCUUCUAGCAUCUCCAAUGCCUUGCUCAUUGAAGGACGAUCCGUGGGAUUCAUCUGUACACACCAUAAUGCAACUAUGACUAUCUUUCUUAUAUACUUGUGUUCGUCCUCAGUGGCAUCUCCAAUUUCCAUGUCUUCUCCUUGAUCUAUUCGAUCAUAAAUCCAUGACGGGAAGUAUGUUUGGCUUUGCUCUAGACAUGUAUUUGCAUGCUUCCUUUUUCCCACCAUUUCCAUUAAUAACAUUCCAAAACUAUACACAUCAGCUUUAUAUGAAACACCUCCAAUGUUCUUGUAGAAUAACUCUGGAGCAAUAUAUCCUAAUGUUCCUCAAGCAGCAGUUAGAGACACAAUGCUUUCUUCUAUUGAAUGUAAUUUUGCAAGGCCAAAAUCAGAAACUUUUGGGAGAAAGUUUGCAUCAAGAAGAAUGUUGUGUGGCUUGAUAUCAAAAUGCAGAAUUUGCAUGUCACAACCUUGAUGUAAGCAAUGAUGAAAAUAUCGGUAAUCACGGAUAUAUCGGUAACUUGAUUUUACGGAUAUAUCGGAGAAAUAUCGACGGAUAUUUUGGAAAAAAAAUUUUGAUAGGUAAAAAAUUGAUUAAAAUUCAUAAAAAUGUAAAAAAAACCUCAUAACAAUAUAAUUAGAAGUAUAAUAGAUAAUUUAAAUUUAUUUUGUUGAAUAAUUUGAUAUAUAUAUUAUAUGAUUUGCGAUAUUAUAUGUAAUUAUAUUAUGUGGGUUAAUAAAAAAUAUGAAUUUUGUAAUUACGCAUUCAUUAUCAAGUUUCAUACAAAAUUUGAUUUUAUUAAAUAUAAAUAAUUUAUAUAUAUUAACUUGAUUUCAUUAAAUACCAAUAAUUUGUAUAUAUUAUCACAUAGAUGUUGGGGCUCACUUUGGAUCGUUCGAUCACAUUUUGGACCAUCACCAUCGAGUCAUGAUUUGUUUCCAUUUUUUUUUUUUUAUCUCUACUAAAUUUUUAAAAAAUCAAAAGGCCACCCAUCCGAAAAGCCUUUUGCUGAAGACCCGCUUCUCUCACUCAGGCAUCAAAAAGCCCUUGACUGAAGCUGCCCUCCGGACGAGAGAAUCGGCCCCAAUUUGCUCUUUCACUCUCAAUCCUCGCAGGUUCUAAUUGAAUCAUUUAUUACCUUUUUUUUUUUGCAACCCCUGUUUGAUUCCCAAGAAAAUCCAUCCCCCAUUCAAUUUCCGGGAAAAUCCAUCCCCCAUUCGAUUUCCGGGAAAAUUCAUCCUCGUUUGAUUUCCGAGAAAAUUCAUCCUCGUUUGAUUUCCGAGAAAAUCCGUGCAAAACCCUCAAGGAAAACCAAAAAAAUUGCUUUUUUUUUUUUCUCCCUGUGUUUUCUGAUCUGUUCUAGGGUCGCUUUGCUUUUGUGCCAUUGGAUUUAAAUUUCACGAACCCUAAAUCCGUGAUUUUUGAGCCAGGCUGAAAAACAACCUUUGCCUGCAAGUCAUGAUCAAAUUACUAGUCAAUUUCAUAAUCAUUUCAUAAUUAGAGUGAAAAAAUAUUUUUCUUUUCUAUUAUUAUUUAUGAAUGUGUAGUUAGCAAAUGUUGUAAUGAAUGGUUCAUGAUGAAUGGGAUUUUUGUACAAUAAACUAUUUUUUAGGCUCACUUUUGAAUUAAGGCCAUACUUAUCUUUUAACAUAAGUCUUAAAAUGUAAUAAAAUAUUUAAUAAAAUUACGUUCUAUUUAGGCUUAAGUCAAAUUAUAAUUUAUUUAGUUUUAAGAUAAAUUAAACAAAUCUCAUUCAAAAAUUUAAGGCUUACAACAUCAAUUUUCCUUUUUUUUCCACUAAUUUUCCUAUUCAGUAAUGAGAUGCUCUAAAGAGCUUAUUGUUUUCUUAUUAUUAAGAGAAAAAUCAUUAAAAAAAGAAAACUAAUCAUACAAUUUACGAGGAAAUUAAUAAAAAUUAAAAUUAGAAUUUGGACAACCUUACAUUAAUUAACUAAAGGCAUCCUUUUCCAAAUUGGGAAAUGCAAGGAAUACCAAGAUUGGUUCACUAUUAAAAGCAAAUUCCAUGAAGGUAACUAGAAUGCUAAUUGAAACUCACAAAAAUAGAAUAAUUUAAAGUCACUUUAUCUAAAUUACUCUAAAGGUAGGCAUGAAGAGAAAGAUAUACAAUUACAAACAAAAAAGUGAUCUCUCAUGAGUCCAAGUUACAAUCCCUUGCCUAAAAAAUGAUACAUGCAUCAAUUUCUUUCCUCAUGGGGCCUUAGGGACAUAGGAGACUGAACUAGUCAAGUUUGAGAGGCUAAAUGCCAACUGACAGUCAUUGUCAUAAUUAGUAUCCAAAAAAUAUGAUAAGAUUCAUAACACAAUGACUGAGAUAUUCCAUGGAGAUGACAACAUGUUGCUAAAAGAAUUGAUUGGUACCUAAUAUUCCAUGGAAAAAGUUGUAUAAAUAAGAUAGAACCCGUUAAACUAGCUUGGAGGUUUAGAAAUUCAUAAAAAUUAGUUAUAUUAUGAACUAGCUUGGUGGCUUUAAUGUCAAUCAAGCAAGACAAAUCCAAAAAUUCAAUUAAUUUAUCCUCUUCCUAAAAUUCAUAAUUGAGAGGUUCAUGGGUUCUUCCUUUUAUCUCAUCCAGCUCAUUGGAUAUUUCAGGAAGGCAAAGGAAUCAAGUCCCUCCAAGUGCAAGGACAAAUCUCCAUUUAGUACCAAGAAAAUGAACUCAAUGAGUACCCCUAUAUACAAUGGGCCACACAAAUUGAAAAUAGACCCCAUAUACAAUAGACCACAUAAAGAAUAAAUCAUAGUGAUACAAUGGUCACACAUAUAUAAUGGACUAUAUAGUUGUAUGAACCACACAAAUUGAAAAUAGACCCUAUAUAUGAUGGACCACAUAAAGAAAGAAACAUAGUGAGAAAUUGGUCGCAUACAUACAAUGGACUAUAUGGUCCACGACCAUUAGUGAGAAAUAGUCGAUUAUAAAAAUUCAUAGACUUCUUGAAAUGAUGAUGCUUAUGGGGAUGAUUUAAAAAUUUUAAAGUCUUUUUUUUUAAAAAAAAAAAAAUAGACACAUAGCAAUAGGUUUCACAUGAUUCAACAAUGUAGUUAUAUCCAUCGUUGAGUUAGGAAACUUUUUAAUAACAAAUCCCAACUCCCAAAGAACUAAUGUAAGUGGUUUUCGAUAAGGAAAUAUGUACUUUCAACUAACACACUGAAGGUUUAUUUGCAAAUAUUUUUAAAAUUAGUUUUUAUUUUUUAAAACAAAAAUAAUUUUCCAACCUCAAAAAUACAUCUAACAGAUUUUAGAAUAAAAAUAUCAUGAAAACAGAGUGAUUGGAGGUUUUUUUUUUUUUUUUUUUUCAUUUUGCAUGGUAAAUUACAUUCACCUAUAACUAAUAAAGAAAACCAUAUUUUAGAAUUUCAAAUAGAAUUUUAUUCCUAAAAAUGAUAUAAAAUUGUUUUUACAAAUUGUUCUCAAAAAAUUAUUUUUCAAAUUUUUUUUUGAAAAUAUUAUCCACCAUGCCUCAAAUUUUCUUACGAGAACCUAAUCUUGCAAUUUCUUAGAUCUAAUUUGCAAGAUGCAAAAGAAUGCUGCGAGAUCUUCGCAAGUAACAAGGCAACAAAUGACAUGAGAACAAGUCCUCCUAGCUACCUUAAUAGUACUAAGCUUUUCCCAAGAAAGCAAGACAUAAUGACUAACGUUAUUUGCUUGAGGCUAGUUUUUUAAUAAGCUCCCUUAUAGUUGCUUACCUAACCUCAAAGCCUACUCUCUUUGGAGAACAAGAGUCUUCCACAUUUUUUAUUUUUUGAGAUCCAUCUGCAAACUUUAAUGGAAGAUCUCAAUUAGUGCAAGGAAAGAAACAAUUAAUAAAGGUGGAGCCUCAAAAGCAACCUAUUUUAUUAAACUAUAGCAUAAAUAACGAGAUUACAUUAUCACCAUUUAUUACAACAUGAUUAUUACCCAAAUUAAACACUCAUAAUAGACAACUUCUUAUUCUAUUUCUGAUAUGAUUGUCAACUCUGGUUGGAUAGAUGUUUUACGUCUUCUAACACUUGUCCUUGUUUGUCCCAUAGAGGUAAAAGGAUUAGGAGGCAUAACUAAAUUGCCUUCUUCUCCUUCCAACAUUCCAACCACAAUUUUCAUGGAAGGACGAUCUAUUGGAUACCAUUGGAUACACCAAAGCCCUAUGAUGCUUAGUUUCUUUGCUAUUUUAAUAUCACUUUCGUCCUCAAUUCGGAUGUGUACCUCUUGCUCUUGAUCCAAAUGAUUAUAGAGCCAUUCUGGGAAGUAUGCUUGACUAGUAUUUUCUACUGUAGCAUCAAUAUUCUUCCUUCCCCCUACCAUUUCAAUCAACAACAUACCAAAACUAUAAACAUCUGACUUAGAAGACACAUUCCCAAAAUUUCUUGAUAACAUUUCUGGUGCAAUAUAACCCAUGGUCCCUCUUGCUGCUGUCAUAGAUACUGCACUUUGCUCCUUAGAGCAUAAUUUGGCUAAACCAAAAUCAGAAAUCUUCGGAUUAAAGUUAUGAUCAAGCAAAAUAUUAUGAGGUUUGAUAUCCAAAUGAAGGAUUCUUUGAUCACAACCUUGGUGAAGAUACUCAAUACCUUUAGCUAUGCCAACAACAAUAUCUUGAAGUUUAUGCCAACCUAGAGAAUAAUUAUUGCCAAAUGCUGAAAAUAUGAACUUGUCUAGUGACUCAUUUGGUAAAAAUUCAUAAAUCAAAGCUCGCUUAUAUCCAUCUGCACAAAACCCGAGCAACCGAACCACGUUAACAUGAUGUAUGGUACUCAUUGUUCCUACUUCAUUAAUGAAAUCUUCCCCGUUUCCUUUGAAAUCAUCAAGGAUCUUUACUGCAACAAAAACUUCAUUUGAGAGCUUUCCUUUAUAAACAGUCCCAUAACCUCCUUGACCUAGUUUGUCCUUGAAAUUAUUUGUGAUCUUUUUAAUAUCAGCAUAGGAGUACCUUGAGGGCUUGAGAGCUCUAUAAUCUUCCAAAAACUUUUGAAUAUUUACUCUAUGCUCUCUUUUCAACUUAUUAGAGCGAUAGACAAUAAAUAUUAUAAAGAUUCCAAAAGUGAAAUGAAGGAAACCAAGGAUUGCUUCUGCACAUAGGGGAAAAAAAGUUUCUAUAAGUAAUUGAAACAAGAAAAAAAAAAAAAAAAAAAGACAAACUAAGAAUCAUCAUCAUGAUGUCACCCUCAUUAUUGAAAAGAAUAUGAAUAGGAAAUCACCUGUAAGCACCAUUUUAUCCAUUGGAGCACCUGUAAAAGAUAGUAAACUUAUUAGCUUUUUGUAUUCUUUUAAUUAGUAAAAUCAUAAUAGAUUGCAUGACGUUGUAACAUGAGUAUAGUUAUUUUUGGUGUAUUUGGAUUUCAACCUUGGCCUUUGCAGUCCUUUCUACAGGUUCGAUUGUUUUAGCUAAGCCUAAUUGUUGUAGCUAGCUUGUAAUGAAUAAAUAAUAUUGCAUGUUCAGAUCCAUUACUAUAGUAGUUAAUUUGGUUCACAUCCAUAAGGGUUCAAUCCAAUUUUAUGGUACAAACAGAGAAUACUAUAGAAAAUUUCAUGUGCAUAUUAACAUCAUAGUAGGAGAUAAGAAAGGGCUUGCAAGGUGAAAAUGAUGAAGAAGCGGGAUUUAGUACCUUUUGCUGGUUUAUCAAUGCAUUCGAUUUCAGGUUCCGUGCUAUUAUUCUUCUUCCGUUGGCACUUGUUUCCUUUUGCUUCACAGUUUCCGCACAUAGGUUUUGACCAAUUCAUAUAAAAUUCCCUUUCAUGAUCAAACAUAUAAUUAUCUGGGAGUGUAGCAUUGAAAAUCUUCUGGCAAGAGGAUAAGUUCACUUCAGCGAGAGAGUAAGAGGAAGGAGCGACAUAAACUGGGUUACUUGAGAGAAUACUGUAAGGGAUGGACCAAAGUUGAUUAUCAGCAUAUGAUAGCUGAUUUGUUAUAUCUUCAGAACAAUUGAUUUCAGGUUCCCUGCUAUUAUUCUUCUUCCGUUGGCACUUGUUUCCUUUUGCUUCACAGUUUCCGCACAUAGGUUUUAACCACUUCAUCCAAAAUUCCCCUUCAUUUAUAUAAAAAAAUGGGAGUGUAGCAUUGAAAAUCUUCCGGCAAGAUGAUAAGUUCACUCCAGCAAGAGUGUAAUAGGAAGGAGCGACAUAAACUGGGUUACUCGAGAGAAAACUGCAAGGGAUGGACCUAAGCUCAUAUAUCUCUGCUUUACUUUCAGAACAAUUGAAGAAGGAGAAGUCGUUUGUGUAGUAUGUGAAGAAAGAGGCAGGUAAAUUAAGGUUUAGAAUCUGCCUUGGAAGGCAAUCAUCCGGGUAUUGGACAAAAAUCUCCUGAGAAGUGUAAUUUAUUUCCUUCACCCAGAGUAUUACUGAAGAGGGCAGCUCUAGUAUGGUCCGCUUCUCUUCUGAGCAUGAUAACUCAAACUCCGGAUAUCCACAGUGUUCUGGCUGGUGUUUUAGCCUGAACGGAAACCGGAUGACUGGACCAUGGUGACUGCACCUUGACGCCUUGCACUCAUCAUCUUGGCUCCCUCCAUUAAUCUCUGCAAACAAUCUCAUAAACAAGAAGAAGAAGAAUAAAGAGAUGCCCAUUUUUAAGCAACUGCUUAUCUCUAUAGUUUUAAUUUGCACUGCUUCUCCCCUACUUUAUAUAUAUGUAAUUAGAUUUGAAAAUUUUGUACAAAGGGAAGCAGGAGCUUUUAGGGAAUACAAAAAAGAUGGAGGACUGCUACAAUAAAAAUUUAGUUUUAUCUCAGAAUAUAAAAUUUACUUGAAAAAAUUGGUCUAUCAGUAUUUACUAACAUGCCGUAUGAGUAAAGAAAGAUGAUAAAGAUGAUCCUUCUUUAUCCUUUUUCCCAUUGUUGAGACCUAAAAAUUAGGUAAUAUUUAAAACAUAAACAAUUCCAAUAUAAACCAUAAUACUUCAAGCAUCAUUUUUAACAUAGUGAUUCUAAAUAAUGGGAAGCUCACAGUUGGCUGGAUGUGAUAGGAUGAAAGUGUGGUCCCUGUUGAAAAAUCAAACAGUUUGGGGAAGAAUAACAUGUUGAAGAAAGCUGAUUAAAACAGAGUAUCUCUCUCUCUGUGGAACUCACAACCCAAAAACAGAGCAUCUCUCUCUCUCUCUCUCUCUCUCUCUCUCUCUCUAAAAGUUGAUAAUGUUAAGGGAGGCACAACUCGUGGGAGUAGGCCUCAUGACAGUAGUCAUCCAUGCCUGCUUCCUUUCAGUUUGUGUUGCUAAGCAUCACAAGUACCAGAUAUGCAGCCCCUCUUCCUGCGGAGAUAUGAGGAACAUUUCCUACCCUUUUCGAUUACAAGACGAUCCCCCCAGCUGCGGUUACCCUGAGUACCAAUUGAUUUGUGAAAACAAUCGUACUAUGAUAAACCUGCACGGUGGGAAAUACUUGGUUACCCAGAUCAACUACCAUAAUUAUACAAUUCGGGUAGUGGAUCCUGGGAGAAAGAAGGACAACUGUUUGAUCUCCAGUCCUCUUCAUUCCAUUGGUGCAUAUUACACUGAUUAUGAAUCUCCAUAUUAUUUGCCUUAUGAAUGGAAAGCUGGUGUUUAUUCUCCUUCGGUUUCUGCACCAACAUUCUAUACAAUAGUUUUGAUGAACUGUGAGCAGUCAAUCAGGGACGACAACUAUAUUCAUAUAAUUCCAUGCAACACUAGAGGCUCUUCAUCUUCCUCACCAACAUACACUUAUGCAGUUGUCGGAGACUAUGUGUCGGUGGGAGAUAUUCCGUAUUCAUGUACCAUCGGCACAUCUAUUAUUAUUCAACCGUUGAAGUCACUUCGAGAGCCCAGCAAUCUUUCGAUGUCAGAUUUGCAAAAUUAUAUGCUUCUGGGGCUUCAGCUUUCAUUUUUGCCUCACUUCUGUGUCCGCCAAUGCGAAAUGAAAGGGCAAGUUUGCUCCUCAGAAGAUUCCACUGCAGCUGCCUUUCAAUGCGAGAACCAGAACGAACAUAUUCCCAACACUUCAGAGAAAAAUUGUGAGUAUAAGAUGCCCUCAUACUUGAUCUUUGGAGUUGGGGUUACAGUGCCUGCAAUCAAGGAAACGCGAUUUUAUAGGAAAUUAAUUCCCUGAAAAUCUGAUUAUGCUAACCAUCUUAUCUUCCUUGCGUGAGUCUUCAAUAUUUCUAUCCCUAAUUUCACUUGUUUGGUUUAAUCUUGCAGGGCUUUGGAAGUUUAUAACAAAUAAUUUAUUGCUACCCUUCUUUAGUAAGGCUUCAACUAAAAUUUUCUUUGAAAUCAAAUCUUUAUUUUAUUCAUUUUUCCUAUUUUUUUUACAAAAUUUCCUAAUUCAUUGUUAACAGGGGGGUUACUUUCUCCCUACACCUUAAAAUUUCGAGGUAAGGAUGCUUCUUGCAAUUAUUAUUUUCUUAUGAGAAUAAGAUAAAAGAUUUAUUUAGAGUUCUUUCAUCUUAAUUAAUCUCUUCUUUUCUUGCUUCUCAAAAAUUUAAAAUUUAGGUGAUCAAGGGCAUUCUUCCUUGUGACUAACAUGGCACGGAUGGUUUGAUGUAGGACUUCAAAAAGAACUUGGUAAUUGCGGACUUUACUAUCCCUGCAACACCUCGAUGAUUGGUAAGGCUUUCUUCACUUACAUGUCUCCUCUUCUAAUGUUAUUUAUGUCUCUCACUUAUAUUGGUCCAUAUUUUUAAUUUGUUACAUCUCUUCCUUACUAGGCGGCUGGAUACUGCGUAUUAUUGGUAAGCCUCCUAAAUUCCAACUACUAAUUUUUUGUAAAAACAAUAUUGUAAAGAGUUGAUAUGAAAAUUCUUGGAAUUCUUGCAUUUUGAAGGUUGUGCAGUGAACUUCAAAUUGAUUUUGCUUUGUUUGACUGUACAAAGCAAAAUCAAUUUAGAUGUAAUUCAAAAUUUUCUCCCAAAUUUAAAUGUAAUUCAACUCCACUAACAUGUAAAGAAGUCAAAACAAUGGAAUUGAAACUAGGGUCUUCUUAUCCAAGGCCCCAACACUUUUGUCAAAUUGCUCCCCAAGCAACAGUACACUAUAAAGUGAUUGUUAAAGUAGUUAUUUCAUAUGGCUCUCUAAAAACACAACAACUUAGUGUUUUACUUUAUAUGAAGGUAGAAUAUUUUUUUCUACCAUCUAUAUUUGUUGGAUUUAAUUUUGUUUUUGAUAUCUUGUUCCUUUUUCUUAAAAUAUUCAUUUUUUUUACAUUUGAUUUGUGUUUAGUCAUAGGAAGGACUAUGCUCGGGAUGUUGUGCCUAUUCGCCUAUUUGAUUUACAAGUUCCACCGGAGACAUCCAUCAUUAGAUGAUAGUAUUGAAGAAUUCUUACGGAGUCAAAAAAAUCUCCAACCCAUCAAGUACUUGUAUUCAGACAUAAAGAAGAUGACUCAUAACUUUGCGAAUAAAUUAGGUCAAGGAGGUUUUGGCUCUGUAUAUAAAGGAAAACUUCAAAGUGGUCGCAUUGUAGCUGUGAAAGUGCUAGUCAUGUCAAAAGCUAAUGGACAAGAUUUCAUCAAUGAGGUUGCAACAAUAGGAAGAAUUCACCAUGUUAAUGUGGUGAGACUUGUAGGCUUUUGUGUACAGGGAUCAAAAUGGGCACUUAUAUAUGACUUCAUGCCCAAUGGUUCUCUUGAUAAGUUUAUUUUUCUUAAAGAAGAAAAUAACACUUUUUUGAGCUGGGAAAGGUUGUAUAAGGUUGCACUUGGAGUGGGGCGUGGGAUUGAAUACUUACAUCAAGGUUGUGACAUGCAAAUUCUACAUUUUGAUAUCAAGCCACACAAUAUUCUUCUUGAUGAAGACUUUACACCAAAAGUUUCAGAUUUUGGCCUUGCAAAAUUGUAUUCAACGGAUGAAAGUAUGGUGUCUCUCACUGCUGCACGAGGAACAUUGGGAUAUAUUGCUCCAGAAUUGUUCUAUAAAAAUAUUGGAGGUGUCUCAUACAAAGCUGAUGUUUAUAGUUUUGGAAUGUUGUUAAUGGAGAUGGUGGGGAGAAGAAAGAAUGUGAAUGCAAAUGCAGCGCACUCGAGUCAAAUAUAUUUUCCAUCAUGGAUUUAUGACAGAUAUGAUCAAGGGGAUAACAUAGACUUGGGAGAUGCCACUGAAGAUGAAAAGAAGCUUGUUAGGAAAAUGGUGAUAGUUGCACUAUGGUGUAUACAGAUGAAGCCCAUAGACCGUCCUUCAAUGAGCAAAGCUUUAGAGAUGUUGGAAGGAGAGGUUGAGCUAUUAGAAAUGCCUUCGAAGCCUACUCUAUACUCUGAGGAAAUGUUAGUUGAGGAUCAUAUGAGCAAUCCAAUAGAAGCACCAAUUUCCUUGUGCAAUUCCAUGGGUACAAUUACAUUAGAUGGAAGGUAGCAUAACAUUUUUCCACUUGCAUGCUAUCUCCUAUGAUAUCAUAUGUUUGUAAUUUGGAUUAGAUGUAUGGGUUAUAACUCCUCUUGCAAGGUCCAUAUAAUGUAAUAUUAUCUUGAGGCAUUGGCAUGGUACCCUAGCAAGGUACCCUAGCAACAAGCAUAUAAACAUGUAAUAAUUAUUACCUAUGUUCUAAAUGAUUCAAAUAGCACCAAAUAGGAAUAUCAAUUAAUGUUUUAAGGCCUAGUUCCAUAGUACUCAAAUGAUUAUUGUUGUAUUGCAUAGCCUCACAUGACUUAAAUAACACCAAAUAUAUAUAAUAGAAAACAAAGUAAACUAACUCUAAAUAGAAAGAAAAGCAAUAAGAUUAAUAAAGAUAAAAGAAAGGACAUAAUAUUUAUGAUGUACCAUAAGAGUGUCUUACCUAUGUCCUUGGGAAAUAGCAAUCAAUUCAUUAACUUUUAAAUUAGAAAAUUACAAAAUUGGAAGAAUAUCGGACUAGGAGGCUCUUACUUGGCAAAGAGCUUUCUUUAUACUAAUAUUGGCUAAAGCCACUAAGAUAGCUAAAAGGACAUGGGCUUAUAUAUAAGCCUCCAAGCAUUGACCAUACCAAUUCAUAAUCCAUGUGGGACAAGGAAUCCCUAAACUAACGAAUACUAAUUACACCAAAAACCAACAAAUCUCAACCUUGGAAAAUUAAUACUCCACUACCAACUCCCAAAAUUCAAAUAUUCUCUAACAAAUGAACUUUAAAUGCAUCUCUAGAAACCAUAUACCCAGAAUUUUCAAACUAGUAUGAUAUUAACCAAGCCCAAAUAGUAAGAGGGAGCACUACAGGAAUAAUGCCUUAUAGCAGCAGCUAGUGACCCUCACUAGAGGUCAGAAAUGGUGUGCCUACAAAUUAUGGUUGCACACCAAGCUGACCGCUACAUGGUGUAGCCAUAGGUGGUGCAACAAUUUCUUAUAGUUGCAGUUGUGAAAGUGACCGUAAACACAAGUCAAAGUAAUAGUAGCAACCACAGUAAAGUGUAGCAAAUGGUUCUUACAACUGCAUCUUGUUUUUGGCCCCCGCAAAAUGGCAUAUAGUUGCAUUUUGGAGUUGGCCACAGCUAUAAGUUAUCAUUAUUAAUUUUUUGUGACGCUCAUUUGUGAGGCUCCCCAUUAAAUCCUUCAAAACACUAUAAAAAUGGUGUGGAUCAGAAACAUUUUUCUUCUGAGAAUUUGAGUAAGCAUAAUCUUUCUUUUGAUAUUACAUGCAAUUUCAUGCUGCAAUAGCAGCUUGACCUUAUCCCAACCACCUCAUAACUGAAUGGCAAUUUUUUCUGGAUCUCUUUCAACACCAAUAGCAAGUGUAGAUUGGGUAAACAGAAAAAGAAAAAGGCUAACCCCUUCAAGAUUGACACAAAAGCUUCACGGUAAUAUUCCAAAAUUUGGAGAAAUACAAAACUCAUAGGUCAACAAAAAUCCUUCUCCUGAACAUGAUAUCUAUUAUAAACCUUUUUUCCGGCAAAAAAAAUAAUAGAAUCAUACAAUGGAUAUAUACAAAUGGUGAAUCCCAAUUAGCAUCUACGAAACAAACCUAUAGGAACACAACAGAGAUUUUUUAGAUCAACAUAUUGAGAAAAUGACUUGACACUCAAAAAGAAAGGCUAAGAAGCUCUGAGAUUUGAUGUUUUGUUAAUAGAGAUCCAUGAGGACAUAGAACAACAUAUUUAAAUAGUUAUUUUUUCUAUGAAUAAGAAAAAAGAUUACAUGAGUAACAGCACACCAAUGCUUAUUUGAAUAAAGUGUCAUUCAUGGACAAUAACUAAAGAAACCAACUGGGACUAGGGGGCGAGGCCAUGAUAUUAUCAAUUACGUUACACUAGGUAGGCUAUAAUUACCAUUGAGAGUAGAAUGAUAUAUUCACUUCUCAGCAACUCCAAUAUCUGAUAGUAUCAUAUUACCCUACAGGCAGAAUACAAACAACGGAUGAAAUGUGAGUUGCAACAAUCAGGCAAUCAAAAUCACAUUUUGAACAAUAUAGGAACCCAACAUCCAAACAAAAUAGUAUCAACAAGAAACUGCUAUUCCUUUCAUGAUACAAGGUAUUUUUGCCUCCAUAAAUUAGUAAUUACUUCAUACGGAGUAAAUUUAAGGGUACAACAGACACCACCGCCUCAUAAUUUAAGAACCAAACCAUCAAGAAGGCUAUGUUGAAAUCUAAUCACCACAUCCAAAUAGGUAUUUCUCUGGUCUCAACAAGUGACACAAGGAAAUUUUUGUAUCUAGUGAAUACCUUGGACUACAUCUAGUACAAGGUUCUGUUUUUAUCUUGUAAACAUAUAUAUACAUCCAAACAUGUAUACACACACACGUGUAUGCACUCUGAAGUUCCCUAGAAAUUAUAAGUAGAUUUUGUAGGUACAUGGCUGUGACCAAUUCUUGUCCUAGCUUGUAGUUCUAGGUUAGCCCAAGGUGUACCUUUUCCAAAUUUUCUCUUUAUGAUGUUGCUUUAUCCCUCUAGGGAUAUAUUGUUAAUGGCCACAACCUCAGCAAUCUUUUUCAUGUUUCCAUGCAUGGAUCAGUUUAAAAAGGAAAAACACAUGAUUUCCAGAGUUUGAACUUCCAUUAUUUUACUAUAGGUACAAGGUUAACAUUUUUUGGUAUUCAUGCCCCAGUUUAGUCAUUUCCAUACUGACAUGUGUUAAUGGUGUUUUCUUACAUGCUUAUUGAUGAAAUCCUCCCUUCCCAAGUCCACAAUUCAUUCUAAGUUUAUCAAAAGACAUCAAGGCAUCAUAGAAAAUCAACAAUUCUAAUAUUGUAACAUCUCUAACAUUUGUAGAAAACAUAAGAUUCCAUAUUUAAUCUCUAGAUUGUAAAUUAAGGUUCAAAACUCAAAAGCACAUUCAUAUAGACACAAACCUCACUAGCCAUUAGCUUUCGGACAUUAUUAGCAUAUAAUUUUCCCAUAUAUUACAAAUGAGCUUAAUUUGAGAGUUAUACCCUGGCAAUGAGAGAACCUGCUUUGGGCAACAAUUCAAAUCAUGACAGAAUUUUUUAGUCUCCAUCUCAUCCUUGUAGCAACAUGUACCUCACUCAUGUCAUUCCUUUUGUGUGGAGCUACGAUUAUCUUACCAAUAACAUGCAAAGUAGACAAUAAGACUGAACAAGAAAUCAAAAUUCCUUAAGUUUAGAAUCUUAUACUGUAAGGAGAGUGGAACUAUGAGUGUCCAAGUGUGGUUGCUUGUCAAGAGUUGAAAAUUUGGAUGAUUAUUUGGAGGUUCUAUUCAAAUUCUUGGGCAGAAUGAUUAGAGAAUGAAAAAUGAUUAAGAAAUUUGGACAACAAUAGAGCAAGUAAGAAAAAUUCAGAUCUGAAAUGAAGCAUGAAAUAGACUAAGAAUGAUAAUUAGUUCAUUUGUAGCCCUUGUAAGAAGAUAACUAAGUCUCCAAGUGUAUUAUUACUUUCCCAAAGAUUUUGGCCAACCUUUAAAUUUGUAAAUUAAGUUUGAAGUUUUUAUUGAUCAACAAAAACUGAUUGUCUUAAUAUCAGAAACAAAAGAAGGUUGAGGCUACAACUAUUAUUACUAGCAAAUAAUUAUCAUUUUGCAAGUCUUCUAAUUUAUUUUAAAUGCUUCAAACUUCACCUACUUAGACCUAUCCAACAACUUCUUCAGCAGUCAAGCCAAGAACUUAGCCUUUAAGAUCAAUAAAAAUAAACAUUCCACAAAAGAACAUAGUUUUUUUCAUUUCUUUUGACAAAUGUAAAAUUUUCGUAAUUUGAAAAUUUUCACCUUAAGCUUAAUUUGCUGAUUAUUUGACUUGGAUAGCUACUUAUAAGUACAAACCAUCUUUAAAGGAUAAAUUACUGAACUGCUUAGGCCUGAAACAUGUAAUAAACACCUAAUUUAAAAAACCAAAAUAUAAAGAUUGUUUUUAGUAUAAUAAAAUAUCUGGUUGCUUUAUAAUAAAAAUAUAAAGCAAUGUCUACUGGUAUUUUUCAAUUUGUCAAAAUAGGGAAUGCAGACAUAAUAAUAAUAGAAUUUAAGAGAUAACAAACUAGUGAUGCAACAUAAUGAACCUAUUAACUUGUAUUUUAAAAGAGAACCUUAGAAAGGCCAUACUUAGGACUCUAAAAUUUUCAUUCUACUUAUGAUCUAACCAAGGAGGAUUUUGGAAAGAUCAUAACCUCAGAGAAAGGCAUCAGACUACUACCUGCAUGGAAAUUUGAACAGGAUUUCAGAUUCAAAUCAUUGAGUUUAGGGCAGUCUAAAUACAAAGCUAGCAAGUAAAUUCACAAGUUCAACAUUUGAAUACCAAAAUUGACUCAAGAAGAUGCUCCUUAUACUUAAUUAUCAUUUUAGGAUACUUCAAUUAUGUGUAUACAAGAAAAAAAAGUAUUUUCUGUUUCACUCAUUUUUUCAUUUGUUUCUUAGAAAAAACUUAAUUUCUUAAGCAUUUCUUUUCACAUAAAACUUUAUAUUAUAAAAACUAUUACUUGUUAUUUAUUACCAUUAUUAUUGUAAUAAUUCAUACAAUGAUCAAAAGAAAGAAAGAAAGAAAGAAAGAAACGAAAAAUCAUUGCAUGAUAAAAUUGCUCUAUAGAACAGAUUAAGUUAAUAAACAAAUUCAUUUUUUAAAUUUUCUUAUGCUAAUUGUAAGUAAUACACUUUCAUAGCAAUCACGUUUAGCUUUAGCAUAUUCAAUAUCAAAAAUGAAAAAAAAGGAACAAAAAGGAAAAAAAAAUUAAGUUUCUUCCAGAACAGUAAACUGAUAUCAAAUUGUCCACCUUUGUAUGAUGAGGUUGGAGAGAUGGCAACCUCAAUUGCUAAACAAUUGGCAAUUGGCUGAUGUUAGCAAAUAGCUAAACAAGAAGCUUAAUAAUAAACCCCUUUUAGAUAUAUGGCUAGAGGGACUAGUAAGAUGAAAUCAUUAAAUGAAUCUUUGUUUCUUUGAUGGGGAUUGCAUUUUUUUUUCUUUUUCUCUGAUGGAACUUUGAAGUUACAUUAUAUUUUAAGAAAACCCAAAAACAUGAAAAACUGGAAAAAAAAAAAAAAAAAAACACUAGACAAGACUCCUAGCACCCAAAAAUGAAGGUACAUUAAAGUAAAAGUAAAAAAAAAAAAUUUAGUUAUCAUUUCUUUGAUUAAAUGAUUUGUAACUUGAAAAACCAAAAAGGAACAAAGAAAAAAAGAAAGCAAAAAAGAGAAUGAUAAACCAAAAGAAAAAAAGAUGAACCCUAAAUAGUUAGUGUAGAUACAUUGAAGCCUCUUCCACCAAAUCAAUUAGGUGAAAUAUGGGUUCGAGGGCCAAACAUGAUGCAGGGCAAAGUUUGAUCAAAAGUUUGUGUUAGUUCCUCUUCGCAACAAUUUCUAACAGCAAGUGACCUUAUUUGAAUCUCCCAAUUAAUUAGGUUCCAUUCAAAUUGAACCAUCUCAAUUCAUUUAGAAAGGAAACAUGUUGGUUAAGACAUCAAUUUUGGUUAAAAUCAAAUUAUUAAUGUUUUAAUUUUGCCUUGUAUUGACUUGUGAAGCCAAACAAUGUAUUCCUAAUCAAACUGCUUAAUCUCACAAGUGGUUUGCCUUGGCUGUGGGACCUCCUAAGCUAACCCUCAUCUUGCUAACAUCUGAUUUGCCAAAUUAGGCGGAUUAGACCUGUCAUGUUAUAACAUAUAACUGAACACCUAAGAUUCAAAGUUUGAUUCUUUCAAUUGGUCUUUCAAUUAGACCUCUAUGACAUAUGUGAAAUAUAAAUCUGCUUUUGGAUUUUGUAUCUCUUUGUACCAUUGAGUUUCAAAUAUUCUACAUUAAGGAAAAGGGGUGCUCAAUAAAAGAGAAUGAAAGAAUGGUAAGAUUUUCAUUCUCAGAUAUUUAUAAGCCAAUCUUGGCUAUUAUACCUUGAUCUGCAGCUAACUCUGUGGCCAAUUUGGUUGGAGCUAACUCUCUCAGGAUGUGAAUUGCCUGAGAUAUGGUGGCCUCAAAUGAAAACAGAAGGGAAAGGGAAAAACCAACCAGAAAAAAAAAAGGAAUUUGAUAAUUAGUAAAUUGGCAGGAAGAAAAAGCAAAUGCUCAACCUAGUAGAUAAAAUUAGUAAAGUGUCUCUCCUGUAAGAAUCAGAAUUUCCACUCAAAGAACAAAUAUCAAGCUUAUGUCAAUCAGCUGAAUUAAAAAUGUACAAAUGAGCCUAAAAAAUCAAUUCCUGAUUUUUAAGAAGUUAGAAAAUCACAAAAUUGCAUUUGCCCCAUACAUGAGAUAACAGGAUUUGUAUAGAAGUAAAAUAAUGGCUGGUGAAAAACAAAUGUUGAAGUCCAUUUAAGAUUACCACUUUAAUCCUAAGAAAUGAAAAUUGAGGGAGGUAAAUUAGGAAGCCGUUUCCCUCCUACAAAAUUGCAUAAACCCCAAAACCUAUCAAAUGUUUCUCCUGAAUAGCAAUUAUACAUGAGAUAAAUAUAGUUAAAUGACAUGAUUUUCAACAUCUGAAUUUUCAGAUUUUUGACAAAAUGCUUCUAGUCCAUACCCAUUAAUUUCAAUAAACUUAAUAUUCAUUUGUCCCCUUCUUCUUAGUGUUUACAUGAAGAACAAAAUUAGUCCAAGGGGGUUACUACUUUGAUGGAUUCAAAAUAAAAUAAAAAAAAAAUAGAUAAAAAAAAAAAAAAAAAAAAGAAACAAGAUUAAGAUGAGUCAAAAGUGUAGCAUCCUAACUAGGGUGCAAAAUGAAGAGCUUUGCUCUAUCCGAAGCUUCCAUAGCCUUUGAUUUCAUUAGGUGCAGACAAGGCACUAUAAUAAUAGCAGACUGCAUUGAAUUUCAUAUCACUAAAAUUUUCAACUUCAUCUUAUGCACGGAAGACAAAAAAACACAAAAGAGAAGGGACACGAGCAAUCAUUGCUUCCAAGCUGAGCUUCGAUGCACAUGAAAAUGGAAAGAAGAAGAAGAGUGCAAAGAUGAUGUAUGUGAAAGUAUGGUGAGGGAUUGAUGCUCAUAAUAAUUAGUAAAUAUAUACCAGGGAAUCCAAACACAAACCCUAACCCUAACCCUAACCAGAAAAAGAGAGAUGGGAGGAACUAGAAGUGAUGAAAAGAAACCUAAUUUGAAAUCAAAGAAAGAAAGAAAGGAAUAAUAGUGUGAAGCCGUGGAAGGAAUCGAAAGAAUACCUGGAAGAUGUGGGCGAUGAAGUGGCUAAAGAAAUUGGUCGUUGAGCGAGUUGGUCAUUGAUCUAAGCCCCCUCAGUGAUGAGGAUGUCAAUGACAACAACAAUCUAGUCAGAGAAAUAUACAGUGAUGAGGAUGGGAAUUAUGGCUUUGGGAGAAGAGUUCAAUGGUCUCUAAUGGUGGCUAAGAAGAGUGAACGAUAAAAGACAUGGCUCUCAGUGGGUUCAGCAGUCUAAAUUGGGCAGGAGAGAUAGUGGUUAUAUUGUGGCUCUAUGGUCGUGGACAAGCCAUGUGAUUGUGCCUAUUGGGCCAUAUAUUGCUAUAAGAGCUUUUAUAGCAGCAACCCAACCCAUGUGGUUGUGCCUAUUGGGCCAUACAUUGCUAUAAGAGGUUUUAUAGCAGCAACCCAUUCCUUCCCUAGCUAUAUGAGCUUUUAUAGUAGCGAUCCAUUCCUCCCUCAGCCAUAAUGAUGCGGGAAUUUAUAAUGUUUUUUUUUUUUUGCUCAAUUUACCAUUUGACAACAUACAUGGAACUUUUUCUGAGAAAAUUCCAUUCAUAUGCUCUACUACCCUAUUUUUCUUUUUAUAAAACAAGAAAAUGAAAGACUUGUUUGAAAGCUAUUUUUUUAAAUUGAGUAUUUCUCUAAUAACUUAAUGUUGUAGAGUUAAGUUGUCUUUUUAAUUAUUUUUAAGUUUAAAAUAAGAAAUUAACAUUCAUAGCCAUUGGUAUUGUAUUUUGUUCUUUUUUCUUGAGUUAAUAUAAAUAUCAUUUGUAAAUAUAAAAAAAUUAAUUAUCAAAAUUUAUCUAAAUUUAAACAAAAUUACUACAAAUACUUUUUAUUUUUGUACAUAGAUUUCAACAACCAAUAUUUAUCUAAUUUCAGAUAUUUUAAUCCUUAAUAUAUGAAACUACCUAGAGAAGAAUGAACAAGUGGUCUACUUGAUUAUCCCCAACAUUAAAUUUCUAUUUUAUCUAUAAAUUCAAUUAAUAUUCCAAUAUCAACAAUGGUCAAGUCUUCAUCAAUCUCAUGCACAAGAUUUCUAAUUGCACAAAUAGACAUAGUAAUAAUAGCGAUUCAUAUAAACAAAAAGCUUUAGCCCAAAUAGUUUGUGUUGACCAUAAAGUUGCCUCCUCGACCAAAUUGGGCUCUGAUGAUGCCAGGCCUCAAACGUGUUGGGCUAGCCCAAAUCCAAGCUAGCUAGCCCUGCCCUGCCAGCUAGCCCAUGGGUCUACUGGGCCUUUAAGGAUCAAAUACUGCAUAUUAAUUCUAGAGACCCUGUCUUUAAAAACUAAAAAUCUGGUCUGCAAACGGAGCCCUUUCAGGAAAGGCAGACCCUAAAAGUAAGAAAACAGGAAGCAACUGGACAAUUGUUAUUGUUUCUUUUUUUGUGGGAAGGAUGGGGUUGGGAAUUUCCGUCCCCCUCUUUUGCUCAUUUCUACUGUUGGAAUGCUUAUGCUUCAGUUACAAGUCAUAGUUUAUUUUCUAUGAUGACCAAUUAGUAUAUAUGAGGAAUUUUUAAGAAAAACAUUAUUUCAUGUGCUCAAUUUCUUCUGAGGUUUUUGGAUAAAAACUGAAGUUAGAAACUCCUAAAACUAAAGCAAUAUUUAGUUCUUAGAAAAUUUGAGAGAACACAAUGAAAAGAAAAUAGAGAAAAAAAUUAAAAAAUAAAUUUAAAAUUAAUAAAUUAUAUUUAUAUGUUAUUUUAAACUCAUUUUACACAUUUUUCCUUUCCUACAUGAAGAUGAAGACAUGAUAUUCGGGAUUUAACCUUUGAAUAUAAUUUUUGAUAAAUUUAGCUUAAUUCCCUGCUAUUCUUUUCCUACAAACUAGCGGCAUUACAUGCAUCAUCAAACGUAGUGCUUCAUUUUUCAAUUUGGUGGCCUUUAUGGUCAGUUAAGCAAGACAAAAGCAAAAAAAAAAUUCCUUCUCCCUUUCUAGAAAUACACUACCUACUUUUCCAUAAAGAUGAAGCUGAGUUGAGAAGGUCAUGACCUCUUCCCUCAUCCAGCCUAUUCCACCUUGCUCAUUGUAAAAGAAUUAAAGUCCUUCAAAUGCAAAAAAAAACCUUCAAAAGAAUUGACUUACUGGAUAUGGAGAUAAAGAAUUUGCAGUAGGGUAAAGAAGAAGAAGAAGAAGAAGAAGAAGAAAGAAUGAUAAUUUAUAGUUUUCAUUACUACCUUAAUAAUUUUCAACUAGAAAUUUUUUAAAAGAACUAAGAAAACGUUCCAAAGUUUUUUUCAUUAUUAUAUAAAUAAUUUUUCAUAUAUUAUUAAAGAAUAAGGGAUAAACCCUCAUUUUACAUUAAUAGCUUAAAAAGCUAAAAUUUAUCAAAUAAUUUUUUUUUAAAAUCCUACAAUUCUAAAUUUGUUUUAAUUUAGUCUUAAUUCUUUAGAAUUUAUAUUUUAAUUUUGUGUCACUUUUUUCAUUGAAGAAGUGUAUGUUUUGUUUGGUAUAUCUCAAAGUAAUUAUUAUUUUUGUUUAAAUUAUUGUUAUAUUUAUGGAAAACAUAAAUAAGGACAUGAAAGUUGUAAGAAGAAAAUGGAAGAAAAAUAAACAAAUAAACUUACAAUAAAAUAAAUUUAAGUAAAGAUUUAAUAGAUGAUAAAGAAGAAUUAAUUUAUCAAAUAAAAUUAGAAAUUCUGAAAUAAUGGAACAAAAAAAUUUAAUAACAAAAAUAGUUAUAAUGAUUGCUAUGAUUAUAAUAUAAUUAAUUACUACAGACAAAAAAAAUUAGAAAAACACAAAACAAGGAAAAUAAUUAUCUUAUUGGGCUGCCAUGAUCAAAUUAGGUCUGUAUCAGGCCUAACCCAGCCUGACUAGCAUAUGAUCCAAGCUCUGCCUAUGGACCUACCAUUGGGCUUGGCCCAGUAAAACAAAGUAGAUUGUUCCAUUAAUUUGAUGUUCAGGCCUGAAUGCAGUUAAUCUUAAACACAUGGAGGAACCCUCAGACCUCUCGGAUAAGACAAGCUUGUUUGCAUCAAGGUUCUCAGCCACUGGGCUUUUUGUUGUUUAGGUUAAACAAUAUAUACCAUAUAUUGAGAGAGUUUGAGUCUAUUAUUAUUAUUAUUAUUAUUAUUAUUACAUAAUCUAUUGAGUCCAUAUUUUUUUCCUUUCUCAAUGAUUACUACAUGGUCACAUAUCAUAUGGUUCAUUUCUCCCACAAUCUAAUAUUUUUCGUGGUCUAGUACAUAUGGUCCAUUGGUAAUUUGUAUUGAUAAAGUUCAAGAUCAAGCAUUCACCUGACUCUCUAACUCCUUUAUUGUUAGGAUACCUGCCCUAUCUUCACCAUUGAUAUGGUGUCAUAACCAAAGUGGUACUUAGCUAGCAGCAAAUCCAGUGUUUCAUGCAAGGAGUAAACACAUUGAAAUCGAUCUCCAUUUUAUUCGAUGCAAAGUUCUCCAACAAGCCAUCACCAUUCAGUAUAAUUUAGUCAUUACAUAACUAAUUAGGCUUACUUCUCAGUCCAAUAAAAAAGUGGUAAAUGCAAAAAAAGAAAAAAAAAAAAAGAAGAAGAAAAAAGAAACAAAAGAAACUCUAUAUGGGUGUAGUGGAUGGGACUCUUAUUUUCAAGUUUCCUAGAUCUAAUUCUAUUACUAUUUCGUGCAAUACUUUCUAUCUUGAAUGUGAUGGACAUUAGUUGCUCUUACUUGAUUGAAAGGUGAUCUAUAGAGUUGUGUGUAGCUGAACUAUAAAUUGGGUUGCAAGAAUAUUCUUGGACAUAUUCAUUAAAAUUUAAUACACAAGAAAUACAUUACAUGGGAAUAAGAACUUCUGGAAUCUAACAUCAAUUGAGCCACUGGUAUAAUCAUUUUAUACAAUCAUAUGUUCAAUUAACAGAAAUAUAAAGAAAGAUGCUAUGAUGAUGAACAACUACAAUAUGAAUUUUUAUUAAACUAUACAUUCAUAAUAAGUUGAACAUAUAGACAAUUAUUUUUACUCUAGUUCUGAAAUUAUUGACAACUCUUGUUGAAAAACUCUACCUGGCUUGCUCAAGUUUGUUGGAACUGUUGAAGCAAAAGGGUUAGGAGGCAUGGUUAACUUGUCUCCUUCUCCUUCCAACAUUUGAACCACAAUUUUCAUGGAAGGACGAUCCACUGGACACCACUGAAUACAUGAAAGUCCCACAAUUGCUAAUUUCUUUGCAAUCUCAACAUCUCCUUCUUCUUCAAUUCGAAUAUGCAAUUCUUCCCCUAUAUCCAAAUGAUUAUAAAUCCAUUCUGGGAAAUAUAAUUGGGUAGUACUCUCCACACUAACAUCAAUGUUCUUUCUUCCUCCAACCAUUUCAAGUAACAACAUUCCAAAACUAUAAACAUCUGACUUAUAAGACACAUUCCCAAAAUUCCUAGAUAACACUUCUGGAGCGAUAUAGCCCAUUGUUCCCCUUACAAUUGUCAUAGAGACUGCACUUUGUUCCUUGGAGCACAAUUUGGCUAAACCAAAGUCAGAAAUCUUUGGAUUAAAGUUGUGGUCAAGUAAAAUAUUAUGAGGUUUGAUAUCAAAAUGAAGGAUUCUUUGAUCACAACCUUGAUGAAGAUACUCAAUUCCUUUUGCUAUACCUAUAGCAAUUUCUUGAAGUUUCUUCCAACUAAGUGAAUAGUUCUUGACAACUUUUGAAAAUAUGAACUUCUCCAAUGACUCAUUUGGUAAGUACUCAUAAAUUAGAGCUCGUUUAAAUCUAUCAGCACAAAAUCCAACUAAACGAACUAUAUUAACAUGGUGGAUUGUACCCAUUGUUGCUACUUCAUUAAUGAACUCUUCCCCAUUUCCUUGAGAAUUGUUAAGGAUUUUUACUGCAACAAAAACUUCAUCUGAAAGCUUUCCUUUAUACACGGUUCCAUAUCCUUCUUCCCCUAAUUUAUCUUUGAAUUGACUUGCAAUCCUUUUAAUAUCAGCAUAGGAGUAUCUUGAGGGCUUGAGAGCUUCAUAGUCUUCUAGAAACUUUUUAACCUUUACUCUAUUAUCUCUUUCUACUUUAUUUGAGCUAUAGGCACGAUAAGGCACAACAAUUACUAACAUGAGAAGAAAGAAACCAAAGAUUGCACUUGCAUAAAUAAAAAGAAGAAAACUUAAACUUUUUAUUUAAAUAAAUAGGUAAAAUAACCAAAUUAAGAAUCUUUAUCUCUAUAAUAAAAUAUGUAUAAAUAGAAUAUUACCUGUCACAAUUAUUUUCUUCGAUACACCUAUAAAAAAUUAAGAAAAAAAAUGUAAUUAGCUUGUUAUGCUCUUGGAAUUAAUAAAAACAUGCUAAAUUACAUGUUCAUGUGAUAUGAUUCUAAUCUAAUUAAUUUUAUUCUAGGCUUCAACCUUAUCUUUUUGGGUCCCUUUCUUGUAUUCUAUGGUUCAUUUUUGAGGCAGUACCAAUUCUGCUACUAACUCUAUCCUAACUUGUAGAGGAAAUUAAAACAUACCCUUCUAAUCCCUAUUAUGUAUCAUAGUUUUAUGUUUCAUAAUACCGUAUUGUCUUCAUGACUCCCUAAACACAAAUUCAUCCAAUUUUAUGACAAAAAUAAAAAUAAAAAUAAAAAUGAAACUCUAUGUAAAAGGAAUGUGAAGAAAUCUCUAUCCUUAUUCUAUACCAUUAUAUACAGUGAUCCAAUUGGUAGGUACGAUGACACUUGGCGAUUCGAUUGACCAUUAACAUCGAACUUCUCAUGUCAGGUAUAAGGGAAAAGUCAUCUAUGUGAAUAACCAUUAAAACAAGAAAAAUGAUGUUUAUGGAGUUUUUUACACAAUUGUAAUUAUUGAGAGUUGAAAUAAAGAUGAAUUACUUGGAAAAUUAAGGGUUAGGAUGGUCCACUUGGAUAUGAAAAAAAAAUUAAGAAAAUCAACAAUAUUCAACAAUCUUAGUAAUUUUUUGUUAUUAAAUAUUUCGUGAUCCAAAAGGAAUACUUGAAUAUCAAUUGUAUUACUUUGUAUUUUUAGGUUCACGUCCUUGGAAAAAUAAGAAGAAAAUAAAGAAAAAUAUUAAUUGUAAGUAGGUAGGAAAGAAUCCAUUAUAAAAGAACUUUUAACAUUUUUCUUUUAUUUCUUUAAUUUUCAAAAAACUAAAUCCAAAUAAACAUUUAACUCUUUGUUCAAUAAUUUCCCUUAAUUUUAUUGAGCGCUAAAAAUUCGAAGAAAGAAAAGAAAAGGCCUUAGUUUGGAUCCAUUAGUUUAGCUCGAUGUUUUGAGGUGAAAUGUAAGAAAAACAAUAUAUUACUUUACCCAAAAAUUCAUCUAACAGGAGUUUUAAAAUGUAAAAAAUUAUUUUCACUAAUUAUUUCAAAUUAUUUUUUCAGAUUUAGAGAUUAUUUUAUCCCUUGUAAUUGAAUUAUUCUCCUAUUUUUUAUUUUUCAGAUUUUCAAAAUCCCAAUAAAACGCAAAUUCAAUCAGCAGAAUUUAUCAGCUCAUAAAAAAUGGAGCAUUUGUAUAUUAAAUCAUAGUAGAGGAUAUGAGGUGAGCAUGAAAGAUGAAAAGAAGAUGAAUAGAAGAUGAAUGGGGAAUUAAGAUGCAUAGAGUCCCUUUACCUUUAAUACAUUCAGUUUCUCUGCUAUUACACUUCUUCAAUCUGCAUAUUUUUGACUUUGACCACUUUAAAGAAAACGCACUUCCAUUGAAUAUAUAAUCCCCAUAAUGUUGUUUACCUGGAGCUGAAGCGCUGUAAAGCCUGCGGCAAGAGGAUAGGUUCAAAUAUUGGACAAGUUCGGAGGACUCAACAGCAUAAACUAGGUUACCAGGGAUAGAAAGGCAAGGGAUGGACUGAAACAAAUUAUAUGGAUCUGUUUUAUCUGAGGAACAAUUGAAGAAGGUGACGAAGCCCUUCUCAAAUUUGAACGGGAAGGGGAAGGCAGCUAAAUUGAGAUUUCCAAGCUGUCUCGCAAGGCAAUUAUACGGGUCCUGGACAAAGAUUUCCCGGGAUUUGUAAGUUAUAUUCUUCACCAAGAGCUUUACCGAAACUGGCAGCUCUAGCAUGGUCUGAUUAUUCUCAGUGCAAGAUAACUCAAAUCCCGGGUAUCCACAGUGGCAUGGCUGGUCUUUUAGACGGAAAGGGAACUGGAUGAGUGGACCCUGGUCGCCACAACGAUGUGAUGCCAUGCACUCAUCUCGGCCCCCUCUCAUCUCCACAAACAAGGUCAGGAACAAGAACAAAAACAAACAGAGAUAUCGAUCCAUUUUUAUGGAAGGAAUUUGUGAUUUUUGCCAAGGACAGAAGUCUCUGGGAUAGGAAAGAAAGUGGAAAGGGAGAUACAAAUAUCGAGAGGAGAUUAGCCUGAAAAUUUAUAGAGAAGAAUUGUAGGAAGGAGGAUUACUGCGGUUGUACAUUUUAUUCAGUCACUUUUACUAAUAGAUUUUCACUCUGUAUCACAUGUAUAUGCUUUUACCAGGAUGUGAAGUUAUCCGUGUGCAUAAAAUCAAAGUCGUCAAAUGUUAGAGAAAUUCAAAUUAAAAACGAAAGAAUUCCAGCUUAUGUCAUGAUGUUCAACACGAACAUAAAAACUUAUUUAUUUUUUUGUAUGUUUUUCAAAAAAUCAAUUCCUUGUCAUAUUACAGCUUUGAUUCAUAUGAUAUACUGGGAGUGAGCAAUACAACGGUUUUGAUGAACUGCGAGCAGCCAAUAAGAGAUAGCAACUAUAUUCCUAUCACUCCUUGCGACAGAAGCAAUGUGACUUCAUCUUCCUCACAAGCACAUGUUUAUGCACUAGUCGGAGGAAAAUACAUGGAAGCGGGAGAUAUUAAGUAUUCAUGCGCCAUCCUCAGGACUAUAACCACCCAAUUCUUGAAGCCUGGCAAUCUUUCAAUGUCAGAUUUGCAAAAAGUGCUGCUUCUGGGGCUUGACCUUUCAUUCUUGCGCUUGCGUUGCGAAUGCUUUGCGGAAGAAUACUGCGAUCCAGAUAUCACCAAGAAUACUGUAAAAUGUAUAAGUAUGAAAAAUGUUUAAUUUUAUUUAUUUAUUUAAUUAUUUUGCUUGGUAACUAAUAUUACUUGCUUAAUUGGCUUAAUGUUGCAGGCUACUCCAGGAAUUGGUUCUCUGAUUAUUUGGAAUCUUUAAGGGGUGAGACUUUGGGAGUCAAGUUUUUAUCUUUCAUUUUUUAUUACCUGAUAAAUUUCAUCUUUCAUUGUCCUGUAUCCUUUUCAUGUUAAAUUUAAUUUGUAUUUUUAUUUAUUUAUUAAUUAACAGAUUGGAGCACCUUGUCAAUCAAAGGUGAGGCCUACUUAACUCUUGUUUGAAUGAAGCAUUGCUUUGGUAGUAUAAAAUUGAAUUUGAAUCAAGCAUGCCAUUAAACUGCAUUUUCCAAUUUGGGAAACAAUUAGGGAGUGAAAUUACUAAAAAGGAGCACUGCUGUCAUGGCAAUUUUUUUUUUUUUCCAAAAACAGAGGAUUAAUCACUUUUUAGUUAAAUAAAAAAAAUGAGGAGAGCCAUGUGAGUGCAAUUCUGCGGUAGUUGGUGAUUCUCUAUUUUGUUUUGUUCCUUUUUUGAGAUAAAAUAUCAUUAUCUAGUUGGUCAACAUGCGGGAUUUGAAGACAAAAUGCAUAGGAUUCUUCAACUUUUACCACUAACAUAAUUUAAUUACUUGAUUUCAUCAUGCAGGCUUGAGAAAAUCAAUAUAUUAUGUUUACUACGAUUAUCGAUCUGCAUUUUACGUUGGUAAGGCUUCCAGAAUUUCUAUUAUUAUCUAAUUUUCAUAAAUUGGGUAAUAAUAAUAAAAAUAUAAAAGACCUGUUAUAUUUAAUUACAUAUUUAAUCCCAUGCAUAUAUAUAUAUAAAAUUGAGAUUGUCAUUUAUGUAAUGAUUGAUAAUUUAUUUUAUUUAUUUAUGAUAAUUCAAUUAAGCAAACUACUACUUUAUUUUUAUUAUUAACCGUUAGUAUAAUAAAUGUUUAGAUGAAGGACAUAAUCUCCUUGUCAACUUGAUAAUUAAUAAUACACAUAAUUUAUAUGCGCACUUAAUAAUAGUAUAGAUGAUUUUUAAAUAGCUAUAAUAAUAGUAAUAAUUUUUCUUGUAUAUCUGUAUCUCUUGAUUUUCAAUCAAUAAAUAAUAAUAAAAAUAACCCUCUUAUACUAGUCUAUUGCUCAUCUUUAAUAUGUAAUGCAUGUGAAUUUUCUUUUUUAAUUUAAUCAUUUUUUAAUCUUAUUUUUGCAGGUUGGUUAAUGAGAUACAUUGGUAAGUCUUUCAAAUCUCAAUAAAUUGCAAAGGAUACUAUGCCUUUUUUAGAGCUCAUUUUGCCUUAAUCUAUUAAAAGUUUUUUCAAAGAAGAUUGCAUAGAGGUGCCUAGUUUUAUUGUUCUACAUUUGGUUGUACAAAUAUAAAUUGGAAUUCCAUUUCUAUGAACUUCAAAAUUUUAAUUUCAAAUGAUAUUAUAUAUUUUUGCAAAUUUCUUAUGUAUUAAAUUUUAAAUUUCUUUAGAGUACAACCAAAUUGAAAAUUGGGCAUCCAAUUCCAUUUCCCGAUUUUAAGCAACUAAACAAAUGUUCUCUCUCAUUCUGGCCUUUAUCAUUUUGACCUCAAAAGUAGAAGAGGAACAUGACUACAUUGAUUGGAAACCUAAAAACAUCUUUCUAUUAAGUCAACCAACAAGCAAUUAUAUAGGUGAAAUGACUUUUUAAACUAUCUUAUUUGGAUUCGAUAAUUGAAUGUGGAUGAUGAUACACCUUCCUUUAUUUUUUUUUAAUAUUUUUAACAUGUGAUUUAUAUGUAGCCAUCAUCAUCAUCGGGAGGGCCGUACCUGGUAUAUUGUGUCUACUUGUCUAUUUAAUCUACAAGUUUCGACGAAGACACUUAUCAUUGGAUGAUGGUAUUGAAGAAUUUUUACAUAGCCAUAAAAAUCUUCAGCCAAUCAAAUACUCAUAUUCAGAGCUAAAAAAGAUGACUCAUAAUUUUAAGAAUAAAUUAGGUCAAGGAGGUUUUGGCUCUGUGUACAAAGGAAAACUCCGAAGUGGACGCAUUGUGGCUGUAAAAAUGUUAGUUAUGUCAAAAGCUAAUGGGCAAGAUUUCAUCAAUGAAGUUGCUACAAUCGGAAGGAUUCAUCAUGUUAAUGUGGUGAGACUUGUUGGAUUUUAUAUACAGGGAUCAAAAUGGGCUCUUGUAUAUGACUUCAUGCCCAAUGGAUCUCUUGAUAAGUUUGUUUUUCUUGACCAAGGAAACAACAUUCCUUUGAGUUGGGAAAGAUUAUACAAGAUUGCACUUGGAGUGGCACGUGGGAUUGAAUACUUACAUCAAGGAUGUGACAUGCAAAUUCUCCAUUUUGAUAUCAAGCCACACAACAUUCUUCUUGAUGAAGACUUCACACCAAAAGUUUCAGAUUUUGGUCUUGCAAAAUUAUAUUCAAUAGAUGACAAUAUCGUAUCCAUCACUGCUGCUAGAGGAACCUUGGGCUACAUUGCUCCCGAAUUAUUCUACAAAAACCUUGGAGGUGUAUCAUUUAAGGCUGAUGUUUAUAGUUUUGGAAUGUUGUUAUUGGAAAUGGUGGGGAAAAGGAAGAAUGUGAAUGCAUUUGCAGAACAUUCUAGUCAAAUAUAUUUCCCAUCAUGGAUUUAUAAUAGAUAUGAUCAAGGAGAGGACAUGGAAAUGGGAGAUGCCACUGAGGAUGAAAAAAAGUAUGUAAGGAAAAUGGUGAUAGUUGCACUAUGGUGUAUACAAAUGAAGCCUAUGGAUCGUCCUUCAAUGAGCAAAACAUUGGAGAUGCUUGAAGGAGCGGUUGAACUCUUGAAAAUGCCUCCUAAGCCAACUCUAUGGUCUAUUGAGAAUCAUGAGCAAUCCAUGGUAGAGUUACCAAUUUCAUCAUCCAAUUCCAUGGGUACAAUCAGCUUAUAUGGAAGGUAGUCCCACUCCAUCUAGUUGCUUAUUUUGUAAUCCAAUAAUAAUGUGUGAUUGUGUUUUAUGUGUAAGGUUUCUAUGAGAUCAGUGUAUGUAAUAAAAUAAAGUUUCUUCUUCAAAUAGUAGUUUGGUUCCUUGUAAGUAAGGUUAUGUACAAGUAAUAAAAUAUCAUUUUAGAUGUUUGAAUAGUGUUCUUGCUUGCCCUUAAAAUUAUCAAAGAAAAUCCUCCAUUUCCUUUGAAGUUCUUUUUUUUUUUUUUUCAACUAUUCUACAAAAAUAAUUAUUGGGGUUGUAGAUGUUCAGGUAAGUUAUUUUGUUUUAACUUGUUGCUAGUAGUAAUCUAGGCUUUCAAGGAUCAAUACUGCCAAUUACAACAUUUCUUUUGUAAGUAAUUCCAUAUAGUUUUUGUUAGAGAAGUGUCCUUGGGCCCUCCAAAGGUUACAAUUACAUUCUUGGACAUUGGAUCGCACCAUUCCAUAUAUGGUUCUUCAAAUUAAUGGACACUUUGAUUUCUCCAUUAAUAGAUUUCUACUCCUUAUUGAAAUUUAAUUAGGACUUUGAUCUUACCCUUCGCACUUUUAAUCAGGCUCUCAAAUCAAAAGUUGCAUUUUAAUAGAGAGAGAAUUAACAAAGAAGCAACAAUUUAAGAGCUCAAACCUUUCCUUGGUAUAUGUCUAUUACUAUAAUUCAUUAUGAGCAUAAAAUUGUAGGAGUAAAUAAAUAUUCAAAAUUUUAAAAUGGUCUCCUACAACUCACACUCCUUCAAUAAUUUCUGUGGACCAUUGUACAUGUGGUCAAUUUUGAUGCUCUAUUUAUUGAAUAUGACUUUUCAAAUAAAACCAUCGAGUCAAUUUUCUUGACACUAAAAGUAAGUUGGUCCUUAUAUUUAUAGGACUCUAUUUCUUUUAUCUUUAGAAAUGUGAAAUGUGCUAGAUGUGAUAGGACCAUAAUACUACAUGAAUUAUGCCGAUAAUACCAUACAUUGUAUUUUAGUACAUAUCUAUGAGCAAUGUCUAUUUUAAUUUAUUUAUGAAUAUAUUUUGCUUGCUAGAUUUCCAAAGCUUCACUCCCAUUAAAUAUAGAAUAUGGGGAAUCUAGAUUUUCCAUGAAUUGGUCAAAACCUGUGUGUGGAAAUUGUGAAGCAAAAGGUGCGAAAUGCGGGCUGAAGAUGAGUAAUGACAUGUAAUCUGAAAUUGAGUGCAUAAAGAAGCCAGAAAAAGGUACGUGCUACACAAUAUUAGCCCAUGCCAUAUUCCUUUGCACCCUGAUAUGGAACCUCUUCUCCAAUAAAUGGGAAUCAAUAUUAUUAAUGUGCUGCAUUUGAGAUUGGGUACAAAUAGAAGAGGAUAAGAAUAUAUACAUAGAUCGUUCUAUAGCAUUCCAAUAUAUCCAAUAUAAUUCAGCCACAACAUGUGUUAUGAAACAACACUAAAAGUCUGUUUGGUAAUCAAUUUAGCAAGUGCUUUUAGCAUGAAAAGUGUCUUUAAAAAAAAAAAUAAGGGUUUAACAAAAUUUAUGAAAUACUUUAAAAAAUUUUUAAAAAUUUUUGUAGUAUUUUUUUAAAAAAUAAUUGAUAAGUGAUUCUCAUAAAAGCACUUCUAGAUGGGCUUAAGCAUGCUUAAAAAGAGAGGACUUUGUGGAAAUCCAAACUUUACAGAUUAUAUUGAUGAAGCUCCAGAAUGAUAAGCGAGAAAAUGUGAAAUUCAGAUGAAAAAAUCAAAUGGGUGUGAAGGGAGUAAAGAGAUUAGGGGCAUAGAGACCUCUGCCAUAGCUGCGAGUGAUGGGGUCCGAGCUCAGAAUUGAGUAUUAAUUGGCUAGGCUGAGGUGACCCCCUUUAAAUAGACCAAACUUUUUGAGUUUUACAAGUCAACCCAAUGAAAUGUGGAAACGUGGCAUGAGUGAGUUCAGGUUCGUUUCAUCAAGUUUGACGUUAGGUCAAAUGGCCCACAAUUGCUGACCGUUUUGUCUGCAUGAGCUGGCUUUGUCGACCCCUCUGCCUUCUUAGGCUGAUGAGGUACAAUUAUGAUCAUUCACCCCAGGAUGGGAAUAGUACACGCGUCUUAAGUACACUAUAUGUAAUCAUCUUUCUUGUGCAAAUGACCUGGUGGACUUCAAACUUAAAUAAAAUCGAUAUAUAUAUAUAUACACACACGCGUAAUUAUCGAUAUUUUUAUUCUUAAUUUCAAUAAAUUAUUAAAAUAUUGUGAUCGCAGGUACCACUAAAUCAAGUUUACUCUUUGUUAAAUAACAUGUAUCAACCACACACACACACACACACACACACAUAUAUAUAUAUAUAUAUAUAUAUAUAUAUAUAUAUAUAUAUUAGGAUAUAAAUAAAAUAUUAAAAAAAUAAUUUUAAAAAUAAAUUAAUUAUAAUUAUUUUAUAAUUAAAUAAAAAAAGUUAUUUAAUUAAUUAGCAAAAAUAUAAAAAUGAUCAUGAUAAUAUUCUUUAUUAUGUUUUUAAUAUAUUAAUUAUAAUUUAUCAUAAUUUAUUUUCUAUUAUAUCAUAAUUUUAAUAUUGUUGGCAUUGUUUUUAUCAACCUUCUAGUUAGGUGUCUCUCAUCAUAAGAGUAGUUUUGAAUUUUCUAGUAAAAGGCCUUUAUGCUUGCUUCAUUCCUUUAAUGAUUUAAAUGAACAAAAAAUAGAAAGAGAAGAUUGUCUUGUGUUAGCGAAAGCUUUAAUUGAUCAGGUGAACUUUAGAGGUUGUUUUCAAACUAGUUGUUGUGGAGACACCAAAAAACUUGUUUCAAAUAAGUUGUUUUAAAAAUAAUUUUUUUGUUUUAAUUUUAUAAAAAAAAAACAUUAUAAAUUCAAUUUAUAUAAUAAUAAUAAAUUAAAAAUGAAAAUAGUUUUAUAAUUAAAAAUAAAUAAAUAAAUGAAUAGUUUUUUUCUAGAACAUAAAUAGUAAUAUUAUAAUAAAAUCAUAGGUUAUAUAUUUUUAUGAAAAAAUACAUUAUUUCAAUAUAUCUUAGAAGCAUAACCAAAUUAAUAUGUUCAUAAAUUUUAAAAAACAAAAUACUUGUUUGGAUAAGUUGUUUUUCAAAAUAAUUUUUUUGUUUUGAUUUUAUAAAAACAUUGUAAAUUUAAUUUAUAUAAUGUUAAUUAAAUUUAAUUCAAAUAUUAUUAAAAAUGAAAAUAGUUUUGUAAUUACAAAUAAAUUAAAAAUGAAUAGCUUUUAGUAUAACAUAAAUAGUAAAAUUAUCAUAAAAUCAUAAGUUAUAUUUUUUUUAUUAAGAAAUACACUAUUUUUAUUUAUGUUAGAAACAUAAGGAUAUUAACAUCUUUGUAAAAUUUUUUAUUAUUAAAAAAAAUAAACGUAAUUUAAAAAUAAUUAUUACUAAUAAUAUUUCAUUUAAAAUGAAUAAAAAAUAAAGUUUAACUUUUUUUAAACAUGUAAAUAAACCAAGUUUUUUUUAUUAUAUUUACACAUUUAAUACUCAAUUAUGAAUAUAAUAUUCUAUAAGGUUUUGAUUGAUUUUGCAAUUAAUUGGUUUGGCUUUUAAAUUUCAAGUUAUUCUUAAAAAUCAAAAGAUUCAUUAAAAUAUUUAAAUUAUUAAUUAUAUCUUACUUAAUUUAUAAUCUAUUUACUUAGUGAGAAAAAUAAAAUAAAAAUAUAGUAGUUUGUAUAGGAGAAAUAAUAAAAUCAUAACUCAUAAUAUAUCACUUCUAAAGUUCAUUUUUCUAAUAGAAAAUUGGAAAAAAUUAUAAAAAUAUAAUUAUAUGCAGAAAAUAAUCAAUAAAGUAAUUAUGAAACAAUUUUAAUCCAUAAAUUUUUAGUAUUAAUGAAUUUAUUAUUUGAGUUUUAAAUUAUUUUUAAAAAAUAUUAGAUUUAUCCAUGAUUCCAACACAUUAAAUUUUAUUUAAUUUAAAGUUUAUCAUCAAAGUUCAACGUAUCCUAAGAUUAACUAAAGCAACAACCCCACUUCACCACUUUACCACAUGAGCUAAGAUGAAAAAGCAUGUUUCAAACAUUUCACGUUAGGGAGACGUGAGAACAAAGAAAAAAGGAAAGGAGAUAAAAAGACUUGGAGAUAAUCUUUAAAAUAUAGCAUUCCUCAUGUUAUGGCAAAUAGGUUUGUGUUGACCCUAAAGCUGCCUCCUCGGCCAAAUUGGCUCUGAUGAUGCUAGGCCUCAAGUGUGCUUAGCUAGCCCAAAUCCAAGCUAGCUAGCCCUGCCUUGCCAGUUAGCCCAUAGGUCUGUUGGGCCUUUAAGGACCAAAUAUUGCAUAUUAAUUGUAGAGACCCUGUCUUUAAAAACUGAAAAUUUGGUCUGCAAAUGGAGUUGAACAAUUGUUAUGGGCUGAUCACUAGGACUACCCCAAGAGCCUAUUGUUGGGCUUGCUCCUCUGGAAGGCAUUUUGGAACUAAAUGAAAUUAGCCAAAAGUUGAUAAACUCGUUUAUAAGCCUUUUAUAUUAAUGUUCUGGCUUAAAUGGAGUAAUGUUUAAAACAACAUCACAUUAUUAAAUUUUCCAUCUUCACAACUCAAAUCAUACAAAUAAUUAAAUAAAUUACUUUUAUGAAGAGAUGACCUACUCUACUGAUUUUACUUGAUUAUUGUCUUUUUAUCUCUGACACUCGGCAGAUUGCAUAGGCUAACACCUAAACGAAAACAUGCUUUUCUAGUGAAUGCCUUUCAAGUGAUAGUCUAAGAGUUCAAGCCACCUUAUAGUAUAUGUCUAUCAUUAUUAUUCAUUUUUAGUGUAAAAUUGAAGGAGUAAAUAGAAAUUCCAUCAAAAUUCUUAGUUGAUCCCUUUCAAGCAUCAUAGUCCUUCAAUAAUUCCAAUAAGACUAGUGUCAGCCCCUUAGCCACUUGAUUCAGAUCCGGAGAAAUAGGCCUCAUGGGUAGGCCUUGCACCCAUGAGAGCCUAGGCGGAAAACAAGGAAAGCCUGGAGGUUUGGCGGUUCAAGCCCCAGGAGCUAAGUGUGGGGAUCGCGGACAAGUCAAGCGCGCACUCCGGAUAAGCGUUACCGAAGGAUCCGAACAUGUCUACCCGGGGAAGUUGAAUCGUCCUCCUCUCCCAUCCGGCGACAGGCACCGGAUGUGAUAUAUCCGGGUGGAUGGAAUGUCGACGGAUAGGAUUCCGGAUGUGAGGUAUCCGGGUGGAUGGAAUGUCAGCGGACAGGAUUCCGGAUGUGAGGUAUCCGGGUGGAUGGAAUGUUGGCGGACAGGAUUCCGGAUGGGAGGUAUCCGGGUGGAUGGAAUAUCAGCGGACAGGAUUCCGGAUGUGAGAUAUCCGGGUGGAAUGAGUGAGGAUUUCCGUCCGGGUGUAAUGGUGCAAUGCCAUAGCUCGUUGAAGCUGAACCUGACGAGUGGGAACAGUAGGCCCAGGCCAUGGGCACCUUGACAUGGCUUGGGCUCACGCAUCAGUGUGGGGGAGGCACACUAAUGCAAUCUGGUCAACUAGUGAUCAGGUCAGUCAGCUGCAUGGACUGGCAGUGGGCUGAGUCACUACUGAUGCUGAUGCAAGUGGGUGGUUUCUCAGCAGACCACCAUCUGGGUAGUAGGUGGUUGUGCAAGCGGUUCAGAGCGGUUCUAGGCGGUUGCAUAACCACCAGGGAAAAAAACUACAGGGUGAGUCUUUUAAAAGGGCUCCUGCAGCCUUGAGAUGAGGGAGGAAGAGAGAAGAGGGAAAGUAGUCUCUGAAUGCUUGGGAUGUAAGCAUUGCUCUCUGACUUCAGGAAACAAUUUUGUAUCUUGUAGAUUGAGAUUAAUACAAGUUGGGAAGGAUUUCCUAUAACCUCGUUGUGUCCCUAUUUCCUUUGGUUUGCUAUUGUUUGUGUGUGUUUUGAGAAGGCUGGGAAGAAAGGUUGGCUAAGGAAGGGUCCUUAGCACCGCGCACCAGGUGAAAAAUCUAAGGUGAUUUUCGAGGGUGUGACAGUUGGUAUCAGAGCAAGCACCAGAGAUGGCUGGUGGUAGUGCAAUGGAGGCCUUACGGGAGAGGAUGACUCAAAUAGAAGAGGCGCUAGGAGAAUGGCCACGUGAGGAUGGCACAGUGGCUUCAUGGGCAGAGCACACCAUGGGAGAAGUCCAAAUGCAGAGGAGUAGGUUGGAGUCCUAUGACAAUUUCUUUGAGGAGAAAUUGGCUGAGUUCAAAAUCGAGAUGUAGUCCCGGAUUGAUGACUUCAAGGAGACCCUGCAGUCCUAUGGAGAAGACAUCGCCAUCUUUAAGAAGGCGGUGUUGCAGGGAUCUACCUUAGGCCCAGAAGCCCCUUCCAAAGUUCGAGUCCCAGAGCCUAAAGGCUUCAAUGGCAACAGAAACGCGAAGGAACUGGAGAACUUCUUGUGGGACAUCGAGCAGUUCUUUAAGGCUGCUCAUGUUCCUGAUGGCGAGAAGGUUUCCAUCACCAGUAUGUAUCUAACUGGUGAUGCCAAACUAUGGUGGCGAACUAGGGUGGAGGACGAUGUAGAGUCUGGAAGGCCCCAAAUCACCACUUGGGAGACUCUGAAGAAGGAAUUGAAGGAUCAAUUCCUUCCCACCAACACGACUUGGGUGGCCAAGGAGGCACUAAAAAGGCUCAGACACACUGGGUCUGUGAGGGAAUAUGUCAAGGAGUUCAGUUCUUUGAUGCUGGACAUUAAGAACAUGUCCGAAGAGGACAAGUUGUUCAACUUCAUGUCUGGGUUGCAAGAAUGGGCUCAGACGGAACUCAGGAGGCAAGGGGUUCGGGAUCUCCCUGCUGCCAUGGCUACAACAGACUGCUUGGUGGACUACAAGAUGGGUGGAGCCAUCUCCACCACGCAGAGACCCAGGUCAGAAGGAGACAAGAAGGCUAAGAAUGAGGGCAAGACUAAGAAGUCUGAUUGGAAGAAACAUAACAAAAAACCUGCUGAAUGGGGAAAACCAGUGGAGAAAACCACAAAGGUUGUGCAGCAGACCACUCGGAUGAUAGGAUGCUUCAUCUGCAAUGGCCCACAUCGAGCCAAAGACUGCCCCAAAAGAGAGAAGCUCUCAGCCCUGGUGACUGUAGAUGACAAGGGAGACUCUGACCCAGACACUUCUCCUAGAGUCAAUCCCUUGCAACUUCUGAAUGUGAUUCAUGGUGAGACCCCAGUACAGAAGUCUCUGCUGCACAUCCAUGUUGUAGUGAAUGGUGUGCAAGUGAAGGCCUUGUUGGACAGUGGUGCUACUCACAAUUUCGUGGCCACUAGAGAAGCAACCAGGUUGGGACUUAAAUUAGAGGAGGACACCAGUCGAAUCAAGGCAGUCAAUAGCAAAGCCCAGAAGAUUCAAGGGGUAGCCAAGAAUGUCCCUAUGCAAAUCGGUGACUGGAAGGGUACGUGUAGUUUACUUUGUGUACCUUUGGAUGAUUUUGACUUGAUCCUUGGUGUAGACUUUCUCUUAAGGGCCAAGGUGGCCUUGAUUCCACAUCUUGGUGGACUGGUGGUGCUAGAAGAGAAGCAACCUUGUUUCGUGAAGGCCUUAAGGACGAAAGAUGGUGGUAAGGGACAACCUGAGAUGCUGUAUGCUAUUCAAUUGAAGAAAGGAUUGAAGAAGGGUCAGGAGACCUAUGUUGCAGCCUUGAUCGAGAUCAAAGAGGAACAGUUUGUGGAAGUCCCUGACUUAGUGGUCAAGAUCCUUAAAGAGUUCAAAGAUGUGAUGCCUGCAGAACUCCCCAAGGAGUUGCCACCCCGGCGACCCAUUGACCACAAAAUCGAGCUGCUACCUGGAACAAAGGCCCCGGCUCAAGCCUCUUAUUGGAUGCCUCCUGUAGAGUUGCUAGAGUUACGUAAGCAACUGAAGGAGUUCCUGGAUGCAGGUCUGAUCCAGCCCUUCAGGGCCCCAUAUGGUGCACCAGUGCUGUUUCAAAAGAAGCAGGAUGACUCACUCCUCAUGUGUGUGGACUACAGAACCCUCAAUAAGGUGACCAUAAAAAACAAGUACCCAAUCCCCUUGGCUGCUGAGCUAUUUGACAGAUUGUCAAAAGCUUCUUACUUCACCAAGUUGGACUUGAGAGCAGGUUAUUGGCAAGUGCGGAUUGCAGUAGGAGAUGAGGGGAAAACGACUUGUGUAACUCGGUAUGGCUCAUACAAGUUUCAGAGAUUGAGAGAGAAUAGGUUUUAUGUGAAGCCAGAGAAAUGUGAGUUUGCUCAGGAGGAGAUCACAUUUCUAGGACAUAAGAUCAGUGCAGGACUGAUCAGGAUGGACAAGGGUAAGGUGCAGGCUAUUAUGGAGUGGACAGUUGCUACCAAAGUGACGGAGUUGCGAUCCUUCCUUGGCUUGGCCAACUACUAUAGAAGAUUCAUUAAGGGGUAUUCCAAGAGAGUGUCUCCCCUUACUGACCUGUUAAAGAAGGACAACUCCUGGGAUUGGAACAUGCAGUGUCAGAUGGCCUUCGAAGGCUUGAAGGAAGCCAUUUCCACUGAGCCUGUGCUGCGGUUGCCAGACCUGGACUUACCCUUUGAAGUCCAAACAGAUGUCUCUGAUAGAGCCUUGGGUGGAGUCUUGGUGCAAGAAGGGCACCUUGUGGCAUUUGAAAGUAGGAAGUUGAAUAAUGCAGAACAGAGGUACUCCAUUCACGAGAAGGAGAUGACGACUGUGGUGCAUUGCCUGCAGCAGUGGAGACAUUACUUGCUGGGAAGUAUCUUCACAGUGGUCACGGAUAAUGUGGCCAACACCUUCUUCAAGACCCAGAAGAAGCUAAGUCCCAGACAAGCGCGAUGGCAGGAGUUCCUGGCCGACUUCAAAUUCGAGUGGUUGCAUCGACCAAGGAGACAUAACACUGUGGUUGAUGCCUUGAAUAGGAAAGAGGUAAUUGCCUACAUCACUGCCCUCUCUAAAUUCAUAUCUGACUUCAAUGAGAAGAUCAAGCUAGCUGCGGAGCAGGAUGCUGCCUAUGGCAAGCUGAAGUAGCAAGCAAAGAAGGGAGUGAUCAGGAGGUAUUGGUUAGAGGGUGACCUCCUUGUGGCAAAAGGGGGAAGAUGGUAUGUUCCUACAGGCGGCCUGAGAAAGGAUUUGUUAUGGGAAACUCAUGAUUCGAAGUGGGCAGGCCAUCCCGGAGAAGAGAGGACCCUGACGCUGCUAGCCAGAUCCUACUUUUGGCCUAAGAUGGGUGAGGAUGUCCAGACAUAUGUCAAGUCUUGCCUGGUUUGUCAGAUGGACAAGACUGAAAGGAAGAAGGCUGCAGGGCUGCUGCGCCCCUCCCCAUUCCAGAAAGACCUUGGGAGAACAUCUCCAUGGAUUUUAUCACUGGGUUCCCAAAGGUUCGUGAUUUCAAAUCUGUCUUUGUUGUGGUAGAUAGAUUUUCUAAGUAUGUUGUGUUUAUACCUGCCCCUGAUGCUUGCCCUGCGGAGGAAGCUGCUAAGUUGUUUUUCAAUAAUGUGGUGAAACAUUUUGGGUUACCCAAGGACAUAGUCAGUGAUUGAGACGCACGAUUCACAGGCCAGUUUUGGGUUGAGCUGUUCAAACUCUUGGGUUUAGAGUUGAAAUUUUCCACAGCCAACCAUCCUCAAACUGAUGGGCAGACGGAGAGGAUCAAUGCAUUACUGGAGGAAUACCUCAGGCACUAUGUCACAGCAACACAAAAAAACUAGGUGGACUUAAUGGACACUGCACAGUUGUGCUACAACUUGCAGAGAAACUCAGCGACAUGGAUGAGUCCCUUUGAGCUAGCUAUUGGGGUGCAGCCACGGAUGCCUUUGGAGGUGGCUAAGCAGAAAAUAGGAGGAAAUUGUCCUGCAGCAUACAAGUUGGCUCAGUCCCGGCAGGAGAUGUUCGAUGAAGCCUGGGACAGUCUAGAAAAGGCAGCUAGACGUAUGAAGAAGUAUGUAGAUCGUGACCGCAGACCCUUAGAAUUUCAGGUUGGGGACAGGGUUCUCUUGAAAUUGACUCCUCGGAUCUGGAAAAAGAUCAGCAGCAAGACAAGGCAGAGAGGUCUAAUUCCAAAGUAUGAUGGACCAUUCGAGGUGAUCAAACGAGUUGGACAGGUGGCCUACAUGUUGAAGCUGCCUGAUAGGCUUAAGCUUCACCCAACUUUCCAUGUAAGCUUUCUGAAGCCUUACCAUGAGGAUCUGGAUGCAGAGAGGGUGCAAACAAAGCGAGCCCCUCCCUUGGUCAUGAAACAAUUUGAUCGGGAGAUAGAGAAGAUCUUGGAUCACAGGACCAUGGGACACAGCAGAAAGAACCGGCGAACUGAUUUCUUGGUUCAGUGGAAAAGGAUUUCAGAAACUGAAGCUUCAUGGGAAAGAGACGUUACUUUAUGGCAAUUUGAGAAGGAGGUCUUGGCAUACUGGCAGUUUAAGUCGACGAGGGCGUCGACUUCAGCAGACGGGGGUGGAUUGUCAACCCCUUAGCCACUUGAUUCAGACCCGGAGAAAUAGGCCUCAUGGGUAGGCCUUGCACCCAUGAGAGCCUAAGCGGAAAGCAAGGAAAGCCUGGAGGUUUGGCGGUUCAAACCCCAGGAGCUAAGUGUGGGGAUCGCAGAAAAGUCAAGCGCGCACUCCGGAUAAGCGUUACCGAAGGAUCCGGACAUGUCUGCCCGGGGAAGUUGAAUCGUCUUCCUCUCCCAUCCGGCGACAGGCGCCGGAUGUGAUAUAUCAGGGUGGAUGGAAUGUCGGCGGACAGGAUUCUGGAUGUGAGGUAUCCGGGUGGAUGGAAUGUCGGCGGACAGGAUUUCGGAUGUGAGAUAUCUGGGUGGAAUGAGUGAGGAUUUCCAUUCGGGUGUAAUGGCGCAAUGCCAUAGCUCGUUGAAGCUGAACCUGACGAGUAGAAAUAGCAGGCCUAGGCCAUGGGCACCUUGACAUGGCUUGGGCUCACGCAUCAGUGUGGGGGAGGCACACUGAUGCAGUCUGGUCAACUAGUGAUCAAGUCAGUCAGUUGCAUGGACUGGCAGUGGGCUGAGUCACUGCUGAUGCUGAUGCAAGUGGGUGGUUUCUCAGCAGACCACCAUCUGUGUAGUAGGUGGUUGUGCAAGCGAUUCAGAGCGGUUUUGGGCGGUUGCAUAACCACCAGGGGAAAAAACUACAGGGUGAGUCUUUUAAAAGGGCUCCUGCAGCCUUGAGAUGAGGGAGGAAGAGAGAAGAGGGAAAGUAGUCUCUGAAUGAUUGAGAUGUAAGCAUUGCUCUCUGACUUCGGGAAACAAUUUUGUAUCUUGUAGAUUGAGAUUAAUACAAGUUGGAAAGGAUUUCCUGUAACCUCGUUGUGUCCCUGUUUCCUUUGGUUUGCUAUUGUUUGUGUGCGUUUUGAGAAGACUGGGAAGAAAGGUUGGCUAAGGAAGGGUCCUUAGCACCGCGCACCAGGUGAAAAACUAAGGUGAUUUUUGAGGGUGUGACAACUAGCUAUAUUGACAUUGCCUAUUAUAUUUUCAUCAAUCAUAUAGUCCAUUAUGCAUGUGUCAAUUUCAAACAAUAGCCUACCAAUGAAUUUUCUUAGUAAUAAAUGGACAUUUUUCCUCACCUUGGAAGACUUUAACACCUUUGCAGUAAGACAUGUGAUAGAAGAAGAAUCUAUGAACUUUUCAACUAUAGGUUUUUAUGGAAAAAUGGGUAAUAUACUUCAAGAAUGCAACAAAUAAUCUUUUUUCUUUUGUCUUGCUUGACAAACCAAAUAAAAUAUUGAUUGAUUUUUAUUGCGAAGGUGCCUUGGCAGCUCCUUCAAGUUGCCAGGAAAGUUCGAUCUUUAAAAUUGCUUAGUUUGUACUAUCAUUGCAAGAAAAAGGCAAAUGCCAUUUAUCAUCUUCUUGCAAAUGUUAAACAAAUGCAAAUUAUGAAAUUACGUUAACUAAGGUCAUAUUUAAUUGAUGGUCUAGACUAGGAUAAAAUAUUAAUGAAAUCUAUGUGUAUGUGUAAUAGUUUAAUUUAUAUAAUGAUAUAAUUAUACUUUCUUUUUUCUUUUUGAAACCAAAAUUUUAUCUUUUUAAAUGAAAAUUUGUCCUCUCCUUACAAAUGUGUAAUGAGCUUGAUGUGAUACAGGAAAGGUGUGAAUUGCUCAACCAUGGAUUUUUGGGGUUAAGUUAAUUUAUUGUACCGCAUGCUCAAUAGGCCAUAAGGGAUGCCAAUGUUGAAAAGUGAAGUAAGACAAAACGAAACUGACUUGCUUCUCACCGUCUUCCAUCUAGCUCAUCUACUUUCAAACAAAAAAUCCAUCAUUGGGAAAUUCUCACCUUCUUCCAUCUAUCAUAUCUGGCCCAUCUACUUUUCCAUGAAAAAUCCACCAUUAUGAUCUUGUUUUUUGUUUAUUUUUUUAUAUGUAGAGAUAAAAAGGGUCCAAUUUAGAUUGGAGCUAUAUUAAUCUUUCUUUGAGAUGAAACUCAACCAAGGAACAAGUUGAACAAAUCAUAACAUGAAGAAGAGCCAAGCAUAUACGUCCGUAAGUGUAAAAACUUAAGGUGACAUGGAGUCACUUAUCCCUAGUCUCAUAUGGUCACCUAAAGUACAAUUUAUGUAUUUUAUUUUAUAUUUGUUGUGAUCAUUAUCUAUACACAUGAAGAGGUUUCAUAGAUGAAAACCUAGUAAAAAAAUGUUUUAAUGUUUUUCUAAGGAAUAGAGAAACAAUAAACAACACUAUUUUACCGGGAAUAUGAAGAAAUGUUGAUGUUAACAUUUUUGCUUUUGGAGAGCCUAUGAAAAAUUUCCCAUUUUCUAUGCAAUUUUACUAGGGGAAUUCUUUGUUUACAGCUUCAAGAUAUUGAAUAUUUUGAUUAUGUGCUUUUGGAAAUAUUCAUAAUGUAUCCAUUCACUGUGAUGGUGACUUUGAAGAAUUUUUUUAUUAAAAUGAUUAAAAAAUGGAAGGCUCUUCACUAAGAUUGUAUUGGCAAUAGGUUGUACAAGCCUCAAGGAUUUUAAUCAUUUAUAGUAUAGCAUUUCCUUCAGACAAUUUACAUUUUUCUAUGUGGUUCAUUUGAUUUCAAUCAAUGUUGAAAUAUGCUAUAGUGAGUGAUAAUUCCAUACAGUGCUUUUAUAGCCCACCAUGCUAUGUAGUCAGUCAAGUAAAAAGCAUGAUAAUUAAGAAGCCAUGGUCUUGUUGCUUCUUGAUCAAGUAGACAUGUUAACAUGUUACAUAGAGUAUCACUAUAGGUAGAAAUUGGCCUGUGUCAUUCUAUGGAAAAAAUUAAAAAAAUUAAAAUAAUUACUACACACAAAGCUUUGAUCAAUUAUAUGGCCAUUGAAGAGUAGGCUUUUGCAAGUUUCUAGGCCAUGGAAUUACUAAACCAUUCAUGUUCCGGUAAAAUAUUAAGUAGGUAAUUGUUAGAUGCUAAAUAGCCUGUAGAAUAUUCCAAGGAUUAGAAAUAGUUAGAAAACAAUCAUCAAAUAAAGUGAGUUUCAAUAAUAAUUUGUUACCAUUAGAUGCUAAAGUAGUCUAUCUUUGGAUAAAAAUAAUAUGGUACUAUUAUUUCCAGAAAUUUAAACAUUAUCUCCAUUUAAAGUUAGUACAUUAACUUUUUCAUGGCUUAUAAAUGAGUUCAUAAACAAUAUUCCAGGCUAUUUCAUUGGGUUCCAAAAUGCCUUCUAGGGAGACAAGCCCAAAAACUGGUCCAUGAUCCUAACUCGGCCUAAGUCGUGUAUGGAUAUGGACUGGGCGAAGUUGUGGCUUACCACUAGGCUUGACCCAUGAGCCUAUUGUUAGGGUUGAUGCUCUGAAAGGCAUUUUGGAAUCGAAUAAAAUAGCCUAGUUGUGUAUGGGCUGAUCACUAGGCUUACCCCAUGAGCCUAUUGUUGGGCUUGCUCCUUUGGAAGGUAUUUUGGAACUAAAUAAAAUAGCCAAGAGUUGAUAAACUCAUGUACAAGCCUUUUAUGUUAAUGUUCUAGCUAAAAUGGACUAAUGUUUAAAACAACAUUAUAUUAUUAAAUUUUGCAUUUUCACAACUCAAAUCAUACAAAUAAUUAAAUAAAUUACUUUUAUGAAGAGAUGACCUACUCAGCUGAUUUUAUUUGAUUGUUGUCUUUUUAUCACCAACCCUCAGCAGAUUGCAUAGGCUAGCACCUAAACAAAAACAUGCUAGUCUAGUGAAUGUCUUUCAAUUGAUAGUUUAAGAGUUCAAGCCACCUUAUAGUAUAUGUCUAUCAUUAUUAUUCAUUUUUAGUGUAAAAUUGAAGGAGUAAAUAUAAAUUCCAUAAAAAAUCUUAGCUAAUCCCUUUCAAGCAUCAUAGUCCUUUAAUAAUUCCAAUGAGACUAUUGACAUUGACUAUUGUAGUGCCAUCAAUUGUAUAGUCCAUUAUACAUGUGCCAAUUUCAAACAAUAGCCUACCAAUGAAUUUUCUUACUAAUAAAUGGAUAUUUGUCCUCACCUUGGAAGACUUUAACAUCUUUGCAGGAAGACAUGUGAUUGCAGAAUAAUUUGUGACAAAUAAUCUUUUUUGUUUUGUCUUGCUUGACUAACAAAAUAAAAUAUUAAUUGAUCUUUAUUAUGAAGGUGCCUUGAUAGCUCCUUCAAGUAGCCAGGAAAGUUCGGUCUUUAAAAUUGCUUAGUUUGUACUAUCAUUGCAAGAAAAAGGUAAAUGUUAUUUAUCAUCUUCUUAUAAAUAUUAAAUAGAUGCAAAUUAUGAAAUUACAUAAAAUAAUGUCAUAUUUAAUUGAUGGUCUAGACUAGGAUAAAAUAUUAAUGAAAUCUAUAUGUGUGUGUGAUAUUUUAAUUUAUAUUAUCAUAUAAAUAUACUCUUUUUUUUCUUUUUGAAACCAAAAUUUUAUCUUUCUAAAAUUAGAUUUUUUUUAUUCAAAGUGAUUAACAUGAAAUAUUUUAUUGUCGUAAAUCAUAUAUCAUAUGGUCCAUUAUACAUGUGCCAACUUCAAACAAUGGCCUACCGAGUGAAUUUCUCAACAAUAAAUGGAUAUUAGCCCUUGCCUUGGAAGACUUUGACUGUAAGACAUGUGAGAGGAAGAAUCUUUGAAAUUUUCAAAUAUGGAUUCUUGUGGAAAGUGGGUGAUAUAUUUCAAAAAGUCGACAAUUAAUUUUUUGGGUUUUGUCUUGCUUAACUAACCAAAUAAUUUUUUGAGUUUUGUCUUGCUUGACUAACCAAACAAGAUAUUGAUUGAUCUUUAUUAUGAGGCAUCUUGGCAACUUCCUCAUGUAGUUAGAAAAAGCCAAAUAUCAUGUAUCACUAUUGUAAUACCCAAGUAUUUUUUUAAGGGUAAUUUAGGAAAUUACUAAUAAUAAUUCAAUUAGUUAAUUAAUUAAUUUAAUAAAGUGGAAAAGGGGUAAAAGUGUAAUUUUACUAAUAAAUACCUUAGGUAUAAAUUAGAAAUUCUAUUUCUUCCUGUUCUUUUCUGAAUAGAGUUCCUAUUCGCAGAAUUUCAGAGAACGUAGGUUGGAGUCAGAUUUCAGGGUUGAAGAACAGAUCUCUAUAGGUAAGAUUCUAACCCCUAGUUUAAUAUUUUAGAUUUAUUGAUUAAUUUCAAACACAUUAGAUAUCUUUUGGAAAACCCAAAUCUAGAUUAGGGUUAGUUUAUUUUAUUUUUAAUUCGUUUUAAUAUCAAAAUAAUAAAAAAUUUUAAGAUUUUGAUUUUAUUAUUGGAAUUUGGGAGAUCUUAAGUUUUAUUAGAUGAAAAAAAAAUUUCCUUGGAAAGUUUCGAUUUUAGGUUAGGGUUAAUUUUAUUAAAAAAAAAGAAAAGAAAAAAGAGAAAAAAAAAAGAGUAAAUAAAUAUAUUAUUAUUUGUGGUUGAAGGGAUUAGAAAAUGUACAAAAAAAAAAAAAAAGAACGCGUGUGCACAGCACAUGAAGGAAGGAAGGAAGGAAGGAAGGGAAAAAAAAAAAAAAAAAAGGGGGCGUACGCGUGUACUAUGCUACUGGAAGCAAAAAAAAAAAAAAGCGUGUGCCAAAUGGAAGGAAGCCUUUUAUAUAUAUAUAUAUAUAUAAUGAAUCAUGAUGAUGGCAAAAAAAAAAAAGAAAAAAACUUGCUUUUUGGUUUGGUGUACCCGAGACAACUAGGUAAUGGUUGAGUGACUUUUGAAUUGGUUAAUUAAAAUAAUAAUAUUUAGUUUUAGAUUAAUGAUUAAGAUAAUAGUAAUAAUAGUCUCUUUUUUUUGUAAUAAAUAGAAUGAGAGAUUUAGCAAAAUAGAUAUAUAUUUAUAUAGAAUUUUAUAAUGAAAUAAAAUUGUAAUUUAAUUAAAUUAGUAAUGUGUUAUUAGAAACAAAUUGGGAAUUUAUUAGUUUUAUUUAAAUAAGGAAUAGAUUAAUUAAAUUAUAAAUAAAUAGUAAUAAUUGUUUCUCUUAUGUUAUAUUAGGUGAAGAGUAGAUUUUUUUUUUCAGAAUUAUUCUUCUCCCAAGCUUUCAAGGACUUCUUUUGAGGCAAGGGAAGUUAAUGCAAUAUUUAUAAAAUUUAAAUUAUUUUAUAUGUUAUUUUGAAUUGUGGAAAAGAAAAUGAUAUUUUAUUACCAUGCAUGGAUCAAACUGUUUUGCACUAAAUAUUAUAUUGGAAUAUUUUGUUUUAUUUAUGACACAAAAUAUGGAGAUAUUAUGUUGUGUAAAUUUGAAUACUUGAACAAAAACAUCACACUGGUUUAUUUGGCCCUUGUCAACGGGAUAUAAUAGUUGACUAUUCGGCCCUGUCAACGAGAUAUAAUAGUUGACCUUUACAUUUCAUGGUGGGAAUGUAAUUGAUUUGGACCCCAGCCUCUAGGGGUUUGGUUAGAGGUUACUAGUACUAGUAGUGUUUGGUUCCGUCCACCAGGAACAAUUUGAGGCUAGCCACCCAUUUGAAAAGUCCCACCUAACUGGGCAUUUGAUAUUUGAUAACCAGAGUAAUGAAAAUUGAAUGGAUUUGAUUGAAUCUUAUAUGAAAGUGUUUGAAUUUGAUAUGAAAAUGGUUGGUUAAAUUUUGAAUAUAUUGGUAUUUUUGAAACUCUGAUAUUUGAUAAGAAAAAAAAAUGAUAUCUCCUAUUUGAAAUGAAAAUAUUUGAUCCAUGAACUGCAUUAAUAUUCCUUAUUGGGCUGUGAGCUCAUUCCCAAUUGUUGUAAAUUUUUCAAGUAUCCUUAGUUUGGGUGAGGAGUGAUGGCUAGGCUGAGGAAUGGUCAUCAUUAGGAUUUGACUUAGGAUUUUAUGUUGGAUUUUGUUUAACUGUUAGUUAUGUUCAUUUGGAUCCUUUGGUAUUUGGAAGUUAUUUGGAUAUUGAUUCUUCAAAUUUUAUGUUAGAUCAAAGUUGAGUGUUGGAGAUUUUGAAAUUUGUUCUAGUACUUGAAUUGUUUAAGUUUGCAAAUAUUUGGACAAUGGAUUUUGGAUAGUGAAUGUUUUAGUUUUGAAAUUGAAUUUUGAGGAUUUUAGAUUUUGUUCCGCUACUCUGAACAGAUAUUUGGUAAUUGGUAACUUUCAAUUACAAGAUAAUUGUUUGGGUCAGGUUACACGGUAAGCCUUCGGGUUUGAGGUGUAAAAUGACCGUCACGCCCUUGGAGUGGGUCUUGGGGCGUGACAACUAUCUUAUGAAUGUUAACCAAAUACAAGGUGGUGAAAUUAUAUAAAUUAAGAUCAUAUUUAAUUGAGGGUUUAAACUAGGAUAAAAUAUUAAUAUGUAUUUCAUAUAUAUAUAUAUAAUUUAAAUUUGUAUUAUAAUAUAAAGAUGCUUUAUUUUUCUUCUUUUUGUAAUAAAAAUUUCUUCUUUUUAUUUGAGAUUUUUCUUAUUUUUAUAAAAGACAUCUAUAUUGCAUGUUUUUUGUGAGAUUAUUAAAUCUCAUAUAAAGGGAUAUGAUAAAUAAAAUGAAUAAUCAUUUUUCUUAUCUAUUUUUCAACCAAACAUAAAAUAUAGUUGAUAUGAUCUUAAGAACAUAACAUGUAUCUUAGAUAAAGUAAACAAAAAAAUAAAAAAUAAAAAGGUUAUUAUAUAUGAUUUGCAAAUAAAACUAAAAUGUAAAUCAAUUAUUUUGAAGAAUAUAAAUGCCCAUUACUAUGUCAACAACCCUUGUACAUGGAUCAAAAUUCUUAGCUAGUCCCUUUCAAGCAUCAUAUUCCUUCAAUAAUUCUAAUAAGGUCGGCCUUGUUGAUAUUCAAUAAUUCUAAUAAGGCCGGCUUUGUUGAUAUUCAAUAAUUCUAAUAAGGUCGGUUUUGUUGAUAUUCAAUAAUUCUAAUAAGGCCGGCUUUGUUGAUAUUGACCACCACAGUCAUAAAUCAUACAGUCUAAUAUGCACAUGUCAAUUUCAAACAAUGGCCUACCAAUGAAUUUUCUUAGCAAUAAAUGGAUAGCAACAUAUUCCUUCAACUACUCCAACAAGACUGGUUUUGUUAACAAUGACCACUAUAUUGUCAUAAGUCAUAUGGUCCAUUAUACAUGUCUCAAUUUAAAAAAAAAAUGUCUACCAAUGAAUUUUCUUAGCAAUAAAUGGAUCUAUGAACCUUGACUGGAAGACUUUGACUCCUUUGCAUUAAGAAAUAUGACCGAGGGAAGGAUUUAUGAACUUUUCAAAUAUGGAUUUGAGUGGAAAAAUGGGUAGUAUAUUUCAAGAAGGUGAUGAAUAAUUUUUUUGGUUUUGUCUUGCUUGACUGACCAAAUAAGACAUUAAUUAAUCUUGAUUGCAAAGGUUCCUUGGCAGCUUCUUUAAGUAGCUAGGAAAAUUCAAUAUUUAAAUUUGCUUGGUUUGCACUAUCAUUGUCAAAAAACACAAAAUGUUAUCUAUAAUCUUCUUAUGAAUGUUAAACACAUGUAAAUGUAAAUGAUGAAAUUAUGUAAAUUAAGGCCAUAUUUAAUUUACGAUCUAGACUAGGACAAAAUAUUAAUGAAAUAUGAUAAUUAAUAUAUAUAUAUAUAUAUAUAUAUAUAUAUAUAUAUAUAUGCUUUUAUUUUUUAUUUUGGUUAUUCAAAGUGAUUAACAUGAAUUUUUUUUUGAAAGAAAUAUCUAAGAGAUCUAAUAAAUACAAGAAAUAAUUUUAUUGUCCAAAAUAUAUGUAGAUUCCAUUUUUUUCAUGAGAUUAUUAAAUUCCGAUAUGAUAAAGAGAAUUAAUAAAGCUAAUAUGACCUUAAGAGCAUAGCAUGCACCCUUAGAUAAAGUAAACAUGAAAAUAAGAAGGCUAUCAUGAUUUGCUUGUAAAACUAAAGUUUGAAUAAAUUAUUUUGAAAAAUAUGGUGCCCAUGAGUAUAUCCAAAGCCUUGUAAGUUGGAUGAAAGGUUAACAUACAAAAGUGUGGUCUUGGAUUAGAAAAUGCAAGAUAUAGAAAGAAAAUACACAAAGUAUAGGUCAAAUUAAGUUUGCAAAUAAUUUUUUUUUUCUUAAAAAUAAUAAAGAACUAUUAUUAUGACUAUUCUCAAAAUUCAUUUUUGAAAAAUGUUAUUAAAAGUAGACAUGCCACAUUCAUACUCGUUAUUCAAAAAAAAAAAAAAAACCAAACAAACAAACACAGAAAGAAGGAAAAAUCUAUUAAAAAAAAGUCUAUAAAAGGGAAAAUACAUUAAACUAGUGUCAAGGUUCUAUCAAAAGCCUUAUUCUAUGAAGUCAUGAAUAAGUUAUGAUUCAAUUGAAACAUGAAGUACACAUUUCCACAUCUUGCCUAGAAACUUGUUAUUCCAUAAAAAGUAUAGGUCAUGGAAGUUGAUUAAGGUGAGGAUUGAAAUUACUAAAAAUAUUUUUUGGUAAAAUAAUUUUUGUCAUAAUUUUAUGGUUAUCCUAUAUCCUACUUCAAAUCAACCUACAUGAAAUUAUAGUAUGUAAUUAAUGAGUGUAUGGUCCUUCAUUGAAACCUCUAACCAAUUAAGACAAUAUUUAAAGCAAAAUUUAAACCCAAACCUCUUAAUCCACUAUUUUUCUAUAUCGAUUUUCUCUCCAAAAAGUUUACCCUCCUUUCCUUUGUUCUAUUUAGUCAUGGUGUCACCCCCUUGUAAGCAAAUAAUUUCAAUGAAAUCUUAAAACUAAUAACUUCUGCACAAUAAUAAUUAAUGUUUCAACUGUCAAAAACAAGUUAGGCUAACAUUACCUAUUUACAAGUUAAUUUUACAAUCAUCUUAUAAUUACAGUGAAAAAAUAAAAUUCUUUUUUAUUAUUAUUUAUGAAUGUAUGGUUAGCAAAUGUUGUAAUUAAUGGUUCAUGAUCAAUGAGAUAUUUUUACAAUAGACUACUUUUAAGCUCAAUUUUGAAUUAAAGUCGUGUUAAUUAUCUUUUGACUUAAGUCUUAUAAAAUAUUUAAUAAAAUUAAGUUCUAUUUAAACUUCAGUCAAACUACAGUUCAUUUAGUUUUAAGAUAAAUUAAACAAAUCUCAUUUGAGAAAUUGAGGCUUACAACAGUUUUCCUUUUUUACCAUUAAUUUUCCUAUUAAGUAAUGAAAUGCUCUAGAGAGCUCAUUGUUUCCUUAUUAUUAAGAGUAAAUUCAUAAGAAAAACUUAUCAUAUGAUUCAUGAAAAAAUUAAUAAAAAUCAAAAUAAGAUUUUAGACAACUUUACAUUAGUUAAUUAAAGACAUUUUUUUUUCUAAAUUGGAAAUUGCAAGAGAUACCAUUUUAGGUUUCACCAUAAAUGUAAAAGCAAAUUCCACAAGGAUAGAAUCCCAAUUGAAACUCUUAGAAAAAGAAACUUGUUUAAAAGUCACUUGAUAUGAAUUAUUUUAGUUACUCCAAAGGUGGGUAUAUAGAGAAAGAUAUACAAUUACAAACAAAAAAUGAUCUCUCAUAAGUCCAAGUUGCAAUCCCUCACCACUAUGGUCUAACUCAAGGAUCAACUUAAUUUAGUUAUUACAUAACUAAUUAAUCUUACUUCUCAUUCCAAUAAAAAGUGGUAAAGAAAAAAGAAAAGAAAAGAAACAAAAGAAACAAAAGAAACUCUAUAUGUUUAUAAUGGAUGAGACUCUUAUUUUCAAGCUUCAUGGAUUUGAUUCUAUUACUAUUUCAUGCAAUUCCCUCUAUCAUAAAUGUGAUGGACAUUAGUUACUCUUACUUGACUGAAAGGUGGAUCUAUAGAGUCGUGUGUAGUUGAACUAUAACUUGGGUUGUGAGAAUAUUCUUGGACAUAUUAAAAUAUCAUACAUGAGAACAAGAACUUUUGGAAUCUAACAUCGAUUCUGGUAUAAUCAUUUUGCACAAUCAUUUGUUCAAUUAACAUAAAUAUAAAUAGAAAUGCUAUGAUGAUGAAUUUUUAUCAAAUUAUACAUUCAUAAUAAUUUGAACAUGUAGACAAUUAUUUUUACUCUAAUUCUGAAAUUCUUGUCAUUUUGUCUAGUUGUCUAGUAGGGAACCCGAUCGCCAUUGUAAUCCUGAGCAGUGAACAUGGAGCUUUUUCUUGUCAAAAUUCAUGCUAUCAAUUUCCAUAAUUUGUAUCAGAACUCUAAUAUAGACGGAAAAAGAAUGAAGACGAUUGUUUGGGCCGACCUUAGGCUUGGGUUUUGGGUUUAUUAAAUCUCAUUACAAGGUCCACCCACAGUGAGACUUGGUAAGGAGAAAAAUGACCCAAAGAAAUAAUGGAAGGCCAUUGAUGGAAUGCGCAAUUAAUGUUCCAAACAUUAAGGCCAUGUUUGGUUCAGAAAUUACUAAAAAAAGAAAAAAAAUGGUAAAGAAAAUAAUUUUCUUAUAUUUACUUUCAUUAUAAAAAAUAAGAAAGAAAAUUAAAUAUAAUAGAAAUUAAUUAUAUAUAUAUAUAUAUAUAUAUAUAUAUAUAUAUAUAUAUAUAUAUAUAUAUAUAUAUAUAUAUAUAUAUAUAUAUCUUCUUUGUUUUGAAUCAUGACAUAAUUCCUGUUUUCAUUGCAUAUGACCUUGUCCUGGGUGUCUAUGUAUAUAUAUAUAUAUAUAUAUAUAUAUAUUUUAAGUUAUUUAAUCUUUAUAUAGAAAAAGAAAAAUAGGUGAAAUAAAUUUAAAAUAGUAUAUAAAAAUAAUUUAUUAUUUUUAUAUUUUUAUUUUUAUUUUCCUUUACUUAUUUUUUUUCUACUUUUUCUCUUUUUUUUUUUUUUUUUCAUUCUUUUGUAUUUUCUUUCAAACUAUUCGGAAUCAAACAUAACUUAAGGGUAUAUUUGGUUGCGGGAAAAUGAAAGGGAAAGAAAAUAUAAAAGAAAAUAAUUGUUUAGUUGGCAGUCACAUAGAGCAAAAUGUCACAAUCAUUUAUUUUUUAUUUUCAUUCCAUUAAUUUCAAGAUGGUACGUGUGGGUUGCUUAAUAUCAUUGUCUAGUUGGCAGUCACAUAGAGCAAAAUGAAAAAGAGUCUUCUACUUUGACCAUUGACCAUUGACCAUUGACCAUUGACCAUAUUUACUGAAUUUAAACAUGUAGACUUCGGAUUUCUUCUAUGGAGGCAAAACAACUUUCUUUACUCGGUAAGGCUUUGAGAAGUUCUUUAUAAUAAUAAUAAUAAUAAUAAUAAUAAUAAUAAUAAUAAUACAUGGAGACUCCAUGUCCCUUAAAAUUAUUAAUUUGAUGAUAAAAUGAAAUGAUAAUUUAUUUUUGAAGUUCACUAUAAAUAAAUAAAAUAAAGAACUGAUAUUUUAAAUUACACAUUCAAUCCCAUAAUAGUCAAAAUAUGUUAUAUUUGCUUAAUUUUAUUUUUAAUUUAAAUUUAUAUAAUAAAUAUCUAAAACUUUUAAAAGUAUUAUAAGGCAUUUGAGAUUGAGGUCAUAAUUAAAUAAAGAAAUUAUAUUUAAAUUAAUCAAUAGUAUAAUAAAUGAUUGGAUUUUUCAUCCACUUAAUUAAUAAUAAUUAUAAUGAUGAUGAUAACAAUAAUGAUGAUGAUGAUUAUUAUUAUUAUUACCUUUUCGCUUCUAUCCAUUUUUUUCCUAAUUUUUAAUCAAAAGAAUAGUAGUAAUAAUAACUCUUAUAUUUGUUUUUUGCUCAUUUUAAAUCUAUCAUAUGUGUGAAUCUUUCUUUUCUUUAACUUAAUAAUUUUUGUUCCUCUCAUAUUUGCAGUUGGGUCAAUGUUGAUAUUACAACUCAUGGGUAAGGCUUCCAAAUCUCAAUAAGUAGAUCAUAUAGCUCUUUUCGCCUUGCACUUUUGGAAUCCUUUUAUUCAAGAUUAGACACUACAAUCAAGUUUUGUAAAGCAUUUGGUUGUACAAAAUGAAUAAUAAAUUGAAAUUCCAAAUUUGUGAAAUUCAAAAUUUUCUUUCAAGUAAAAUUGGUUUUUUUUUUUUUUUUUUAAUUUGUGAUGCAUUUAAUUUUAAAUUAUUCCCAAAUUUGUUACAAGGAAAUUGAAAAAUAGAGCUGGAAUGAGGCAUCUCAUUCCAUUCCUUAAUUUUGUGCAACCAAACAAAUUUUCUCCAUUGAUCAUUCCAUCCUUUAUAUAUACCAUGCUGUCACCCAAAAGAAAAAGAGUCACAUGACCAUGUUUGAGUGGAAAUCCAAAACACAAGUGAUUAUAUAAGUGAAAUGGCCUUUUUAAAACUAAUUCUAUUUGUUGGAUUUGAUGAUUGAAUGUAGAUAGAUGAUUAUAAAUCUUCCUAUGAUGUUUUUCAUAUUUUUAACAUGAUUUAUAGGCAUGAUCAUCAUUGCGAGGGUCGUACCUGGUAUGUUGUGUCUGCUUGUCUAUUUAAUCUACAAGUUUCGAUGAAGACACUUAUCAUUGGAUGAUGGUAUUGAAGAAUUCUUACAUAGCCAUAAAAAUCUUCAACCAAUCAAAUACUCGUAUUCAGAGAUAAAAAAGAUGACUCAUAAUUUUAAGAAUAAAUUAGGUGAAGGAGGUUUUGGCUCUGUGUACAAAGGAAAACUCCGAAGUGGUCACAUUGUAGCUGUAAAAAUGUUAGUUAUGUCAAAAGCUAAUGGGCAAGAUUUCAUCAAUGAAGUUGCUACAAUUGGAAGAAUCCAUCAUGUUAAUGUGGUGGGACUUGUUGGAUUUUGUAUACAAGGAUCAAAAUGGGCUCUCGUAUAUGACUUCAUGCCGAAUGAGUCUCUUGAUAAGUUUGUUUUUCUUGACCAAGGAAAUAACAUUCCUUUGAAUUGGGAAAGAUUAUACAAAAUUGCACUUGGAGUGGCGAGUGGGAUUGAACACUUACAUCAAGGAUGUGAUAUGCAAAUUCUCCAUUUUGAUAUCAAGCCACACGACAUUCUUCUUAAUGAAGAUUUUACACCAAAAGUUUCAGAUUUUGGCCUUGCAAAAUUACAUUCAACAGAUGAAAGUAUUGUGUCUCUCACUGCUUCUAGAGGAACAUUGGGAUAUAUAGCUCCAGAGUUGUUCUAUAAAAAUAUUGGAGGAGUUUCAUAUAAAGCUAAUAUUUAUAGUUUUGGAAUGCUAUUGUUAGAAAUUGUGGGGAGAAGGAAGAAUGUGAAUGCGUUUGCAGAGCAGUCAAGUCAAAUAUACUUUCCAUCAUGGAUUUAUGAUCGAUAUGAUCAAGGAGAGGACAUAGAAAUAGGACAGGCCACUAAGGAUGAAAAAAAGUAUGUGAGGAAAAUGGUGAUAGUUGCACUAUGGUGUAUACAAAUGAAGCCUGUAGAUCGUCCUUCAAUGAGCAAAGCAUUGGAGAUGCUUGAAGGAGAGGUUGAACUCUUGAAAAUGCCUCCUAAGCCAACUCUAUGGUCUAUUGAGAAUCACGAGCAAUCCAUGGUAGUGGUACCAAUUUCAUCAUCUAAUUCCAUGGGUACAAUCACCUUAAAUGGAAGGUACUGCUACACCAUCUAGUUACAUAUUAUGUAAUCCAAUAAUAAUGUGUGAUAGUCUUAGGUAUAAGGUUUUUAUAAGAUUGGUCUAUGUAAUAAGACAAAGUUUCAUCCUUGAACCAUAGCUUGGCUCCUUAUGAGUGAGUAUGUGUAUAGGUAAUAAAAUAUCAUUUCGAAUGUUUGAGUUGUCUUCUUUGAAGCUCUUAAAAUUAUCAAAUAGAUUUCCCUAUUUUGUUAUGCAUUUGUUAUCUACAAUAAUCUAGGCUUUCAAAGAUCAAUAAUGUCAAUUACAACAUUUCUUUUAUAACUAAUUCCAAAUAGUUUCUAUUAGAAAAGUAUCUUUGGGCCUCUACAAAGGUUACAAUAACAUUCUUCGACAUUGAAUUGCGUCAUUCCAUGUACGGUUAUUUAGAUUAAUGGAUGCUUUGGUUUCUCUAUUCUUAGAUUUCUACUCCUUGUCGAAGACUCUGAUCUUACUCUUCUCACUUUAAAACAUGCUUGCAAAUUAAAAGUUGUAUUUUGAUAAAGAGAAAAUUAACAAAGAACAAUUUGAGAGUUCAAACCUUCCUUUGGUAUAUGUCUACUAUCAUAAUUCAUUAUGAGUGUAAAAUUGUAGGAGUAGAUUUAAAAUUUUAAAAUGGUCUCCUACAAGUAUUGUACUCUUUCAAUAAUUUCUACGGUCCAUUAUACAUAUGGUCAAUUGUGAUACUUUAUUGAUUGAAUAUGAAUUUUCAAAUACGAACUGACCAAGUCAAUUUUCUUAGCACUAAAAGGAAUUAGGUCCUUACAUUUAGAGGACUAUUUCUUUAUCUUUAGAAAUGUGCAAUGAGCUAGAUGUGAUAGGGCCAUAAUACCAAAUGAACUAUGAUGAUAAUACCAUAUAUUAUAUUCCAAACAUACAAAUGAUCAAUGCCUAUUUUAAUUGAUUUAUAAAUUUAUUUUGCUUGCUAGCAUAAGCUUCUUUAACAUGUAUAACUAAUAUUACUUGUUAAUUCAUUGGGUUUAAUCAUGCAACUUGAGGCUCUCAAAAUAGGUAUAAGAUUAACCUAUUUUUUUAUAUUUUAAAGUAUGUUUAAAAAUAAUUUUUAUAUUUAGUGUAUUGUUUUUUUUUUUUUAUCAUUUUCCAUAUUUGUAUAAUUAUUUUUUAAAAUAGACCUUUAAAAAAAUUGAAAACAAUUAAAGGAUUCUUUCAAACAAUUAAAGAAUAUGUUUUGAAAACACCAUUUUUACGAAUAGAAAAGUAUUUUUUAUUUUUCAACUAUCAAAUGUAUUCUACUAUUUUCUUUUUCUUUUUUUCAAAAAAAAUUGUUUUUGAAAACGGUUACCCAACGUGCUUAGACUUGCCAUUUCCACCCCUAUUUCCCUUUUAGCUUUCACAAAAUCACAUGCUAUAUCAAGCAACAAUAUUUGUAGGUAGUUUACCCAUGUUUAGGAACACAAGUAAAGUGAAAAGAUAAAAAAAAAUGUCAUGGCACGGUUACAGGGAUGAGUAGUAGUUAGUACUAGUAUUUGAGUAGAGCGUGGAAAAAAUAUGGUCACUUGGCUCUCUUUUGUGCCAAUUGCAUCUCCAUAUUUGUUUUCACAACAAGCUAACUAUAUACAACAUACCUUUCAUAAAAGUACUACUUCGAAGGGUAUUGGGAAGAAAUAGUGGGAACGCUCGACAACAUCACCAGCAAGUACUUGGAGAUAGAGAAAGGGGUUAACACAUUGAAGAGGAGACAUGCCGAGAAGGUGAGCGAGAGCUAAGCUGAGCAGAGGGAGCCGUAUCUGAAGAAGGCUGGCAAUGGAAGGUUUUGGCACAAAGAUAUAAUUUAGGAUUUUAGUCCAAUUUAAUGGUGCUAAAGUUGGAUAUCAUAUCCCCUCCAAAUUGAUUUGGUUUUAUCAUUAUUUGACAUAUUUCUUAUGUUCAAAUAAUUGAUUAAAAGAUAUGACAAACGCAAAAAGCAACUUUGUUCUUUUUCGUAUUUCCCACCAAAAGAAACUUUUUUUUUUUUUUUUUGUUCGUGAAAGUCAUUAUCAUUCUUUUCUUUGAAUAAUUGAUGAAAAAAAGGCACUAGUACCAAAACACAAUUUAUGAUACCUUUUUGGGCUCAUCUAAACCUUUUUUUAAAAAAAAAAGAGGAAAGCGAGGCGGUAGAAAAAAUUUGAAAUCUCAUUAGUGCAUAUUAUGACUAAGUUCAUAUGAUUAGGAUAUAAAGAAGAUGACUAACAAUUUGAAGAACAAAUUAUAACUAGAAGGUUUUGGCACGACAUACAAAGGAAAUUUCGAGGUAGUAGCAUUGUGAGCUAUAAAAGUGUUGGUCACUUCUAUAGUUAAUGAGCUAGAUUUCAUCAAUAUGAAAUCACUACUAUUAGAUGGUUUCAUCUUAUUGUAGUUCGCCUAAUUGGAUUUGCGUGAAGGGAUCAAAAUGCCCUCUCACAUAUGAUUUGGUGUCUAUUGGAUCUCUUAAUAAGUACAUUUUUCUUGGAAGAGAAAAUUCUAUUUCUUUGGGCUUGCAAAUGUUGUAUAAGAUUGCAUUAGGAGUGGCCAGAGGAAUCGAAUAUUUGCAUCAUGGUUAUGACGAGCAAAUUAUAUGGUUUAAUAUCAAGGCCUACAAUAUUCUUCCUCAUGAAGACUUUACACCAAAAGUUUUAAACUUUUACCAAAUGAAAUUAAGUUUGAUAGACAAAAUUAUUGUGUCCCACUGUAUAACAAGGAAUACUGGUAUAUAUCAAUCCAUUAGUAUCUUACAAAAACACUGGCGGCAUCUUUUAUAAGUUUAAUGUUUAUAGUUUUUGGAAUGUUGUUGAUGGAAUUAUAAGAGAGAAAGAAGAAUGUGAUUGCAUUUGUACCAUCCUCAAGUCAAAUAUACUUUUCAUUAAUUGUGGAUUUAUUACAGAUAUGAUAGAGGAGAAAACAUGGACAUGGGAGAUGUUAUGGAGGACAAAUUAGGGAGGAAAAGAAAGUAGAUUGGAGUUUUGAAUAUCAACUUCACUUAAUGAGGCCCCAAACUGUUCUCAACAGAACAUAGCUAAUACAACAUUUAGCUUAACUGAGUUCGAACAAUUCCCACUGUAACUUCAUCGAUAAUUUCUGUACGAAUCGGUCCAAACCUGGAAAAAAUGAUGUCUGAAGAUCUGACGGCGGUUCCUAAGAAACUUCUCCAGACUAAGUAGGACAUGCAGUAGAGUACUCAGGAAUUAUUAUGGUACACUGCACACCGAAUCUAUGGCAUAAUUCAGGAAAGGGGAACCUAAAAGUAAGAAAGCUAGAAGCAAUGGAACAAUUUUGUUGUUGUUUUGAGUAAGAGUUACUUAUCGGUGUUGGAUUAUUUUGAGCUUGAAUGAACUCCUCAAUCGCAUGGUACAUGGAUAAGUUCCUCUUCUCCAUUUGUAGAUCAAGAAUAUCGCAACCCAUGGAAUCCUGAACAAAGUCUUCACUGCUGCAACAAUAGCCACUGUAAAGGACAAUUAUAGAAAAAUCAGCAGGAGAACUUCAAUUGCUCCAUCUGUGGUACCAUUUUGCUGAGUUCUACAGUUUUCUCUUGUUUUUUGUUUUCCUUUUUAUUUAUUAACCGACCAGAUGAUCUUGAAAGGCUUGCCUUUUACAUUUUCCACCUUAAGUUGUUUCCUUUUCUUCAUCACCACUGCAAUGAGGAAAUUCAAUGUCUUACCAAUGAAGAAGAGUCCCAAUACCAGAAUGCCUGCUCAAAAUGACAAAAGAAAUAAAACAUAUAAAUGGUUUUUGAAAAAAAUAUAACAAUUUUAAAAAAUAAUUACUAAAAUAUGACAUUUUUAAAACUAUUUCCAAAUCUACUGCACUUUUUAAGAAAUCAAUUGAAAAUUGUUUUUUAAAAAGAUAAUUUUAAUUGAAUUUUAAAGUUAUUGUUUAAGAAAAACAACUUUUAUAUUUAAACUUAUUACCUUCUUAUAUUUCUUAUGUUGACCAAUAAGCUAGUAUUAUUCUUUGUUGACCAAAAAUUUUGGUAACUCUAUUGAAACACUAUUUAUAAUACUUAGUUUUUAAUAAAGCUCAUCGAUCUGUAACAUUUUUGAAAAAGGAGAAAAGGUGUGAAACACGUUCUAAGUGAUAAAGAUAUGAAAUCUAUCAUGUAAAGUUGAAUAACCCAUUAAUUAAUUAAAUUUAAGAUUGUUUGUCUCUUUAAAGUUUUUUAUUUUUCCAUAGAGUAAGAGGCGCUGAUUUCAACAAGUUAGAUGAAGGCACAUCGACUUAUUGAGUUAGUAAUUGUUAGUGGUAAUUAAAGAUAAGCUUAAUUGGUAGAAAGUCGUUGGCUUACACAGAUCAAGCAUUAUAGGGUGGUUAAUCGUUCGGUCUAACAUGCAUUCAGGAGUUCUACGAAGUUGAACAUGCUUUGAUCAAUAUUAUGGAGUCAUUCUAAAGGUAAAUUAAAGAAUAAAAAAUGGUUUAGAAAAUAAAAUAGCAUGUCACUCCUUAUCAAACCAUCAAACAACAUAGAUUAGUGUUUCUAAAUUAUUGUUCACAUAGUUUUGUUGCUUAUGUAAAGUAGAAGAGAUACCUACAUUGUAUAGUUAGGGUUAAUUUCAUUUCUAUUUUAUGAUAUUUGAACUAAAUGUACUUAAUUAGUUGCCAUUAAGUUUAAUACUUUUCCCUUCUCAUUUUUUAAUUUUGUUCAUCUUCCUUAGAUUCAAAAUAAGAGAUGUAUUUGACAAAAUUUUAAACUAAUUAUAAUGACUAAUUAGUGUAUUUAACCCAAAAAUGUGAGAGAAAUUAAACCUUUAUAGUUAUACACAACAUGGGAGAUGUUGAGGACAAAUCAACGAGGAAAAGAAAAAAGAUUGGAGUUUUGAAUCUUAACUUCCCUUAAUGAGGCCCCAAACCAUUCUCAACAGAACAUAGCUAAUACAACAUUUAGCUUAACUGAGUUCCAACUAUUCCAACUGUAACUUCUUCAAUAAUUUCUGCACAAAUCUGUCUGAACAUGGAAAAAUGAUGUCUGAAGAUCUGAUGGUGGUUCUUAAGCAACUUCUCAAGAGUAAGUACGACAUGCAAUAGAGUACUCAGGAAUUAUGGUACCAUGUACACCGAAUCUAUAUUAAGGUNNNNNNNNNNNNNNNNNNNNNNNNNNNNNNNNNNNNNNNNNNNNNNNNNNNNNNNNNNNNNNNNNNNNNNNNNNNNNNNNNNNNNNNNNNNNNNNNNNNNGAAUGUAGCCAAUGACUGAUAUUCACUGCUGGUCCAAAUAAAGACCCAUUUGGGCUCUCCCAUUAAUUGGGUCCAGAUAACUUGCUAGAAUAUGCCCAUUUAAUAUUAGUUGAGGCAAGCCCAGAUAGGUUUGUAUUGAUGGCUAGAAUUGCUUCCUUGGCCCAAUUGGCUAUGAUUCUAGGCCCAAUAAGGAAAUGGACUCCUUUCACGAAAGGGGGAACCUAUGUGCCUUCGCUUGCUGUUUAAGAAAGAAUUAAGCCAAAAAUAUCUAAUUUCAGGAUGAGAAUUAUACUGACACGUGGAUUAUCUCCCGCUUCUUGAAAAUGUCGCGUUUAGGAAAAGGAUGGUUUGCUCUUCACCGGUGGAAUACUUUAAAAUGUAUUGAUUUAUUAGGAACUAAAUUCUAAUAAUUAAAGCAUUAUUAUUAUUAUUAUUAUUAUUUUAAUUUUUUAAUUUGCACGGUUUCCCACCUACUUUAUAUUUAUAAUUAGAUUUGAAAAAAACUUUAAAGAAGGAAGUUACGAAGUAGGUGCUUCUAGGGAAUUUUAAAAUAAAAAAAAUUAAAUUAAAAAAAAAACUAUAAAUGAAAAUUUACUUGAAUUUUUUUAGAAAAAAUUACUUAUAUAUUAUUUAAAUUGGCAGAAUUAUGGUCUGUGAGAUCGAUAUCCUGCCAAGCCAUGUGAGUGACUAAUUUGAUCUGAACUAACCCAAGAACGGAGCAUCUCUCUCUCUGUGUCUGAAAGUUGAUGAUGUUGAAGGAGGCAAAACUUGUGGGAGUAGGCCUUAUUACUCUAGUUCUCUAUGCCUGCUUCCUUUUAGUUUGUGUUGCUAAGGAUCACAAGUACCAGAUAUGCAUCCCCUCUUCCUGCGGGGAUAUUUGGAACAUUUCCUACCCUUUUGGAUUACAAGGCGAUGCCCCCAGUUGCGGUUAACCUGAGUAUGAAUUUAUUUGUGAAAACAAUCGUACGGUGGGAAAUACUAUGUUGCAGAUAUCAAUUACCAGAAUUAUAGCAUUCGGGUAGUGGAUCUCCAGUCCUCUUCAUUCCAUUGGUGCAUAUUACAGGAUGAAUGGAUUUCGAUCUUAUUUGCCUUCUGCAUGGAAACUUUUUAUCAUGGUUCGGGGUCUGGACCGAUAUUCUAUACAAUACUUUCGAUGAACUGUGAGCAGUCAAUCAGCGACCACAACUACAUUCCCAUUAUUCCAUGCAACACGACAGGCUAUUCCUCUUCCUCAUCACCAACAUACUCUUAUGCAAUAGUCGGAGAAUACGUGUCCGUGGUAGAUAUGCCGUAUUCCUGCACCAUCAGCACAUACAUGGUUAUUCAACUGUUGAAGGCACUUCCAGAGUCCAUCAAUCUUUCCAUGUCAGAUUUGCAAGAUUAUCUGCUUCUGGGGCUUCAGCUUUCAUUUUUGCCUCACUUCUGCAGCAGCCAAUGCAAAAUGAAAGGGUAGGAUACAUGAUGACCUGCUUUUAUCUUCCUUGAAUGAGUCUUCAAUAUUUCUAUCCCUAAUUUCACUGGUUUGGUUUAAUCUUGCAGCGCUUUGGAAGUUUAUAACAAUUAAUCUAUUGCUGCCCUUUAAGAGUAAGGCUUCAAACUACAAUUUUUUUUUAAAAAAAGUUAAAUCUUUAUUUUAUUAUUUCCUAACUUUUACAAAUUGGACUUCCGAUCCAUUGUUAACAGAAGGGUUACUUUCUCCCUACACAUUAACAUUACGAGGUAAGGUUGCUACUUGCAAUCAUCAAUUUCUCAAAAGAACAAGAUAAAUGAUUUAUUUAGAGUUCUUUCAUCUUAAUUAAUCCCUCCCAUUCUUGCUUCUCAUAAAAAUAUUAUUUGGGCUGUCAAGGGCAUUCUUCCUUGUGACUAACAUGGCUUGGAUGGUUUCAUAUAGGACUUCAAAAAGAAUAUUAUAAUUGUCCGGAAUGCUACUAUUGCUGCAAAUGCUUGAAGAUUGGUAAGUCUUUCUUCACUCAAGUGUCUCCUACUUUACUGUUAUUUGUGUCCCUCACUUAUACUGGCCCACUUUUUAAUUUGCUGCAUUUCUUCCUUAUUUUCUAUGAAGUAAUAUUAAAAAGAGUUGAUAUGAAAAUUCUUGGAAUUCUUGCAUUCAAAGGAUGUUCAGUGAUCUCUAAAUUGCAUUUGUUUUGUUUAACCGUACAAAUUAAAUUGAGUGUGAAUUCAAUUUUAAAAUUUGUAAAUUCAAUUAAUUCUGCUUCCAAAUUGUUUUUAUAUAUUGACUAGGGUGAACUUAAUUUAAGUGUAAUUAAACUCCACUAACAUCUAAAGAAGUCAAAAUAAUUGAAUUGAAAUUGGGAUCUUCUUAUCCAAGGCCUCAGUCCUAUGCAUUCAACAAUAUAUUAUUUUUUUCUGCCACUCAACCCAUUAGUGAUUCCAUCAAAUUGCUCCCCAAGCAACAAUACGCUGUAAAAGCUUGGUGAAAAAUCCGUUUUAGGUGCAUUAAGUGAUUGUUAAAGUAGCUACUUCACUUGCCCCUCUAACAACACUACCACAUGUUUUACUUGGUACGAAGGUAGAAUGGUUUUUCCUGCCAUUUGUAUUUGAUGGAUUUAACUUUAUUUGUGAUAUCUUGUUUCUUUUUUGAAAAUAUAUAUUGCUUUGACAAUUGAUUUGUGUUUAGUUAUAAGAAGAACUCUACUCGGGAUAUUGUGCCUAUUUGCCUAUUUGGUUUACAAGUUCCAUAGGAGACAUCUAUCAUUAGAUGAUAGUAUUGAAGAUUUCCUACGAAGUCACAAAAAUCUCCAACCUAUCAAAUACUCAUAUUCAGAUAUAAAGAAGAUGACUCAUAACUUUGUGAAUAAAUUAGACCAAGGAGGCUUUGGCUCUAUAUAUGAAGGAAAACUUCGAAGUGGUCACAUUGUAGCUAUAAAGGCUUUUGAUUAUGUCAAAGCUAAUGGACAAGAUUUCAUCAAUGAAGUUGCUACAAUAGGAAGGAUUCAUCAUGUUAAUGUAGUGAGACUCAUUGGAUUUUGCGUACAAGGAUCAAAAUGGGCACUUAUAUAUGAUUACAUGUCCAAUGGCUCUCUUGAUAAGUUUAUUUUUCUUAAAGGGGAAAACAACACCUUUUUUAACUUGGAAAGGUUGCACUUGGAGUGGGGCAUGGGAUUAAAUACUUACAUCAAGACUGUGACAUGCAAAUUCUACAUUUUGAUAUCAAGCCACACAAUAUUCUUUUUGAUGAAGACUUUACACUAAAAGUUUCAAAUUUUGGCCUUGUCAAAUUAUAUUCGACAAAUGAAAGUAUAGUAUCUCUCACUGUUAUACGAGGAACAUUGGGAUAUAUUGCUCUAGAAUUGUUCUAUAAAAACAUUGGAGGUGUCUCAUACAAAGCUGAUAUUUAUAAUUUUAGAAUGUUAUUUUUGGAAAUGGUAGGGAGAAGAAAGAAUGUGAAUGAAAAUGCAGAGCACUCAAGUCAAAUAUAUUUUCCAUCAUGGAUUUGCGACCGAUAUGAUCAAGGAGAGAAUAUAGACUUGGAAGAUGCUUCUGAAGAUGAAAAAAAGUUUGUAAAGAAAAUGGUUAUAGUUGCACUAUGGUGUAUACAGAUGAAGUCGAUAGACUGCCCUUCAAUGAGCAAAGCCUUGGAGAUGUUGGAAGGAAAGGUUGAGUUGUUAGAAAUGCCUCCUAAGCCUACUCUAUACCCUGAAGAAAUGUCAAUUGAGUAUCAUAUCAACAAUCCAAUAGAAGCAUCAUAUUUCCUUAUACAAUUCCAUGGAUAUGUAGCAUUUUACCUACUUGCAUUCUCUCCUAUGAUAUCAUAUGUUUGUAAUUUGGCAUAGAUUUAUGCAUGGGCUGUAACUCCUCUUGCAAGGUCCAAUAUAUAAUGUAAUAUUGUCUUGAGGCACUAACAUGCAAUAUUUUUCCCAAGACCCCAUUGGAUCUCUCAUUUUAUUUUUAUGUCUCCAUGUGGUACACUACCUAGGUCAUCAUUGGAGAACCUAUAAAAAGCUAUUUUGCAAUUGUUCAUGGAUUGCUCCUUUGGGAGAGCCUGAGGGAAGAAAACCUUGUUGCAGCUGGAGCUUGGGUUGCCACAUUCAUUUGCCUACUUUUUUGGGACUUUGUAAUUGUUUUUUAAUGUCCUAAACUCCUUUUCUUUGAUUGUGUCUGAACAAACUUGUUUAUAAGCUUUGGUUUAAGCGAUAUUGAAUUGGAACCUUAGGUUUUAAUACUCAUUUUCUUAUGCUCUUAAUUGUGAUUCAAUCUUCAUGCCUUUUGAGUAGUGGAUUAGGCUAAGGAAAGGGGGGCCCUUUGGACCUCUUCUUUACCCAAAAAAUGAUCCCCUCAUUUCGGGUAAUUAAUGAUUUAAUCAUUUUGUAAGUUGGACCUUUUCAUUUUUAAUUAAAACUAUUUUGACUUGAGAGAACCAUUAUUAAGCCCUCAAUUCUACAAUUUGGCAAGCAAAUGGGGAGUGAGAGUUUUAAGUAUUUCACAAGGAGGUCCAAUUAAUAAGUACGUAGCUCUAGGUUUAAUUAAAUUGUAUUUGUGCUGAAAAUUCUCAAGCUUAGAGCACUUGUAGGUAGUCUUAGAUUAGUUAGCUUAAUUGAUAGUCUUUUCAUGGAAAUAAGACAACUUAAAGGAUCCCCUUAUAUAAAAAGCAUGAAAUGGUUAAACCUUAUGUGGUCAAAUUAAUUUUACACAAUUUUUUUUAUAUAAUGAUUAAAUAACUUAAAAUUAUAUAAUAAAUUUUAAAUUAAUUUUAAUUAUAUUUGAUUUUCUUUAUAUUUUUUUUUAUAAUGAAAUCAAAUAUAAGAAAAUUGUUUUCCUUAAACAUUAUUUGAUCAUAGGAAGAUCAGGAUUUAAGCUUUGAAUAUAAUUUUUGAUAAAUUUAACUUAAUUCCCCACUAUCCUUUUCCUACAAAGCUUUACAUUUUAAAAAGGCCUCAAUAUGACCCAUCAUCAAAGAUAGUACUUCAUUUUUCAAUUUGGUGGCAUAUGUGGUCAGUCAAGAAAGACAAAACCAAAAAAAUUUCCUUCUCCCUUUCUGGAAAUACAUUACCUACUCUUCCAUAAAGAUGAAGCUUAGUUGAGAAGGUCAUGACCUCUUCCUACAUCUUGCCCAUUCCACAUUGCUCGUUGCAAAAGAAUUUAAAGUCUAUCAAAUGCAAAGAAAAACCUUCAAAAGAAUUGACUAACUGGAUAUGGAGGUAGCAACUUGCAGUAGGGUAAAGAAGAAAAAGAAAGAAUGAUAAUUUAUAGUUUUCAUUAUUACCUUAAUAAUUUUCAAUAAAAAAAUUUCUAAAAGAACUAAGAAAACGUUCCAAAGUUUUUUUCAUUAUUAUAUAAAUAAUUUUUAUAUUAUAAAAAUAAAAUUUAUCAAAAAAUUAUCUAAGUGGUUUAACUAUUAGUCAUUGGUAUCAAUUAAAAUUUUCUAAAUUUAUUUUAAUUUAGUCUAAUUCUUUAGAAUUUAUAUUUUAAUUUUGUGUCACUUUUCCAUUGAAGAAGUGUAUGUUUUGUUUGGUAUAUCUCUAAGUUUUUUUUUUUGUUUAAAUUACAAUUAUAUUUAUGAAAAAUAUAAAUAAGGACACGAAAGUUUUAAAAAUAAACAAGAAGAAAAAUAGAUAAAUAAACUUAUAAUGAAAUAAGUUUAAGUAAAGAUUUUAUAGAUGAUAAAGAAGAAUUAAUUUAUCAAAUAAAAUUAGAAAUACUGAAAUAGUGGGACAAAAAAUUUAAAAACAAAAAUAGUUAUAAUGGUUGAUAUGAUUAUAGUAUAAUUAAUUACUAUAAACAUUUAUAAAAAAUAUAAAAGCACAAAACAAGGAAAAUAAAUAUCUUAUUGGGCUUUCAUGGUCAAAUUAUGUCCUGUAUACUAAUAGAAAGUUGGAAUCAAACCCCGUAUCAAGCCCAACCCAGCCUGAGUAGCACAUGAUCCAAGCUCCGCCUAUGGACCUUCCAUUGGGCUUGGCCCAAUCAAAUAGAGUAGAUUGUUCCAUUGAUUUGAUGUUCUGCCCUAAAUGCAGUUGAUCUUAAACACAUGGAGGAACCCUCAAACCCCUCGGCUAAGACAAGCUUGUUUGCAUCAACGUCCUAAGCCACUGGACUUUUUAUUGUUUAGGUUAAACAAUAUAUACCAUAUAUUGAGAGAGUUUGAGUCCAUUAUUAUUAUUAUUAUUAUUACAUAAUCUAUUGAGUCCUUUUUUUUUUCCUUUUUUCUCAUUGGUUAAUUUCAUGGUCUACCGUACAUAUGAUCCAUUGGUAAUUUGUAUUGGUUAAAUAUCUCAUUUUAAAUAGCCACUAAAUAAAUUUUCUUAGCAUUAAAAAGAGGUUGAUCCUUUGCCUUUUGAGGAUAUUCCAUUAGCAUUAGAACUGUGAUAGAGGUAAGGAGAUGAUCAACCAUCCCCAAAUUUCAAUAUUAAUGAACUUUGUCUUUGAUAAUGCAUCCAUAUGAGACCUUUCUAAAGGUAAAGCCACUUGCUUUGUACGGAAAUGAUGGUAGAGAAUUAAGCUUAAUUUUUUUAAAUUGUAGUCAUAAAUUAAAGGCCAAAUUUUUGUUUGAAAACUCUUGCUUCUUAGUGCAAAGCAAAAGAUUAUAUACUUUAUCAAGUUAUUGGGUAAUAUAAUCUAGCUCAAGGAGCAACUUUAUUUAGUCAUUACAUAACUUAUUCGUCUUACUUCUCAAUCCAAUAAAAAAGUGAUAAAGGCAAAAAGGAAAAAAAAAAAAAAAGCAAAAGAAACUCCAUAUAGACAUAGUGGAUGAGACUUAUUUUCAAGUUUCCUAGAUCUAUUCUAUUGCUAUUUCGUGCAAUACUAUCUAUCUUGAAUGUGAUGGACAUUAGUUAUUCUUGAUUGAAAGGUGAUCUCUAGAGUUGUGUGUAGCUAAACUAUAAUUUGGAUUGUGAGAAUAUUCUUGGACAUAUUCAUUAAAAUAUCAUACAUGAUAAAUACAUUACAUGGGAACAAGAACUUCUAGAAUCUAACAUCAAUUGAGCCACUGGUAUAAUCAUUGUGUACAAUCAUUUGUUCAAUUAACAAAAAUAUAAAUAGAAAUGCUACGAUGAUGAACAACUACAAUAUGAAUUUUUAUAAAAAUACACAUUCAUAAUAAUUUGAAGCAAUUAUUUUAUUCUAUUUCUGAAAUGAUUGCUAACUCUUGUUGAAAAACACUUCUUGGUUUGCUCAAGUUUGUCUUUGUUGGAGUUGUUGAAGCAAAAGGAUUAGGAGGCAUGGUUAACUUGCCUCUUCCUUCCAACAUUUGAACCACAAUUUUCAUGGAAGGACGAUCCAUUGGAAACCAUUGAAUACAUGAGAGUCCCACAAUUGCUAAUUUCUUUGCAAUCUCAACAUCUCCUUUUUCUUCAAUCCGAAUAUACAAUUCUUCCCCUCUAUCCAAAUGAUUAUAAAUCCAUUCUGGGAAGUAUACUUGGCUAGUACUCUCCACACUAACAUCAAUGUUCUUCCUCCCUCCAACCAUUUCAAGUAACAACAUUCCAAAACUAUAAACAUCUGACUUAUAAGACACAUUCCCAAAAUUCCUAGACAACACUUUUGGAGCAAUGUAGCCUAUUGUUCCCCUUGCAACGGUCAUAGAGACCGCACUUUGUUCCUUGGAGCACAAUUUGGCUAAACCAAAGUCAGAAAUCUUUGGAUUAAAGUUGUGAUCAAGUAAAAUAUUAUGAGGUUUGAUAUCAAAAUGGAGGAUUCUUUGAUCACAACCUUGAUGAAGAUACUCAAUUCCUUUCGCUAUACCUAUAGCAAUUUCUUGAAGUUUCUUCCAACUGAGUGAAUAGUUCUUAACAUCUCUUGAAAAUAUGAACUUCUCUAAUGACUCAUUUGGUAAGUACUCAUAAAUUAGAGCUCGUUUAAAUCCAUCAGCACAAAAUCCGACUAAGCGAACUAUAUUAACAUGGUGGAUUGUACCCAUCGUUGCCACUUCAUUAAUGAACUCUUCUCCAUUUCCUUGAGAAUUAUUAAGGAUUUUUACUGCAACAAAAACUUCAUGUGAAAGCUUUCCCUUGUACACGGUUCCAUAACCUCCUUGGCCUAAUUUAUCUUUGAAUUGAUUUGUAAUCCUUUUAAUAUCAGCAUAGGAGUAUCUUGAGGGCUUGAGAGCUUCAUAGUCUUCCAGAAACCUUUUAACCUUUAUUCCAUUCUCUCUUUCUAAUUUAUCUGAGCUAUAGAGACGAUAAAACAUAGCAAUUACUAACACAAGUAGAAAGAAACCAAAGAUUGUGCCUGCAAACAUAAAAAGAAGAAAACUUAAACUUUUUUUAUUUAAAUAAAUAGAUAGAAUAACCAAGUUAAGAAUCCUUAUUUCUAUAAUAAAAAUGCAUAAAUAAAAUAUUACCUGUUACCAUUGCUUGCUUUGAUACACCUGUAAAAUAUUUAAAAAAUAAUAAUAAUUAUCUUGUUGUGCUCUUGGAAUUAACAAAAUCAUGCUAAAUUGCAUGCAUAUGAUAUGAUUUUAAUUUAAUUUUAUUCUAGGCUUCAACCCUAUCUUUUGGGUCUCUUUCUUAUACUCUACAUGUUGAGUACCAAUUCUACUAGUAACUCCAUUCUAACUUGUAGUGGAGAUUAAAACUUACCCUUCUAAUAUCUAUUAUGUAUCUUAGUUAAACUAUUCUGUUUCAUAAUAACUUACUGUCAUAAUGAAGCCCUCAACACUAAUUCACCCUAUUUUAUAAAAAAAACUAAAAUAAAAAUAAAACUCUAUCUCAAACAAAUCUCUACUCUUAUCCUAUGACAUUUUAUAUAGUGAGAUUCCAAUUGGUGAAUUCUAUGACACUUGGCAAUUUGAUUGACCAUUAACAUAUAACUUCUCAUGUUAGAUAAGAGGGCAAAGGUAUCCAUGCAUGUGGAUACCCAUUAAAAUUAGGAAAAUGAUAUUUAUGAAAAUUUUUACACAAUUGUAAUUAUUGGGAGUUGCAACAAAGAUGGAUUACCAAGGAGGUUAGUAUUCUCUACUUGGAUAUGAAACAAUAAAUGAGAAAAUAAUCUAUUUUAAACAAUCUUUAGUAAUUUUCUUUUAGUUCCUUAAACAUCUCCAAAAUCCAAAAUGAAUAGUUGAAUAUCAAUUAUAUUACUUUGCAUUUUUACAUUCACAUUGUUGGAACAGUAUGGAGAAACAAAAAAAAAAAAGUACUUGUCAUAAGUAGUUAGAAAAGAAUCCAUUACAAAAGAACUUUUAACAUUGUUGUUAUAUUUCUUUAAUUUUUCAAAAAAUUAACUCCAAAAUAAACAAUAAUUUUAAAAUGUAUAAAAUUAUUUUCACUAAUUAAUUAUUAUUUCAAAUUAUGACCUAAUAAGACAAAAAUAUUUUGGUGAAAGAUGCAAAAUGAUUAGCACUUUAAAAAAAUCCUCAUGUAAAUAGUAAGUAAACAUAUAGUACUUUGAUUGGUUGUAAUCAAAUUGAUCUUUUUUUUUCUUUUUUUAUUUUUUAUUUUUAUUUUUAUUUUUUAUCUUUCAGACUUUCAGAAUCCCAAUAAAAAGUAAAUUCCAUCCAAGAUUUUAGUUCUACUUUCCAUAGCUUAGAAACUCGAUCAGUAGAAUUUAUCAGCUCAUAUCCUUUGCAAUGGCUUUUUAAUUCCAAAAUGGAGUAUUUGUUUAUUGGAUCAUUGUAGAGGAUAUGAGGCGGGAAUGAAAGAUGAAAAGAAGAUGAAUAGGGAAUUGAGAUACAUAAAGUACCUUUAAUACAUUCAGUUUCUGGUUCCCUGCUAUUACUCUUCUUCAGUCUGCAUAUGUGUCCUGCUCGUAGGCAGCUUCCACAUAUUGAUUUCGGCCACUUCAAAGAAAACGCACUUCCAUUGAAUGUAUAAUCCGUAAAGACAUGAUAUCCAACUGAAGCGUUGUAAAGCCUGCGGCAAGACGAUAGGUCCAUAUUUUGGAGAGGAUAGAAGGAGUCAACGGCAUAAACUGGGUUACCAGGGAUAGAAAGGCAAGGGAUGAAGUGAGCAGCAAAUGAUUCUGCCGUUUAAGUGAGGAACAAUUGAAGAAGGUGACGUCCCCCUCAAAUUUGAACUGGAAGGGGGACGAAGCUAAACUAAGGUUUCGAAGCUGUCUCUCAAGGCAAUUAUCCGGGUUCUGGACAAUGAUUUCCCUGGAUUUGUAGAUUAUAUUCUUCACCAAGAGCUUUACCGAAUCUGGCAGCUCCAGCAUGAUCUGAUUAUUCUCAGUGCAAGAUAAAACAAAUCCCGGGUAUCCACAGUGGUGUGGCUGGCUUUUUAGACGGAAAGGGAACUGGAUGAGUGGACCCUGGACGCCACAACGAUUUGAUGUCGGGCACUCACCUCGGCCCCCUCUCAUCUCCACAAACAAGGUCAGAAACGAGAACAAAAAUAAAGAGAGAGAUCGAUCCAUUUUUAUGGAAGGAAGUUGUGACUUUUGCCAAGAACAGAAAUCUCAGGGAUAGGAAAGAAAGUGGAAAGGGGGAUACAAAUAUUGAGAGGAGAUUAGCCUGAAAAUUUAUAGAGAAGAAUUCUAGGAAGGAGAAUUACUGUGGUGUUACAUUUUCAGUCAAUUAUCUUCUCUCUUUCAAAUUUAAGUAUUCCAUUUAAUUUGUACAUAUAAUUUUCUAUAUGAUAUGUAAUUGAUUUUUACUUCUCAAUGGAUAGAGGAUCUAGGAAGAUAAUAACUUUGCCAUCACCUAGACUUUUUUAUUCAUGCAUUUAGAAUCAAGAUUUGAACUUUUCAAGUGAUAGAAGAUUUGGAAACUCCAUUCCUACUUGCCAUCUUCACUUGUAUCCACACAUUUAGAGUCAAGAUUUUGAAUUUUCAAAUAACAAACCUGUAAUAACUAAAGAUUGUUGGAUGACAUUGAUUAAAACUUCUAAUUAAUUUUGGUUAUACAUCACGAUAUUUAAUUUUCAUUAUGUCGCCAUAUUUAGAGGUCUCCCGUUGUUCUCAGCCAAAAGUCUUUAAUGACUGAAGUUGUCAGACAUGACUUGCAAAGGAAUUCAGUGAAUCUGAUCAUGAACCAAAGGUUGGUAUGCUUUACCCUUAUUUCAAAUUGCACCAAAAUGGGGACCAAAAGGUGGUUUAGCCGGUUGGCUGAAUAAUUGCAACUCAUUUCUCUUAAAUUCAACAUAAAUUAAAAUGGAAGAAUUCCAAAUUAGUAUCUUUCUCAAAUGUCAUAAUGGUCGAGACCAACAAAAAAAUAUAAAAACGUUUUUACCUAAGCAUAGUACCUAUUCUAAAAUUUAAUAAUAUUUCAUUUAUUAUAAUUUCAAUCUAAACGUACUGUCUUGCUUAAUUUCUUUUUGUAUGUUUUCAAAAAAAUCAAAUUUUGAUAUGAUGUAGGAAUUUGAUGAGAAAUACAACUUAAAAUACAAAUAAUAAAAAACUACAAAAGAUUAUUCUAAUAAUUAUGAUUAAUAUCAAAUGCGAAGUCAUUUCUAUAAAGAAAAUUUUAUCUAACUUGGUAUAUAUUGUGUAUCUAAAACUUAUAGAAGGUUCAAAUUUUUAGAGAAGUGGUAACUUAACAUGAUACAAUGCAUAAUUCAUUAUUCAUAUAUUUAUAUAAAGUUAAUUUGGUAUACAUUAUGGUCCGUUUAAGCUUCGAGGAAAGUUGCUAAUUCAGCUAUAAGAUCCUUUUUAUUUUUUACUUUUUGAAAUUAACUUCAAAUAUUACUAUAUCAAAUAUAGUGAUUCUUGGUUUUCAUUAUGUGGACGUAUUUAGAGGUCUUUCCCUGUUGAACAGGCAAUGCUUGAAGGUGUCAAAAUGCAACUUGCAAAGCAGUAGAGUGAACCUUAUCAUGAACAAGGGGUGGCUAUCCGUUACUUCAAUGUGCAGUUAUUCGCAUACAGAAAAAUCAAAGUACUUGAUUAUGACGGUCAAUAAGUCUCCUUUCUCUUAAAUUCAACAUAAAAGCAGAAGAAUUCCAACUCAGUAUCUCUCUCAAAUGUCAUGAUGCUCAGAGAAACAAAAGUUGUGGCAUUAACAGUCUUCCACACUUUCUUGCUUGCAAUUUGUGCUGCUAAUAGAAACCAGAUAUGCAGGCCUUCUUCUUGUGGAGAUAUUAAAAAAAUUAGCAACCCUUUCCGAUUGAAAGGUGAUCCGUCUGGGUGUGGUGAUCCUGACUAUGAAUUGGUCUGCGAAAACAAUCGUACUAUGGUAAACCUGGACCAUGGGAAAUACUAUGUUGCCGAUAUCAACUACGAUAACUACACCAUUCGGAUAGUGGAUCCUGGGGUGGAAAAGGGCAACUGUUUCUCCGCUCCUCUCUAUUCCUUGACAAGAGAAAUAUUCCGUUCUGAUAAGAGAGCAUAUUUUUUGAAUCCGCAUGAAGCGACCAAUACAACGGUUUUGAUGAACUGCGAGCAGUCAAUAAGUGAUGGCAACUAUAUUCCUAUCACUCCUUGCAACAGAAGCAAUGUGACUUCAUCUUCCUCACAAGCAUAUGUUUAUGCACUAGUCGGCGGAGGAGACUCCCUGCUGGUGAAUGAUAUUAAGUAUUCAUGCACCAUUAGCAGGACUAUUAUUACUCAAUUCUUGAAGCCCGGCAAUCUUUCAAUGUCAGAUUUGCAAGAAAUACUUCUUCAGGGGCUUGAUAUUUCAUUCUUGCCCUUCCGUUGCAAAAGCGAAUGCCAUGUGAAAGGGCCAUACUGCGAUCUAGAUUGGACCAAAAAUACUGUAAAAUGUACGAGUAUGAAAAAUAUUUUUUAUUUUAUUUUAUUGUUUUGCUUCCUACAAAAAGGCUCUUCAACUAGGCAACUAAUGUUACUUGCUUAAUUGGCUUAAUAUUGCAGGGUACUCUUUUGGGUAUUGGUUCUCUGAAUAUUUGGAAUCUUUAAGGGGUGAGACUCCUGGAGUCAAGUUUUUAUCUUUCAUGUUUUAUUUCUUGAUAAAUUUCAUCUUUUAUUGUCCUAUAUCUUUUUCAUGUUAAAUUUAAUUUGUGUUUUUUUGGUUUUAUUUAUUUAUUAUUAUUAAUUAACAGAUCGGAGCACCUUUUCAAGCAACGGUAAGGCCUACUUAACAAUUGUUUGAAUGAAGCAUUUCUUUGAUAGGAUAAAAUUGAAUUUGAAUAAAGCAUGCCAUUAAACUGGAUUUUCCAAUUUGGGAAUAAAUAAAGGAGUGUUGUUAAAGAAUCAAUAUGUGAAAUUAUUAAAAGUAGAAUUGUUAUCAUGACAUUUUUUUCCAAAAAGACAGGAUUAAUCACUUUUUAGUUAUAUAUAUAUAUAUAAAAGAGCCAAGCGGGUUAAAUUAUGUGGUUUAGUUAGUUGGUGAUUACUAUUGUGGGUUCUCUAUUUUAUUUUCUUCCUUUUUUGAGAUAAAUUAUCAUUAUCUAGUUGGUCAACAUGUAGGAUUUGAAGACAAAAUGCAUAAGAUUCUUCAACUUUUACCACUAAUGUAAUUUAAUUACUUGAUUUCAUCAUGUAGGUGUGAGAGAAAGAUACAACAACUACUACCACUAUGAAACUGCACUUUACCUUGGUAAGGCUUCUAGAGUUUCUAUUAUCAUAUGAUUUUCAUAAAUUGGAUAAUAAUAAUAAUAAUAAAGACUUGUUAUAUUCAAUUACAUAUUUAAUCCCAUGUGUUAUAUAUAUAUAAUUGAGAUUCUCAUUUAUGUAGUGAUUGAAUUAUUUAUUUUAUUUAUUGAUGAUAAUCCAAGUAAGUAAACUACUACUUUAUUUUUAUUAUUAACUGUUAGUAUAAUAAAUGUUUAGAUGAAAGAGAAAAUCUCCCUGUCAACUUGAUAAUUAAUAAUACACAUAAUUUAUAUGCGCACUUAAUAAUGGUAUAGAUGAUUUUUAAAUAGCUAUAAUAAUAGUAAUAAUUUUUCUUGUAUAUCCAUAUCUCUUGCUUUUCAAUCAAUAAAUAAUAGUAAAAAUAACUCUCUUAUACCAGUCUAUUGCUCAUCUUUAAUAUGUAAUAUAUGCAAAUCUUUUGUUUUUAAAUUUAAUCAUUUUUUAAUCUUAUUUUUGCAGGUUGGAUAAUAAGAUACAUAGGUAAGUCUUUCAAAUCUCAUUUUUUAAUCUUAUGUUUUUCUUUUAGAACUCAUUUUGCCUUAGUCUUUUAGAAGUUUUUUCAAAGAAGAUUGUAUAAAGGUGCCUAGUUUUAUUGUUCUACAUUUGGUUGUACAAAUAUAAAUUGGAAUUCCAUUUUUAUGAAAUUCAGAAUUUUAAUUUCAAAUGAAAUCAUAUAUUUUUGCAAAUUUGUUAUGUAUUGAAUUUUAAAUUUAUUUAGAGUACAACCAAAUUAACAAUUGGGCAUCCAAUUCCAUUUCCCAAUUUUAAGCAAUCAAACAAAUUUUCUCUUUCAUUAUGUACAAUAUUGAUUGGAAACCUAAAAACAUCUUUCUAUUGAGUCAACCAAUAAGCAAUUAUAUGGGUGAAAUGACUUUUUAAACAAUCUUAUUUGGAUUCAAUAAUUGAAUGUAGAUGAUGAUACACCUUCCUCUAAUUUUAUUUUUUUUCUUGAUAUUUUUAACAUGUGAUUUAUAGGCAUGAUCAUCAUCGGGAGGGCCAUACCUGGUAUUUUGUGUUUGCUUGUCUAUUUAAUCUACAAGUUUCGACGAAGACACUUAUCAUUGGAUGAUGGUAUUGAAGAAUUUCUACAUAGCCAUAAAAAUCUUCAGCCAAUCAAAUACUCAUAUUCAGAGAUAAAAAAGAUGACUCAUAAUUUUAAGAAUAAAUUAGGUCAAGGAGGUUUUGGCUCUGUGUAUAAAGGAAAACUCCAAAGUGGUCACAUUGUAGCUGUAAAAAUGUUAGUUAUGUCAAAAGCUAAUGGGCAAGAUUUCAUCAAUGAAGUUGCUACAAUCGGAAGGAUUCAUCAUGUUAAUGUUGUGAGACUUGUUGGAUUUUGUAUACAGAGAUCAAAAUGGGCUCUUGUAUAUGACUUCAUGCCAAAUGGGUCUCUUGAUAAGUUUGUUUUUCUUGACCAAGGAAACAACAUUCCCUUGAAUUGGGAAAGAUUAUACAAGAUUGCACUUGGAGUGGGACGUGGGAUUGAAUACUUACAUCAGGGAUAUGACAUGCAAAUUCUCCAUUUUGAUAUCAAGCCACACAACAUUCUUCUUGAUGAAGACUUCACACCAAAAGUUUCAGAUUUUGGUCUUGCAAAAUUAUAUUCAACAAAUGAUAGUAUCGUAUCCAUCACUGCUGCUAGAGGAACCUUGGGCUACAUUGCUCCUGAAUUAUUCUACAAAAACAUUGGAGGUGUAUCAUUUAAGGCUGAUGUUUAUAGUUUUGGAAUGUUGUUAUUGGAAAUGGUAGGGAAAAGGAAGAAUGUUAACACAUUUGCAGAACAUUCAAGUCAAAUGUAUUUCACAUCAUGGAUUUAUAAAUAUGAUCAAGAAGAGGACAUGGAAAUGGGAGAUGCCACUGAGGAGGAAAAAAGGUAUGUAAGGAAAAUGGUGAUAGUUGCACUAUGGUGUNNNNNNNNNNNNNNNNNNNNNNNNNNNNNNNNNNNNNNNNNNNNNNNNNNNNNNNNNNNNNNNNNNNNNNNNNNNNNNNNNNNNNNNNNNNNNNNNNNNNNNNNNNNNNNNNNNNNNNNNNNNNNNNNNNNNNNNNNNNNNNNNNNNNNNNNNNNNNNNNNNNNNNNNNNNNNNNNNNNNNNNNNNNNNNNNNNNNNNNNNNNNNNNNNNNNNNNNNNNNNNNNNNNNNNNNNNNNNNNNNNNNNNNNNNNNNNNNNNNNNNNNNNNNNNNNNNNNNNNNNNNNNNNNNNNNNNNNNNNNNNNNNNNNNNNNNNNNNNNNNNNNNNNNNNNNNNNNNNNNNNNNNNNNNNNNNNNNNNNNNNNNNNNNNNNNNNNNNNNNNNNNNNNNNNNNNNNNNNNNNNNNNNNNNNNNNNNNNNNNNNNNNNNNNNNNNNNNNNNNNNNNNNNNNNNNNNNNNNNNNNNNNNNNNNNNNNNNNNNNNNNNNNNNNNNNNNNNNNNNNNNNNNNNNNNNNNNNNNNNNNNNNNNNNNNNNNNNNNNNNNNNNNNNNNNNNNNNNNNNNNNNNNNNNNNNNNNNNNNNNNNNNNNNNNNNNNNNNNNNNNNNNNNNNNNNNNNNNNNNNNNNNNNNNNNNNNNNNNNNNNNNNNNNNNNNNNNNNNNNNNNNNNNNNNNNNNNNNNNNNNNNNNNNNNNNNNNNNNNNNNNNNNNNNNNNNNNNNNNNNNNNNNNNNNNNNNNNNNNNNNNNNNNNNNNNNNNNNNNNNNNNNNNNNNNNNNNNNNNNNNNNNNNNNNNNNNNNNNNNNNNNNNNNNNNNNNNNNNNNNNNNNNNNNNNNNNNNNNNNNNNNNNNNNNNNNNNNNNNNNNNNNNNNNNNNNNNNNNNNNNNNNNNNNNNNNNNNNNNNNNNNNNNNNNNNNNNNNNNNNNNNNNNNNNNNNNNNNNNNNNNNNNNNNNNNNNNNNNNNNNNNNNNNNNNNNNNNNNNNNNNNNNNNNNNNNNNNNNNNNNNNNNNNNNNNNNNNNNNNNNNNNNNNNNNNNNNNNNNNNNNNNNNNNNNNNNNNNNNNNNNNNNNNNNNNNNNNNNNNNNNNNNNNNNNNNNNNNNNNNNNNNNNNNNNNNNNNNNNNNNNNNNNNNNNNNNNNNNNNNNNNNNNNNNNNNNNNNNNNNNNNNNNNNNNNNNNNNNNNNNNNNNNNNNNNNNNNNNNNNNN
rnacentral:lncRNA from 1 species